rnacentral:lncRNA from 1 species
AACUAUGGAGAGGAGGGGGAGGAGGGAGAAGGAUGCUGAGAGUAAGGGAGGAGAUGAAUCAGAAAAUUUAGAUUUUUUUUCUUUUUAUUUUUCUAUAUUUUCUUUUAACCGUAUUUGUAGGUAACUUGCACCAAAACAGCCUUAUUCUCUUAGUACUUUUUUGCCUUUUUAUAUAACACAGGUGCAUUAACGCACAACAGAAGCACCCUAUCAGUCUAAGAUCCCAGCCUGCUUGUAGCUUUCGACAGAGUCAACAAGAGUUUCUUCCACUGGCCUAUAUCUCCAGCCCAGCCUCUCCAAUUUUUCUGAGCUAAUAUUCCUUCGGCUUUGAUCCUUCACCUCUAUGAGUCUGCGAAGAAAUGAGUUAUAUCAAGAAAAUAUGCAGACAACAUAAAUGGUUCUUGUAGAGACUCGUAGAUGCCACACUUUUGGAAAUGGAAAUCAUGACGGACAUGAACAAACAAGAAAAUCAGGACAAACGGGGUGUCUGAAAAACGAGACAAUUAAUUUCAAAGAUGGUAAUCCACCUCUUAGGGUACUUGUAGUUGGCAUAGUUUUUCCUCAGAGUUUCCACCAUAUCUUUUGUCGUGGUGACGUGAGGUGAACAUAUGUACCGGCCUUCAGCUUCAGGUCUCCCGUAAACCAAAAGCAGUGCCUCGGCCACAUCACGCACAUCUACUGUGUUGUAGAAUUUGUUUUCUGUUUCUUCACAUCCUUCUGUGCAGCCAAGGAGUAAAAAGAAGAGCAGUUUAAUAUCAAAAAAUGAUGUUAUCUAAGCUAAUCUCUGAGUUCUUUACUGCAUAUAUGAAACAUACAAUCCCUUUGACAAAUCGUACCGCAAUAAAUUCAUGCGACUUUUGAACUGCAAAGGACCUACAGGUCGCAAUGUUAACCUUUUAUAUCUUCAACUACGUCCCAAAGCAAUCAAGCAAACAGUUGAAAGAUGCAACCUCUUCAGAUGUUAUGCCUAUUGUCUUUCUCACCUUCCAUUAGGUUCUUAAGUUUUUUUUUUAGAUCACUUUGCAAGUUUUCAGAUCAUUGCCAAAGUCAUAAAACUAUUAGAAUGGCAGAUAGCUUACAGGUUUAGAAUCUGAAAACCUUUCAGCUGGCUUGAAGAUUAAAAAAAAUGCCAAAAGGACGGCAACGCAGUUAUCUCAAUGAAUAUAAUUUCAUUCCUAGAAGUUCAACCGCAACCAUGUUGACGAAUUUUGUGAAAUUUUAUUGACAUCAAUUCAUUUUGUAUCAUGAAAAUAACACUGGAAGCCAGAAGCAUAAAAAUGAUGGGUUACUUGGAAAAUUAGUUGAUCAACCGCAUGAAGAAAUUCAAUUGCUUGACCUUUGACGGACCAAAAGAAAAAAUGCUAAGCUUUAGAGUUCAUCAGAGUUCUACAGUGACUCCAUGCUCACUUAGGCACAAACCAAUAUCAAGGAAAAAACUGUAUCACUUACGACCACUUCCAUGCAGAAGGUGAAAGAAAGAAAGAAAAUAUAUAACAUAACAGAAUAGUUCUCUAAUUGAUUUGAUUACGGGCAUUAGUAAAUCACCUUUCAAUAGCUUUAUGAGAAUUAGGCUGCUAGCAUUUGCGUCAUGCUGAAGCAUGGGGCCAAAAACAUAGGAUGGGCAUACAGUUAAAACAUCAAGGCCAGUUUCUUUUGCAUAUUGUAAAGCCUCUCUUUCAGCAACCGUCUUGGAGUAACAAUACCAGAUCUGGAGCAAUAUUAGUACAGGAUGGUCAACCAAAAACAGAUAGUAAUUGCUAAAAUCUGAUUUCUCAGCAAUCUUAGAAGCAGUAUGAAUAAGACAGUGAAUUUUCUGCACAAUUACAAAACCAAGGUGCAACUGUAAAAAGUGUAAUUAUGUUGAUGCAUACAUUUGUUGCCUUGCAGUAUUCUCCGUCUGACCAACACUUCUCAUCUAUAAUUUCACCUUCAGGCAGAUUAGGACUCAUUACAACAGCAGCAAGAGAGGAAACCGCUACAACGCGCUUGACAUUUGCUUCAGAACAAGCCUUCAGUACAUUAAGGGUACCCUUUACAGCUGGCUCAACAAGUUCAACCUGCAAGAAAUCAUCAUGUUGGCAGAGGAACUAGCACUCAACUCUUCAUGCUGAACUGCUUGUUUUUGCGUAAAAUAUAUCCAGAUAGACGACUAAGUAGUGUCGGUUAACCUGACAUCUUUAGAGUGAAUGAGUACAUAGUUAAGAACUCAUGACUGCUUAUGCCAGCGAUGAACUUGGUUACCAGCUUAGGUUAUUAUUAUAUGCAUUUAUUCACUCAUUUCAACAUUUGAAAAAUCCUUCCACAAAUAGAUAGAAAGGCAAAGAGCCCCAGUGACUACAUAAGUUCGUACAAAAGCUUUAACAAGAUCCUAUUUUAAACGAUACCCAACUUUAGCUCAUGUUUGGCAAAACGCAAUAAAAUAUCAUCUGUUAUGACAAAAGCUGUCUCUCAUAAACAAAAGAUAUGUUAAAGAUGUUAUUCUGGGGGAACCAAAAGGAUAAAAUAUCAUAGCAAUUGAAACGAUUGAAAAUGGUCUUGCCUCAGGAUUGGGAACAGAGCCUGAAGGAACAGGACUAGCUACAUGAAAUACGCCAUCACAACCCCUGAUGGCUGCAGAAAUGGAGUUGUAAUCCAGCAAAUCAGCCUUAAAGAGUUUCAAAUUCUCAGCUGCUUUGUCAAGUUUCUUCAGAUGAACAUAUUUCUCAUCGUCUACAAAACAUACACAGCAGUGCCCACAUCAUCAAGUAACGAAGCACACAAUUCACAGCAGGUGCUUUUAUAUAUUUCUUCAAUUAAACAUAUUUCUCACCCUUCACAAAACAUUUACAGCAAUUCCCACUACAUCAGAUAGGAAACAGCCAAUUGACAGCAGGUAAAAAAUCAAUUGUUGUAUUAAAGGGAAUGAAACAAAUUAUACAAGACCCAAAACCCCAAAAAAAAAAGAGCAGUAAAUCAGGAAGGAAGGGGUAUGAGGAUGAAAUACGUACCGGGGUUUCUGAGGGUGGCAUGAACAGUAUAGUGGCGGGAAAGGAGUAGCUUGACUAACCAGGAUGCCAGGUAUCCCCCUGCUCCUGUAACACACACUGUCCUGUCCUUCUCAGCCUCCCACGCUGCCAUGUCUGAUUGCUUACUAGUAGCAGUAGUGGGAUUAGUAUUUUAGCACCAAAUUCACUAUAGACUGAUCAAGAAGGUGGGUGAAGUUCUAUUCUUUUCUUUUGGUGAAUAUUAAUUCUUUUUUGGUUGGACAAGGCAGAGAUUUCGUCGAUCCUUAAGGAGAGGGCGAUUGGAGGAGGAAGAGGAGGAGGAGGAGGAGGAGGAUGUGGUGGAAUUUUGAAUGGAUAAGUCCUGUAUGUAGGAGCUAGCUGAUUCCAGCAGUCUCUGUCAAUACUAGCAGUGAUCAGCAGCUAGCAGGCUUGGGGGCUCGUAUAUAGCAGCAGACCAAAGGUGCUGUUGCGAUUUGCAUGGCUCAUAGAUGACGUAGGGUUCAUGGUUUCAGUGGGGUGUGGGGUGGGGGGGGGGGAAACGGUAAUAAUGGUAAAUGUAUGUCAAAUGAAAUUUGAGUGUAUUAUUGAGAGAUUUCUAGCAAUCUGUUAAUAAAAUUUAUUUUUAUCAAAAAAAGGAGUAAAAGAGCAUAAUAUUAUUAAGUUAUAAUAAAAUUUGAUGCAUAUAUCAAUAAAAGUAGAUAUUCUGUGCAUUUGAAUACAACAGUAUACUAUGAUUGUACCAUUGUCAGAUGUUUAACAAAUUUAUUAAUGGAUAUUAAAGUGUUAGAUUUUAUCUCAUAUUUUCCCAAUUUAUGACUCAGAUUUUAAAUUGAUUAACUCAUUAGAGAAUAAAAAACUCAUCCCGUUGCUAAACUGGACAAGUAACAAAUACUCAUGUCCAUAAUGGGGCUUUGCUUCUUAUUGAAAUUCUAUAAUGUGAACCAAACCCUAAAUCCCUCCAUCCUGAAAUAUAAACUAAACUACUCAAUAUUCAAAGCAAAUUCCGGUCAGUAAAAGUUUGUUCGAAUUUGAUUUGCAAACUAACUUAAUCAAGUUACAAUAAAAUUUUAUGUUUAAAAAAAUUUUAACUGCAGCUCGAGCAUAGCUCGAUAAUCAUAAAAUUGGAUUUUAUAGAUAAAAAUUACUCGAAUUGGACUCAAUAAAAAUUCUUUUGAACUUGCCUCAGUAAAUAAACGAGUCAAUCCUAAAUACUAUCUCAAAAUUCUUUAAAAUAAAUAAACAAGAUACUUGGUUUGAUUAGACACAUUCACAGCCCUAUUUUUCAUAUGCUCGAUAAUAACAUAUUUCUGCACUGGACCAGAUCAGGAAUAGGUAUCUAACUCGUUGAGUUUUGGGACAUGUUUAUCAUUUUUUAAAAUCUUUUUUUUAUUUCUUGUUUUUGUAGGAAAAAACUAAAGGAUGUGUUUGGAUUAGAGACCAAUGAACUUUUUUCCCCCUCGUGCCUAAUUGCAGAUUAAAAGGAAGAACUAGUUCUUAGAUAACGUUUCUAAGUACAACUCUAUUACUCAGAAAACUGGUCUACCUGACUGUGGGUUUUCCUUUAGUCAGGCCAUUUUGUCAUUAGUGAUGAUUGCUUCUUCUAAACCUUAGCUCACUGCACACGCCAAGCGUAUGAAAGCCAAACUUAAAUUGAACUCGUCAAGUUGCAAAAUAAGAAAAUUUGGGUUACGUUUGGUAUGAGUAGUAAGGGAAAAUUUAAUUCCUAUAUUUAUGAUUCUUGACUAAUGUGAUUGCUCAUCUAUGACCACGUAUCAGUUUUAUACCUUAUCUUCAUUUAAAUGUGACGAUUGUAGAAUUGAUGGCUGAAACUGAAAGGAAACUGAAAAAGAAAUGUCAUGUGAGUGCAUACGCAUGUUAAAACAAUACAAAUUAUAACCAAUUUGAUCCCUUGUUUUUAAGGUUUUGAUCGUUUUGGUUCCUUAGUAUCAUGACAAGCCAAUUUUGCCUCUUAAAUUUAAAAAUAUGGUUAGGGAGGUCCUUUUGAUAGAAAUUUGAGUCGCUAAUGAAGUGAAGAGACCCUUUAAUGCCUUUCGUGUCACAUCCGUCUCAACAGUAUAUUAAAGUUUCAAAAAAUCUCAAAUAAGUCAUAAAACUCAUAAAACUAAACCCAAAACUCUUUAUCGUGAAGAAAAUAAAUUUUUGUAACUUUAAAAUAAAUCAAACACAAAACUUUAAACAUAAUUAUGGAAUUUGUGCCAUUUCCGAGUUGAAAUAUCAUGAAAAAGAGUACCUAAAGGUGAAAGAAAAAAUGCAUAAAUUUAUGUUUGACAUAGUAUAAAAAACUUUUAUUUCAUUAUAUUGAAGGAGUUUAUAGUUUUAGGCUUUUGUUUGAAUGCUUGGUGUUUUCUGCAAGAUGGUACGAAGUACGCUCUAAGGUCUCUUAACUCCGUUAACAACUCUAAAUUAGCCUUGGCCAAAUUCUUAAAAUUUAAGAAAAAUUGGUUCGCCAUAAUACAAAGGGACUAUUUUGUUAAUACAUUGGAGAUAAGAACCCAGAUUAAUUAAUUUUUAUUCUUUGCCUAAUUCAAGUGAUUUCUCCGUUAGCUUCCCACAAUUUUGCUGCAUUAGUCUCUUUGAUGGAGAUAGAGCACUAAAUUUGUUGAUAUGACAGACCAUAUUGGCUGAGACUUCAAAGAUAGAUGACCAAAGCAACAACAUUUCCUAAGUAGUUCAUGAAUCAAUUUCAUUGUAUAGUUAGAUAUGAUAGAGAAGAUGUAUCUUUUUUAAAAAUGAAAGGAAAUAAUAUUAAGUUAUAGAUGAUUUCUUGAAUAAAAGGGCAAUAAUAUUAUUGUACUCACUUUUUUAUUAUUUUUAACUUAGAAUAGUUUUCAUGAGGGGUAAAAUAUACAUAUUUAAUGUUAAUGGGAGCAAAGUGUGAUUAUCCACUAAGUUUAGGGGACGCAAAGUGUUAUUAACCCUUUUUAUAACUCACAAUUGUAUUCGAACUUAACUUACGCUGUAACCGUUAGGAUUUUCUAAUAUUCAUUCGACAACUCAGUAACCAUCCUAUUGUAUAAUAACUAUGCUACACCUCAUCAAAGCCUGAUAAGAUGAAGAAAAUUUCUUUUCUGGCAUCUUAAUGCCUUAUAUCCAGUAUUGAGGGAAAAAAAUUAGUCGCAUUACAGUCUGAGAAUUUGAAUCCAGCAAUUUCAUGGUCUGAUGUAGUCACCCAAGUAGGUUCUCCUUAAAACAGGGUCUUGAGGCAAAAUACACAUCAAAUAGGUCAUCUGUCGAUCUUUGAUUAUGUCUACACGUUCAAAAGAUAGGCUUAAUCAUAUUAGUGGAAAUAACUCAUAGUUCAUCAUAUAUUAAUUUGCUAUUCAAUUUAGUUUGAAUACAUGAUCAAUGUUAUCGUAUGCCAAAAAAGAUUGAGGAUACUUUUGACCUAGUUCUUUGCACUAACUUGAAAUCUACCAAUUGUUCUUUCUUUGAUGCACUUGCAAAAUCUCCUGCAAAAGUAAAAUAACUCGGUGAAUUUUGGCUAACUGAGAGGCCCUAUCUUCUUUUUACUUCUUUAGCACAAGCGAAGAAUGAAUUUGUGCAUAAUAACCGUGUGAUUCUAAUGAGAUAUGAUUUUUUUGGUUUUGCAUGCUGGUUAAACAAUUGUUCAAGCUCUUAUCUCGGUUUUUGAUACUUCACCGGUAUGUGGAUGUUGCUGCUAAAGUAAUUUACAUUUGUCAUUAGACGAAUUUUCUAUUUUAUGACUGGCAAGUGAUUUGGUAUCUUAGCAGUUCAUCGAUUUUGGUGCUUUGUUUACAAUUUAAUUGGCUUCAAUGGUCCAUACAUAUAGGAACUUGGAAUUUACCCUUUUAUUUCCUUUUGCAUGAGCAAAGAUUAGUAAUUUUUAAUCAUAAUUUUCGAUUCCUCUAUUCUGGCCAUAGUGAAGAAUCUACCUUUUUGUACUUGUGUAUAUGCACACCAAACAUCAUUGGGCUGUCUACUUUUGACAUUAUUCUUGAAUUACUCAGUUUAGAAUGUGUAUUAGCUGCUGGAAGCAAAUGCAUCAUCGUUGGCAAUUACUAAACAGAAAAUAUGCAUGCCAUUACUAUUUUCACUGAAAUUAGCACCUAACUUAUAGUGAUCUAAUUAAAGGUUAACCACAUUGGUUUUGACUAGAACUAAGAGAUCACUAGCCCUCUUAUUUUUGGAUUUGCAUUAAUCCAGUAUCAUCAAACUUCUUCAAAUGGGCUCUUUAGCUACUAACCCCUUCAAAAAUAAUUUAGGCUUACGGUUCUGUUGAUGUCGCAAUUGCAGGAGGUUCAGAAGAUAACGAAAGGCUCAUCUAAGAUUUCUUAAGGUGUUUGGCGUAUAUUGCUAGAUUUACUUAGGGUCUGUUUGGAUUGUAAGUUAUUUGGGAUUAUUUGGAAUAUUUUUACUGUAGCACUUUUUGUGAUGUGAUGUAUGUGAGAUAAAAAGAUAUUGGAAAGAUAAAAAGGUGUAUUGGAAAUUGUAAAGAUGAUGUAAGCAAAUAAAAUUGGGGAAAUAUGAAGCAAUCCAAACAAACUUAAUCUAUUUUCAUUCUUCUCCGAUGUCAUUAUUGUUAAAGUUCAAUUCAUAAGUUCGUUGUGUUAGAAAAUUGGCUUAAUUUCUUUUUAGAUAGGUUUUUGUUUUGUGUAAAAGUAACUAGUUUCCUAAUUGAUUUUAGUUACUCGAAAUAGUAGCCAAGAAAUUUCUUAUUUUGUUUAGAAUUAGAAGUUAUUUCUUAUUUUCUACAAGUCUAGGAAUUAGAAUUAAUUUUCUGUUGUUAUUUGGAUUUUUUGACCAAAUAAUGUUUUUAUAAAUAGGUGGGUUGGCAUACUAUAAAAGAGACACAUAAAGGCACACAAGGACGACAUGUAACCUUAUACAUGGGUGGUGAGAGAGAGUUCUUAGGAGAUGAGAAAUGGUAUCAAAGGUUGUACUUGAAUUCGAGUUAUAUUCUUGUAUAAGGUUUUUCUUUCAUAAUAAAGAACAAGUUUCUCUCCGUGGACGUAGGUUCAAUGGAGUCAAACUACGUUAAAUAUUGUGUGUUGUUUAUCUUUCAUACUUGUGGCUUGUUUCUCAUUAAAUUAUUGUGUACUUGAUAUCUUAAUAGUUAUUUAUUUUGCAUUUAGUUCCUAACAAAUGGUAUCAGAACUUGGUUGCAAGAUUGGGCUGCUCACAAGCACUUGGAUCCCAACAAACUGAAUAGUUGGAUCAAGAGUUUGGUUGUUCAAGGUUGGAUCCUAAUUAACUAUUGAGAUCAAGUAGGUUGGUGACUGUUACCAAUUGAACAAUUUAAUGGGCGGUAUCCUUAUUUCAAGAGUUUGGCAAAAAUCAUUGACGGUGAAUGAUGAAAAGUCGAAAAGCAUGGAGAUACUUGACGAUGAAUCUAAGCAGGUGAUUCAAGAGUCAAGGAAAAGGUGGAAUCCAAUGUCGAUUUUGGACGUGAAUCGGUGGAGACUUUCUCACAAUUUCAACGGUUGAUACUUCAUCCCGGUGGUUUUUAGAUUUCGCUUAUGUUUUUUGAGUGGUACGGCACGUGUUCAAAGAUGGAGAUUUGUUAGGAAAUUGACUUAAUUUCUUUUCAGACAUGUUUUUGUUUUGUGUGGAAGUAACUAGUUUACUAAUUGGUAUUAGUUACAUGAAAUAGUAGCCAAGGAAUUUCUUAUUUUAUUUAGGAUUAGAAAUUAUUUCCUAUUCUGUACAAGUCUAGAAAUUAGAAUUGGUUGUCUAUUAUUAUUUAAUUUUUUGGCCAAAUAAUAUUCUCUAUAAAUAGGUGGAUUGGCAUACUACAAAGAGACACACAAAAGCACACAAGAGACGACAUGUAGCCUUAUACAUGGGUGGUGAGAGAGGAUUUUUAGGAGAUGAGAGAUGGUAUACAAAGGUUGAAUUGGGGUUCAAGUUGUGUUCUUGUAUAGAAUUUUUCUCUUAUAAUAAAGAAUGAGUUUUUCUCUGUGGAUAUAUGUUCAAUGGUGGAGUCGAACCACAUUAAAAAAUAGUGUGUCAUUUAUCUUUCAUGCUUGUGGCUUGUUUCUCAUUAAAUUGUAGUGUACUUGAUAUCUCAAUAGUUGUUUAUUCCACGCUUGGAUCCUAACAGACUGCUAAACCAAGAUUGAUGUAAUUGCAUCCUAUACUUGAGAUAAUAGAAAUAAUAAAAACAAGAGAGUUUGCAAUUCAAUUGAUUAAGGGAAGAACAGAGAAAAUCCCUGAAAAUAGGAAUUAAAGGAAACAAAGGAAACCCUAAAACUAGUUUCCAAGAACAAUUCUGUCGAAGACAGAAAACAAAGAAAAUAGUUUCAAAGGCUAUAUCGUUAUUUAGAAAACAAGAAGCACUUGAAGGUGAAUGUUGCAGAAAGUAGAAGAUCCCACUACAAUUUACUAAUUCAAGGAGCUGUAAUUAAGAAAGAAAGAAGACAACUCAGAGAAUUAGGGAUUGUUAUUGAUUGAUGAAUGAGUAGGAAGAAUGUAGAUGAAGAUGAUAAUCAAUUACAAGUAAUGGAAAUCGGAAAUCCAAGAACUGCCUUCAACUUACCACCCUCCUCUCUUUUAUUCAGCUACUACACUUGUCCAAGUCAGCUAAUUCAUUACAACCAACCGACAUACAAGAAUUAUAAGGAUUUAUUCAUUAAGUCCCUAUCAUACUUGCUUUAUUACAAAAAAAAAAAAAAAAACCCUAUCAAUAAAACUAAGGUAACAAAUACUUCCCCCUCAGAGAAUCCUUGUCCUCAAGGAUUAAAUUCAGGAAAUUGUUGUUUAAGGUCAAACCAGAAUUCCCAGAUAGCAUCUUCAAGAAAAGAAUUGCUUCACUAUGCCAAAACUUUUGUAGCAAGAGAGUUACCACAUUUCACCAAUUUCUGAUCAAGUAUGGCUAUAGGCUCCAUUAAUAAUUAUCCCUGUGUAUUGAUUGCAAAAGGAAUGUGUGAGGUAACUAGUGAGUGCCCACUUUCUUCUUUAGAAGAGAUACAUAAAAAAUAGAGUGUAUUUUUGCCAUAUUAGGCAGCUAAAGCUGAUAUGCAACAGGGUGUACUCUUUUGAUCACUUGGAAAGGUCCAAAAAACUUAGAAGCUAACUUCUGACAAGAGUGUACCUUCAAAGAGUGUUGCCUCUACAGUUGUAGUUUCACAUAUACCCAAUCUCUUGCUGAGUACUGUCUAUCAGACCUGUGUUGGUCAGCUUGUUGCUCCAUCCUAUUUUGUGCCUUAUGAAGGUUGUACUUUAAGUGAUGCAAAACUAUCUCCCUUGCUGCCAAGAUUCUAUCCACCACUUCCACUACUGAAUUCCCAAGUAGACAAGGCAUAUGCAGAGAUGGUGCAUGACCAUACACCACCUCAAAUUGGAUAACCUUAGUGGCAGCAUGAAAUUUGGUAUUGUACCAAUAUUCAGCCAAGGGUAACUAGAUAGACCACUGCUUUGGAAAAUCUCCACACAUGCACCUCAAAUAUUACUCCAAACACCUGUUUACCACCUCAGUUUGACCCUCUGACUGAGGGUGGUAGGUAGAAGAGGUAUUAAUCUGCACUUUUAGUAACUUAAAAAGUUCUUGCCAAAAAGUGCUAAUGAAGACCACAUCCUUGUCACUAACAAUGCUCUGAGACAGUCUAUAGAUCUGAUCCAGGAAUAUGUGCAAAUAUAAAUGCUGAAUAAGCAUGUGACAAUGCCAAGAAGUGUGCAUACUUACCUAACUUGUCAACCACCACCAAGAUGGCUUGUUUACCAUGUGCAUUAGGUAAACCUUCCAUAAAGUCCAUGGAAAUUCACUCCAAACCUUUUGAGGCACACGUAAAAGUCAUAAUAAACCGAAAUAAGCAGUAUUGUCAUAUUUGUUGCACUGACAGACAUCACAUGCAGCCACAUAGUUGACUAUGUCUUGAUACAUUCUUCUCUAAUAAACCACCGACUUCAACUUCUUUUAGGUAGCAUAAACUCCUGAAUGCCUCCAACAGCACUAAAAUGCCACAAGUGAAUUAUAUUAUUCUUGAAUUGGCCGUCAUUUUCUACCACUAGUCUCCCCAUCCUCCUUAACUGCUAGUUGCUCCAUGUGUAAUAAGGUGAGACCUUAGAAAGAUCAAAUUGUAAUUGAGUGAUGAAGGUCUAUAGCCUUAUAUCUAUUUGCCAUCCCUUUUUAAUCACUAUCAAAGAUCACUAUUAACAAUGAUGAUGGCAAGAGCUUCUCUUGGUUCUGCUAGUUUUCUAAAGAGAGUAUCUCUCACCAUAUUAUAUGCUUCUUUCCUGUAUUGAAGCUCAUAAUCAAAUCUUACUAGCUUAGCCAUCCAUUUCUGCUGCACAAGAGUGUUCAAUCUUUGUUCCAUCAUAUAUUCAAUGCUCUAAUGGUCAUUUUUAAUGAUAACGUACCUUCCAAGUAGAUAAUGUCUCCACGUCUAUACAGCAGCAACUAUGGCUAAUAUUUGCACUUUUCCAAUAUACUAUCAUAUGCUAUUUCCCCAUACACCUAAAUUUUACAUUAUCCCCAAAGUAAAAUAAAGAAUAAAAAAAAAGUAAUGGGGAUAACGAAACUUCCUGAUAACUGAGGGGGCCAUGGACAGCUACAGGUGAGGGGCGAAUGAUUGUAGAGCUCGACGUGUGUUGAUGGUUGGCGGCGGUGGAGUUCGGAUGGAGAAGGAUGGAAGAAAGAAAGAAAGAAGAAAGAAAAAGAAGAGAGAAAGAAAGAAAGAAAAAGAAAAGGAAAAAGAAAGGAAAAGGAAGAGAAAAGAAAAGGAAAAUGCGAAUGGGAAUUGCUCUAAUCCCAGCUGGUUUUAUGUACUACUACUUUGCUUCUUGUACGAAGCUUGAAAUGCAGCAAGCGCGGAAAAUUUUUUUUUUUUUACAUCUGGUUUUGAUUUUUUUUUCCUUUUCUGUAUUUCCUUUUCUUUUCUUUCUAUUUUUUCUGCAAAAACAAUCAAAUAAAAAUCAAAUGAGAUGGAGUGAUUUUUUUAAAAAGGUAAAAAUAUAAAUAGAGAUAAAUAAAUAUAAAUAAAUAAUAAUAGAUAUUAACAAAUCAUAAAAUGAUUUAUGAAAUUUUUUUGGUGUCUACAUAUAUACACAUACUAAUAAUUUUUAUAUUUAUAUAUUUUUUCUAUUUAAUCUUACCUAUAAUUCUUCCUUAUUUUAUUUACUUUCUUUAAUUAAUUUUAUAUUUUUAAAAAUAUAACAUCUAAAAAUAUAUAUUAACAAAGAGGGCAUUCGUUAGACAGGCCCUAUUUUAUGUAGCAUAUAUGUCACUACAUGGAAAAAACUUUUUUAAUAGGUAUCCCGUUUUUUGACAUGAAAAAUACCUUUUGACUACAUUCUGACUAGCGCCAAAAGCUAUCCACUUUUGACAUGUUGCCCAUGUGGGUCCUUGAUGAUUGGUGUCACAAUUUUAACACAUGGUCGUACUAGGUACAAUGUGGUCAAUAUUGGAUUAGGAGCACUAAUUCAAAAAAGUUGGUGUAAUUGUACGGUUGUUAUUUUUAUAUAAAAUUUGGCACAUAUUUGUAUAAAUGUUUAUAUAUUUUUAUACAUUUUCAAAAAAUAUUUUAUAUAUAUUUUUAAAAAUAUAUAAAUUUUUGUAUAUAUAUUUUAAAAAUUUUGGCAUUUAUAAGCAAAAUUCUUACAUACAAUAAAAUAAUAGCAUGAUAUGAGAUGAAUAAUAAUUGAAUAGUACUGCUGUUGCCCCAUUUACCGGUGAUGCUACUUGUAACUUGAUGUUCAAAAAGCACCACCAUAACUUUUGCUGAACUAAAUUUGAAAAAGCAUUUCAUCGAAUUUGAAUGGCAUCGAAUAUAAAAUAAUGUUCAAAGUUGAUUUGACAAGUUGGUGAACCAAAUCGAACGAGCUUUUACCGGAUUGAACUUAAUUCGAAUAUUAGUAAUUUGAUUCAUCUUUCGACCUUAAUACCGGCCAAAAAAAAAAAAUAAUCAAUUACCAAUCAAGUAUAAUGUCUUAUUUUUUUACCAAGUUUUUAAGGGUGUGCACACCAUUGUUCUCCCUUUUCCUUUGACAUGUAAGGCCACUUUUCCUGCUUCAUGUGUUGCCUAAUUUAAGUUUCGUUUUAUGUUGACUCCUAAUUUAGCGUCUUCUUGAAAGCUCCGACUAUUGCUCGGAAAAAAUAUAUUGCUGUUGAAAACAUCAUCACAUAUUUGGAAAGAUUUACUUGUUGCUUGGGAUUUUAGGUUUGAUCUUUUAUUUCAUAAAGCAUUUUGUUAGAUUUCAAUGGCUUAAAAAAAUGAUGACUUUUGUAAGAAUAUUGAGCUCUCAGACAUUCAGUGCAGGCCUAAUUUUUUUUAGUACUGAAUUUGUUUUGGAUACGUUAGUAUUUCUUGAAUUUUAGAAAAUGCUUCUCUUUAAUAAAUGUAAGUUCAUUUUAAUCUUGAUUCGCAAGCUUUUUCUUGAAAAUGGUUUGCCAUUUCUUAUUAGUUGUUACAGUAAAUUUAGCAUGCAUAUAUGUUUUUUGUCAAAAUUCAAUCAUUUCAAAAUCUAGAAGGGAACUUCUAAAAUACCUGCAUCCUCCUUUUUCUUUUUUAUUUUUCCCCCUCUUGGCUUUGUAUUCAGAAUCAGAUUGUGUUCAAUUAGUUGGAAUUUGGCUUUGGAGUUAAAAGGGAUUUCCAUUUUUUCCUAGGUAUUCCACAGCUUGCAUACCAAAAGCACAGAGGCGGAAGAAAACCUAUGAUUAAAUCAUCCAACAGGCUUGUAAGAAAAUGCCCACUUUGAAAAAAUGAAAAGUUGAAUUUCCUAUUUUCAAAUUUACAUGCAAAAAAUCAAAAAUGGCAUGCAAGAAAUAGUCUACUAUUUCGCCAUGUUUCAUAGUUUAUGAGAAAUAUAUUACAAAUAAAUCCACAUAAAUGGUGGGAAUAAUAACUCAAAUAUGGUGGGACAAAAAAACAUAUAGGGUGACCCCUGCCAGCUGAGAUAACUAGCUGGUUUAUUUAAUUUAAUACUUUGAAUACAAUAGUAAAUCAAUGCCGCCAUAGCUCAGAUACUGACUAAAUUUUUCUCCCUGAAGAAUUCAACAGCAUCUUUUAGGCUGACCUCCAAAGGAGUGAAUUGAACUCCCAGCCUUUUUGCCUUCUCAUUGGAGGCUCUGUAGUUUGGGCUGAUAAGGUUGGUAUUGUUUGACAUUCUGCUGUAUGCGGGACAAUACACAAUUAUGGCAAACAUAAAUAAAGCUUAGGUAAUGAAAAUGCAAAUGUAAAUUCAAAUGCUUGAAAAUCUACUGGACAAUUGCCUCAUAUCUACUGUAAAUUGUGCCUUUUUUACGAAGUUUCAAAAGACCUUUUAAAAGAUAACUUUAGUUGUGAUAUGAAUGAAAUUUAUUUUUUUCUAAAAAAAAGCCUAAAACGGAAUUUCUAUUUUGGAGACAAAGCCAAUUUGGUGAUAUAUCCUAGUCCAAAGAAGACCAUCUUCUAGAAAUCAACCUGAGAAAGAGCUCAUUUUUUAUGGAACAUGAGACCAAAAGAAAAAAAAAAAGAAGGCAGAAAAUUUAGGAUUUAGUGUCCUUUAAAAGAGAGUAUAAAAAUAUGUGAUACAUUUUGGACGUAUACAAGGCCAUCAGCAAAAGCCUGUAAAGACCUAAACAAGGAAAACAAGACUUACUUAUCAGGAAAUUGGUGAGUUGGGUAAUGCUCAUGCAAAAUCUUGAUGAUCUGAGAGGCAUUUGCACAUCUUUCAACCAGACAAUAUCUUCCACUUGCAGAAGGGGUUUCAAGGGCAAGAACAUGUGCAUAGGCAACAUCUCUAACAUCAACCCAGCUACAUGUUGCCUUAGGAAAUGGUUCAACCCCUGCAUUUGGCACCUAAGAUCUUUAAACACAUUUUUUUGCAGGCUCUUCAGCAAACAUAAGUGAAACUGUGCAUACAAUUAAAUACAAUUGGUUUGUUUGGAUCAGCAUGAUUUCAGAUAAAAUAAUUUGCUUCACAAAUUCCAAUCACCUUUUUAUCUUCCCAAUCACCUUUUUAUCUCACAUACAGCACAUCACAAAAAGUGUUACAGUAAUUAUCUCAAAUAAAUCAUCCAAAUAAACUUCUAUCCAAACAAACUCAAUGUUGUUUGCCAUGAAAAGAGUCAAAUUUAGAGGCCAUGGCCUGCCUUCCAGAAGAAAUGUGUGGUAUGUACUACUUUGUUCUGUUUUAGUAUCAGCAAAGCCACAGAGGGGAGGGAGAUGUGAGGAAUGAACUAGUUGAGACAAUUCAGAUAAUUGGUGAAUAAUAAGAAAGAUUAAUCCCAACAAUCUACUAGUUAAUCUGUCCCUGGAAUUUCACAGAUUUAGAGUUAGGUUUCUCUUUCAAAGGAUAGUUUAUUUAUUUUCUUCCAAAAAGGAUCAAUUACUAGACAAAAGAAUAAACUACAGGCAUGAUAAUACUAGUUGUCUCGUACUUAAGAGUUAAAUGGUGAGAGUUGAAGAAACUUGUCCCUUCACUCUCAUCCAGAUAGAAAAACAGAAUUUAUUCCUGUUGUUUUGUUCUAGAGAGUGAAAUAGUAAUCAAUUCCUGAAAUUUGUUUCUUGCCAUUGUUGUACAAAGUGGCUAUUUGGGUCGAAGGAGUCCUUGCGAAUUGAAAGAAUAAUAAACAUGCUUUAGCAAGUCUGUACAACAUAAACAGUGACUACUCCUAACAAAUUUUUCCUCACAAUUACCACCCAAAAAUUUCUUUUCCUUCCUGUUAAUCACAUAGAACCUCAAUGUUGUUGAAAGGAAGAUGCACACAACGUGAAUUUCAGAUGAAAGAUUGUACUGCAAACCUUUAAAACAUCAUAAGCUGGUCAGAGUUUAUAGCUUGAUAUAUCAGUUCACAUUCUGACCUAUGUCUGUCAAUCAUGUGAUUAGCCAGCAGUGCCUUGAAAUGUUAUUAGUCAUAAGUUUUUUGUUCUACUGUAACAAAGAAAGUUGUGGUGCAUAAUAAAGCUAUAAGUAACAUAGAUGGAAGAGUCAGUUAGACAAUGAUUACUAAGGUGAUUCAAUAAAUUUUGAAACAAACCCUUUAAUAGGUUGAGGAACAAAACAGCGCUCGAAUUAACAGAUGGCUGCAAGAGAGGACCAAUGACCAAUCCUGGAUGAAUUGUAAUCACGUCAAUGCCAUGCUCCUUUGCAAAUUUCCAUGCAGCAUUCUCGGCCAUGGUUUUUGAAAGUUCAUACCAAGACUAUCAACACCGAAAAAUCAGUAAAUGUUGGUAAGAUGGUAGCAGAAAGUAAUUAGAUUUGUAAACUUUAAGAAGUAACAUUAUAAAUUUCUACAAAUUUGACAAAACCAGCAACUUACAUCAGUUGAAACUAUUAUUGCUGUAGCUACAAAGCACAGAGUGAAAGUAUCCACAUUUCCCAGGACAAGCAAUGCUAUAAGUGAAUAAGUAGAUUUCUCAAGGAUCCUAGGAAUGGUGUAAACUUUCUAUAUUCAAGGAAUGAUGCAAAGCACCAGUGUCGACAUAUCCUGAUCAUCUGAUCUCUUAAUCCACAAGUUAACAGCAAAACUACAAGGGACCUUGACACUUUAACACAUAUAGCCAUAUUCAUAAUAUUAUAGCAGAAGUUCCUUUCCAACCGACCGACCAAAUAUUGCUCAUCUAGGUGUGUAUUCUCAGACAAUAGUAUAGAAUUUGAUCAUGCAAGAGAUGCAUAAUUAAGUAGGAAAACUUUCAUAUUGCUCUUUCCCCGACUAUUCCACACUACAUUAUUAAUUUUUCAUUAAAGUUAAGUUGUUACUUAGAUAGAAGGAAAGAAAUGGACUGACCAUUCUGGUUACAAAAAUAUCCUUCUUUUUGCCUAUUAAAGUGCCACCAAGUCAUGAAGAUCCUAACUUAAUUAUCUCCACAGCUGGGCUAACUCCUCAUAUGUGUUCCAACAACAAGUUAAAACUAAAGAAUUCCAGCAUUCCAAAUUAGAUUUUACUGGAAGAAGACAGAUAAUAUAUGUACCUUUUGCUCCUCACAGUAUGAUGGAUCGGAAAACCAACUUUCAUCAACUACCACAUCCUCCUUUAAUUCUCUGUUUUUUGAAACUGCAACCAUAGAGGAUGUUAUAACUACUCUUUUGACAGAAGAAGAAUUUGCACAUGACCGCAGCACAUUCAGUGUUCCGCUUACUGCAGGUUCCAGUAGUUCUGCCUAUGAAAUCAAACCAAGUAAAAAAGGAAGUCAUUACCAGUCAUAGGUAAGACUAUGCUUUUAACCUGCAAAAAACUUAUCAUUCUGGUAUUAUGUUUGAGAAUUUCACCACAAAUGCUGUAAACCUACAGCUUUAGUUACUUAGCUAAAGGAUACAUAUUGUUGUCUUAUCUCCUCUUGCUGCUAAAAUAAGUUCUCAGGUCCUUUAUUGUUGUUUUUUCCCAAAUUUUUUCAGCUUUCACUGGGUGACAGGAACUUAAGACCAAUAGAGGAACAACUGAAAUAAGUCUCAGAUGUGGUCACCAAUUAAACCGUUUGCUACCAAAUAUCAACCGAUGAAAUUCUGUUCUGGCUUGAACAGGACAGACAGAAAAUAUAAAAGGUGUAGCUCCCAUGAAUCCUGCCAACAGAUUUUAGCGUGAACACAUAAUGCAUGUUGCAAUUUCUUUUAGUGUCUGUGAGUCAACCUUGUUCAUUGAAAUGACUAAAAUCAAAGUUCUACAAAGUUACUUAAAAAAAAUCCAUAAACACAAUUUGAGAAACAGACAAGGAUAGGUGUACUGCAUAAAAUUUUAAGGCACAAUCAUUAAUAGAAGUUAAUCAACUUACAAAUGAAGAUACAUAUAAUUUGCAGAUGCUUGAACAUAUAUUGUAGUUUCUAUAAGCUUCUUAUUCAUUCUGGUAUGGGCACGCAAAAGCCAUUGGCUCUACACUGGCUGAAUAAUUAGUUGGUCAAAGCAGGGAUUCAUUUGCUCCAGGACAAGCUUAUAGCUUGCUCUAUAACCUUACCCUGACUGACUUACCCAGGAAAAUAGUUAGUCGGACCCAAUCUACUGCCCAAUUGUGGACCAUUUGCUAUGUUUAUGGCUCUUAAUGUUUUUAUUUCACAACAUUACACCCUUUGAAUUGUUUCGCUGAAGUACCAAUUUCCAGAUCAUUUCAUAGAAACAUCAUGUAUACUGAUUAAAAAGAGACUAAAGCACAUAACACACGACAGUCUUUUUGUGAAUGACCUGCAGGAACAGAUUAGUUUUGUAUGUACCAAAUGUAAAGAAAUAUUCUUCUGGUGUUUGACCUGAUUGCUACAUUAAUCUCCUCCCUUUGGUUAAUAAAAGAAAAAGUAGAGCCAUAGAAUUGGAAACAUUUGAUUCUAACUCUUUUUUAUUUUACAGCUGUAACAUUGUCAUAAAUCAUAUAUAGAGGAAGAGGAAUAGACUAUAACCCAAAAAAGCCAGUAAAAAUGCAACAGAGGAAGAUACUAAAAGAAGUCGCACAAUUAUAAAUCAGAAAGUAUGCUACGAUUUUCAAACUUCACUAGAUAAAUAGCAGAUUUUGUAGACAGUAGAGAAUUUCCAAUCUUGUAAAGCAAAUGUACCUCUGGAUUGCUAAAUGAAAGUUUGAUUGGAGAUGCAGUAUGGAAAACCCCUUCACAUCCCUCGACUAUUGCAUCAAACGAUCCCUCUUCCAGUAAGUUUGCCGAGUACAACUGAAGCCUUUCCUUAGCUCCAUCAAGUGAUGUCAAAUGUUGUGUCCUUUCCGGAUCAUCUGUGUCAUGAUUGCAUCAGUAGAAUGUUCAGAGGGACAAUUGUAUGCCAUCUACCACUAUUUUUAUAACAAACUCAGUCCUUCAGAAGAAGGAUAUAGAUUCGAUAGGCUAAAGAUUUUUUAGUAUAACUUGAUCGUUGUAUCUGGAGCAUGAAACAAUUAAGUUGGUCCACAUCAAAAAUAUAUAUAUUUUUUUGCAUGUGAUUUUCUUUUGAGCAAACAGAACAUGGGGAGCAUUUCGCUGUUGCAAGAAUAUCAUCUGGAGCUACAAGACAAUUUCACACUGCAGAGUUGAAUAAAAAUAUUGGGCAAAUUACAUAUAAUCCUCCUGUGGCUUUGUCUGUUGCCACAUGACCCUUCUAACAUUUUAAAAUAUCCAAUUCGCCCAUUAUGAUUUUAUGUAAAGCGGAAACUUGAUGGAGAAUAGCCUAUAUAAUGUCGUUAAUUGAAAUAUCAGUAGUACUUUUACUUAAAUGCUAAAUCAAUCGACAAUUUAAUUACCUUAUAUAAAAGUAUAAGGGGAUUAUAUGAAUAAAUAUAAAAAUCACAGGAGAGAUAAAGUUGACAAUUAUACAAACUAUAAGGGAAUUACAUUGAAAUUAAGACUUUAUCACACACGCUUUUAGAGCGCGUUUGGUAUAAAUGCCGUAACUAAUUGUGCAUUCCAUCAUUUUCCGCUUUACAUAUAACUAUGGGGGGUAUGUGGUUAUUUUGAAAUCUUAGGGGGACUAUCUAGCAUUAUAUAAAAUCACCCUAAAAUAUAGUUAUAAGUAAUUUACCCUAAAAUGUUAGAUUCCAGGAGCAAUUAAACAACAAUCAGAAUAGGGCAUCAAAAACUGUACAAGCCACUAAGAUAGUUGAUCAAGAACAAAAACUGGACUUACAGGCAUCUCGAACUGAACCUUUAACAGUAUAACCGCGCUCGAGCAGCAGCUUCACCAGCCAUGAAGCUAUGUAACCCGAAGCUCCGGUCACACACACCAUUUUCCCUUCUCCUGCUCCACUCAUUUUGUUAAUAUUUUUGUGUGUGAACCUUUCACCUGUUUGCCUUACUUCUGGACUUAAUGGAGGGAGGCAUAUAUGGUGUAUAUAUAGCUAUGGUGAAGAAGACGAAAGAUUGGAUAUGACAUUACGUGGGAGACUAGGGAGAUCCAUAUGUAUUCUUGCAAUUUGCAUGCAUCAUCGCUGACAUACGUAUGGUAUAAUCGGGUCACAUCCCAUUUUAUCAAGGUCAAUUGAUCAGUGUAAAAUAGAAAUGAACAAUAAAUACAAUGGUAAAUUACCUUCUACACCCUAUGAUUUGAUGUUUUAUCACAUAACUCCCUAUGAUUUAAAAACCUAUAUUUGACCCUUUCAUAGUUUGGAUUAUUGUGUCACUUUAGAUUUUUCCGUUAAAACUAACGGUCAAUAGUAAAAAGUCAAAUUCAAACUACUAAAUUGAUAAAUUCACCAUUUCACUACUUUUUUAUUCUUGUUUUCCUUUUCUUUCUCUCCUUUUUUUUUUUUUGGAAAGAGAAGAGAUGACUUUGAAAACUUGUAUUUUGGCUUACAAAACCUUAAUUGUUUCCAAAUACAAAAGAGAUAGAAGGGAAAUAAAAAUAAAUCAACAAGAAACAAAAAAUAUGGAAGGUAAAGAUAUAACAAAUAAAUAAGAAACAAAAAAACACCAAAUAUUUUUUACUAUGAAUAUCAUUAUAGGUUUUUAAACCAAAUCUUUAAUAGUAUUUUCUAGUUCUUAUUUAUCUAUAUUUUAUUUCAAUUUCUUCUUUUUGAUGUUUGUAGGGGAAAAAAAACAAGUAAUGAAGGGAUAAAUUUGUCAAUUUAUUAGUUUGACUUUUUAAUAUUAACUGUUAGUUUUAACAAAAAAAAACUAACAGUGACACAUUAACUCAAAUUAUUAGGGGGCUAUAUAUAGUUUUUAAACUAUAGGGGGUUAUGUGAGAAAAUACCAAACUAUAGAGGUUAAAAGGCAAUUUAUCCUAAAUUCAAAAUCAGGCGGUUGCAUAUGAAAAAAUACCAAGGUUCUUGACUUUGCUCAAUACAAUUCCAAGUCUAGAGACACAAUUUUUAAAUUCACUACCAGGAUAAACCAUUCUCCUUUUUUUUUUCGGGUCAAAAAGUACAAGCUACUUGAACUAGAAACUAGUCCUGACAAAGUUUGUGGGUUUUUUGCAAGAGUUUUAGUUAAAUAUUGGUUACUUCGCCUAAUUUGCACCUAUUUUAUCACGUAAAUGCACACACACUUUUAAAAAAAUAAUGCAUGCACUUAUAUUAUUGCCUUUCGUACAUUUAAAUACUUUUUUCAAUUUAAUUUUACUUUUCUGGCAAAACUAAAUCUGAAGCCCAUUUCAAGAAAUAUCCACCGAAUACCAGGUCAACAAACCCCCUUCGUAAUAAAGAACGAAAAGGACCGCAGCGUUCUUAACACGCAGCGGUGUUUUUGCGUGUAAGAAAGCUUUUGAUUGACUAGAAAUCCUUCUUAUCUGAUUGAGAAAUGGGAAUCGACUUGAUGAUGGCAACUCCAUUUAGAAAACUGGUCCACACCCUUGAAUGUGGUUUAAAUUUAAUAACACCAUUUCAUCAUUUCCGACGACUGCUUCUUCUAUGUCCUAGCUCACUGCACACGCCAGUCGUGUGAAACUUGGCAAAAGAGUUACACCCUCCGUCCUAAAAUUGUUUGUCGAAACCCAACUUUUUAAAAAUAGCAGCUUGAUGAUGAUAUUUGUAGAUUUGUCUCAAAAAUUGUCAUCAAAAAUUCAAAUUUUAAAUUGAAUUUAGUAUGAAAUAUAGAUAAAGUUAUUGGAAUAAUAUUGAAAAAAAGAGAUUAAAAGUUAUUUUGAUUUUGAUAAGAUAAUAAAUAUUUUAGAACGUUUCAAAAUAAAAAAAAAAUAUGACACUUUCAAUGAGACAAAAGAAUGGAGAGAAUAUAUAUAUAAGAUACUGAAAACUAGCAUCCAUCAGAAGCAGUCAAAUCAAAGCCACCAUAUUACUUGUAGUUUGGUUAUAACAAAUAUCUCAGCUUGCUGGUAGCCCAAAAAUUUAGCAAAAUAAAUUAGGUAACCCAGCGCGAUAGAGUAUAUUUCACCCAAAUAUAUUAAAAGUGAAAAAGAUUUAUUUUUAUUUAAUCAAUGUGAUUUUUUGUGUCCACAUGCCCAUAAAGCUCAAGGACCAAAAAGCCAAACAUACGAAGUGAAAAUGUGAAGAGCAAUAAUUUGAAUAUAAAAAAAAAACGGGUAGAUGGAUAGAAAACCAUGUCGAAGGUCUCUUCUCUCUCUUUUUUUUUUUUUUUUUUUGGUUUGGCCAUGCAUGGUGCAUAUGAUAUGAAGGAUAAUUGUAAAGCACCAUAUACUGCCCAAGGAAAGUAGAUUACACAGUGGGAACCAAAAAUAGAAGAAAAUAAAGCCUCAUAUGAACCGAAUCUUUCCCCUUGCUUUUUUUUUGGGAAUUUAAAGGUAUAAUGCAAGAAAUAACUCCUGGUCAUGCAAAAUUGCCAACAAAAAUGCGUCUUUGGUUUUUAAUUCCUUAAUAACAUACUAUCCAGCAUACUAUUUAGCAUAAUAACAUACUAUCUCAGAUGCAUCCACUCAAAUAUCCUGGCCGAGAUGGUAUGAGGCCAAUUUUCUAUCAAAAAUAUAGGUCUGUAGCAGGUAAUGACGUUACCUCACUACAACAAAAAUGGCCUUUAGCGGCAUUUAAAGGUGUCAGUAUAGAAAAUUUAAUCUGACACUUUAUCUAUCCUAACACCCAUGGCGAGUGUUGUCCCUUCCAAUGUGGGGAUAGCCUCAAAUCUUUAGCAGCAUUCAAAUGUGUCAGGCAAAUCAUGCUGCUAUAUUUUUACCUCUGCCAACAAAUCCUUUUUUUGUGAUAAUCGAAAAUGUUUGUAUAGCGUUAGGACAUCAGUAGGGAAUCAGUAGGAUAUCAAAUUUAUGAAGGCAUCUUGAGUUGUCUUAAUAUAUGGCUUUAAGGACAUGUAGCCAUGUGAAUUUACAAUGUGUUGGACGACAUGCCUAUUUGUUGUUAGUGUUUUUCGAAACUACAUAAUUUUAUCAACCCUUACACCAAAUGAAUUUUAUCAAAUUCAUUUCCUUGUAGAUGAAUAUCUAAUAUGACUGAAUUCAGAAUGUGUGGGUCUGUUAAAUCUAUUGAAAUGUUUGGAGCACAGUUAAAAUAUAUGGGUCCAUUACAUACAUUAGUUUGAAUCAUAGAAAGUAAAGAAGUUUUAUAUCUUUUGAAUCUAGUAUCUCUUAAUGCUAGAUAUAUAGGAGCAUUUACUCCUAAAUGGAAUAAGGGUUUUACUGCAAUUUGUAUUAAACCUAUAUGAAUAUAUCUAUAUUAAAAUGUGGAUCCCUCCAUUGUAUAAACCUAAUGACUGUAAUCCUAAUAUUAUAUCAUGAUUUAUAUUUUUUACAAUUAUGUCUAAUACAAUAUUCAUUGUUACAUAUUGAUCCUUUUGUAAAUUUAUAUUUUACUUGUAAAUUUUCUCCAUUUGCUGCCAUUAAGGUUUCCUUUGUUCUUUCACAAUAUUUAGUAGGAAUUAUUCCUUCUUUAAUACAACUUGAAUCAGCUCCACUAUUUAUUAAAGCUACAUAUAUUUCUUUGAAAUCUUCUACUGUAAUAGUUACUAAAGCAUACCAUUUUUGAAAUAUCAUUUUUUCUAUGGUAUUUAAAUAUUGAAUUUCAUCUGUUAGUCUUUCUGAUAUACUUAUUUCUUCUGUUUUAGAAUUGGAAGUUGAGGGUUGAUUUUCUAGUAAUGUUAUUUUUGCUUCUAUUUCUAAAUCUUUUGUUUUUAAUUCUAUGAUUUCUCUUUGUAAUUGUUUUACUUGUAUUUUAAGAUCAUUAAUUUUUGUUUGAAGAUCUUUAGUGGUUUCUUUUUUCAUUAGAUUUAUGUUUGGAUAUUUAUCUAUUAAUUUAGAAAUACUAAAAGGUUCUAUUAUUUUUGGCAUUUUGUCUUCUUGUAUAAUUAGACUUUUUAAUCUUUCUAAAUACUCUUUUUUAGCUACUGGAUCAUCAAUUUUUUCUAUUAUAUCUAAUAAAAAUUCUUUAUCUUCUUUUUUGGUUAUAACAUUUAUAUAUUUUGAAGUGUUAGAACAAUUACAAUUUUCUUCACUUUCUGUACUAGAUAUAUCAUUAUAAUAAUCAUCUUCAGAACUUUGAUUUUUUUCAUUUAUUAAUAAAUUUAUUAAUUUAUUUUUAAUUUCUUCUUCUUUUGCACAAAUCUCUGUAAUUUUUUCUUUUAAUUUACAUUUGUUUGCUUUAUGUUCUAUUUUUCCACAUUUAUAACAAACAAUUUUUCUUUUAAUAAAUUUUCUCUUCUUUUCUGGUUUAUCUUCACUACAAGAAAAUUGUUCAUCAGUGACAACACAAAGUCAUCACAGAACAUACAAAUAUUGUCACAAAUACCUUUUAUUGACGACUUUUUGAUCGUCACAAAGUCGUCACUAAAUCCCCGUCGGUAAAAGUAAACAGUGACGACCUAAAAUGUCGUCACUAAAUAGUUCUCAUUAGUGACGACUUUAAGUAGAGCAUUUUUGACAAAAGAUCAAGUCGUCAAUAAAACACUUCCAGAUUGUCGUCACUAAUGACAACUAUUUAGUGACGACCUGAAAUGUCUUCACUAAAUAGUUGUCAUUAGUGACAACAAUCCGGAAGUGUUUUAUUGACGAAUUGACCUUUUGUCAAAAAUGCUCUACUUAAGGUCGUUACUAAAAAGCACCGAAAGCCAUUGUAUAUAACUAUUUUACUGACAACAAUUGUCGUCACAAAUGUAGCUUAGAUUUAGUGACAGUCUCUGUUGUGACAAGGAUUUUUAUUUUCUAUUUUGUGACAACUUUUUUUUGUCAUUAGAUAAUUUCUCAAUAGCUUAAUAGUCAUAAUUUGGCUUGUAAUCAUUGCUAAAUCAUUGAUUUUAAACAAACCAUACAAAUAAACAUGAACGAUUGAUAACCAAAAGUAUUUGCAUUAGAUUACAUGGUAAUAAUAUAGCAUUCUCAAAUGCCAAAUUCAAGUGUACAUUAGCCAACUAAUGCCUACAAAAAUAACAUUUGUUCAAAAUAUCACUUGUACAUAAGGUACAUUUAUAAAAGCAAUCACAGUUUAAGAAAUUGAAGAACAUCUAAAUGAACCACUCCAUGAGCAAAAGACAAUUUUGUCUUCAACAUUCUUCAACCAUAACCAUAGAUAUCUUCCAAAAGCUAGUAUGAAUAGCAUUUAUCUGUCAUAAAAGAGUAAAAGAAGUAGGUAAGGGGAGGAGUAAAAUAAUAAAGAACAAGUAAUGAAACUUAGAUUAUUAAGACAAAAAUUACAAUUCAUUAAGAAUCUCAUAUAAUUUGGGCCCACAUAUUACAACACCAGCAAGAAGUUAGAAAUCACAGUCCAAUCUAUACAAAUACAACACUGCAUAAGCUCAACUAAAGAGCUCUCUAAAACAGUUUUUUUUUUUAAUUUUCUUUCUUCUUCUUUAAAUAGCUCAACUUAUUGAACAAUUAAAUUGGACUCCCACAGUAAUUAUUGUUUAAUCUUUAUGCUUUUGGUUGUUUAUAUAUUAAAACACAGAAAGCAACUUAUUGUACGAGGUAUGAAUACAGGAGGUACUAGCCCUCUUUGAUUUUAGGAGUUUAUGCUUCAUAAAUCAUGAAGGAAACGAUGCCUCUGUAGGAUUAAACUGUGCAAAGAGAAUGAGUUAUUUGCCUCACAAUGUGAAAGUGAAGACCAUCUAAACUGGUGAAACCAAUCAAAGUUCACAAACGCCCCCUUUGCAUUAUAUUCAUUUCUUUCAAGUCACUACAUAGGCAAAAAGAAGAUUGCUAUCCAUGCAUGGUCUGUCGCUUGUACUUGGAAAUAAUAUACUAUUGCAGAUGAACAAUCAGAUUUUUACCUCUCUAUUGAUAAACUAACAGCACUAUAUACAUGAUACUUAGAUAUUUCCCAAAGAAUAAGUUCAGAUAACAAUGAUGCAUAACAUCAGCCCCAAAAAAUGCUAUUACCGUAUUGUUGGUAAUAUGUCUAGUUAAACUAACCUAAGAGGAUCUCCACAAGAAUAACCGGUAAAUCAGAAAUAUGUACUGUUACAAGCACAUAUUCCAGAAGAUAACCAUUUAGCACAUGUACAAAUCUUAUGCACAAGGAACCUGAUGAACGAAGCAUAACCUAUUUCCUUUUUUUCUUUUUUAGCUUAUUUUAAUCAUUACUUCUCUCACUUCUCAAAGGUCAUCCUCAGUUUUCCUUACCAUUCUAAAUACGGCCAGAUCUGCUUCCAAAAAAUUUCUGAUCUUUUAUAUAACAAUACGAUACAACAAUCAAUGAGUAUGCGUCCAAACACAAAGUUUCGCAUACAGCUAGUCUUCCAAUAAUGUGUAAAUCACGUAAGAAAGUUUCCUACUUGUGGUAUAAGAGUUAAAAAGGUUCACUUGAAUGCGUAAUAUCAAAAUGUAUUCAACCAACUACAAAAGGAUUAAGUUAGACUGGAUUCCCUCAAGGUUUGCCAGGUACUCUUUCUUGGACCCAAAAAUGCAAACUCAACACCAAACAUUCCAUUUUUUCUUACAACAUAAGAUGAAACAACAAUUUAUGUGCAAAAACUCAGUGAGCAGAGAGGAAAACAGCAAUAAGAAUGCAGCAGCUUUUUGCUUCUUUCAUUUUAGCUUAGAUAUAUUCAUGCCAAACAGUUCAAAAAACCAAACAUGCUUGAUUUAUGUAACUUUGGAUCAACAACAUGUAACCCCAAGCAUCAUUUUCCGAAUAGCAUCAGAUCAAAAGACAAACCCGAAUAGCAGGUAGUGAAACAAACCCGAAUGGCAGAAAUCUAGCCAAUCUCAAUGACAUAUAUGAUAUUCAAAUCAAAUUUUCACAGUCAUCAACCAGACUCAAAUGCGUGAACUUGGGACAGGGAGAGGAAGAAAUAAAACGCAGCUACAUGAUAUGAACAUCCACUUCUAACUCAACCACUUUCGAGAAAGCAUAUCAAAGCCCGGACAUGUCACCAAAACAGAAUCACCCAACAAACUCUCCACCCAUUUUAUUUUAUUAGCAGCCGUGUAGCUCAGCUGAACCACACUCCAAGCAAACAACAAAAACUGGACACUUGAAGUUAAUCAACCCCCAAAAAUCCAUCGGAAACACAGGCAUUCAAUCCAAAAUUUGGUUAUUCGGACAAACAAAAAACCAACCGAAUGUUCGUCAUUUAUUUUUUCACACGUAAAAAUGCAGACCAGUUAUCUUUCAAUUAGAAAACUCAGUUGGGCAUUUCAUCGAACAGGUUAGGGGCAUUAGAAACUUCACUACUUCCUUACUCAAUUGAAGCUAUAAUUGGCCCCAAAAUUUUCAGCAAACCCAAAAUUUCAGUCCAAUCAACAUCCAGAAAAAGCCAUGAACAAUUGACAUGAAAUUUGAAACAAAAAACUAAUAGCAAACAUGGCAUGUUCAUCGGCAGACAUGCUCCGAAAACUUUCAGAGUUUGUAUUCGAAUGAAAAAACUGAAAUGUAAAGGAGAAGAUUAACUUACAGUGAUCUCUCACGGUGGAGGUUCGUGGAUGACAGUGGCGGAUUCCGACGGAAUGUGGCGGCUCCGCCUGGUCUUUCUCCCUCUAGUUUUUCCUUCGCUUUCGUUUCUGCUCCAACCGACAACUUCCUCCCUCUCUCACUCCUUACCGCCGCCUCCCUUUCCUUAUCCUCUGUUUUUCGACUUUUUCCUCUGUUUUUCUGCUUCCCCAAACCUCAGACGAAGCUCCCUCUAUCUCUGUUUCUUCCUUUCAGCCCCUAGCUCUCCCUUGCUUUCUUUUGGUUUCUUUUCCUAUGUUUCAUUUUUGCGCUUUCCUGUUCUCUCCUCUAGCCCUUUCUCUCUUUUGUCCGUUUUUUCUUAGCUCUAUCCGCCGCCCCCUCCUCUUAGCUCACUCCUCUCUCCUCUGAAACCUUCCCUCUCUGAUUUUUUGUUUUUCUUUCUUUUCAGCUCGCCGUAGCUUUCCUUUUUCCUCCUUUUUGUUUCCUACCCUUAGCAGCCGUCCACCGCCACUCUCUCUGUUUUCCUCAACCUCCCGAAGCUUUCUUCCCCCUUUUUCUUUUCUGUUUCUUUCUUUCCCUUUGUUUUUCCUCUAGCCUCAGACCAAGCUCCCCUCUCUAAUUGUUCUUUUUCCUCUCGCCCGUUGUUCCCUUCAGCUCCCUCUAGUUCCUCCUGUCUUUCUUUUUCCUCUUCUCAGCCGAAGGCUUUUUCCCCCAUUUUUCUUGCUCUCUCUGUCAUCAGACCGCCCCCCCAACCUUCAUCAGAUCUCCCUUGAAGCUCUUUCAAUCUCUCGGCUCUCUCUCACUCAAGUCUUAGCCGCAGCCAAGAGUUUUCUUGCUCUCCCCGUUGUUGUUUUUGUUUCCUCCCUUCUUCCCGUGAAAUCAAUUUUCCAACCAAUUUCUUCUGGCUCUCCAUCAAUCUCUCGAAGCCAGAAAAAUGGGUUCCCCUUCUUCCUCUAUCCCACGAAGCCCUCUCUGCCUUUUCUUUAGCUUUUUCCAUUUUUUUUCCUUUCCCCCAACCGUAGCUCUCUAUCCCACGAAGCCAGAAAGUUUGUGUUGCUCAAGUGUUUCGUUGCUUUAACUCAGACCAAGUGUUCCGUUGCUUUUAUUUUCGGAAUGUGUUCCGCUGCUUUGGUCUUUGCUUUGCUUUGGAUAUUGUUUUUGUUGCGCGGCACUUUCACUAUGAUUUGAUCAAAAUUUUGACUUCACUCAUUUUCCCUCCAUUUGAUACCAAAAAUCAUGUUUUUUUCUAGAUUUGUAAUAUGGUUUGAACCAUAGAUUUUAAUGUUAUAGUAUUAUUCUUUAUUUUUUAGCAAAAAAUAAAAAUUUUCAUCAACAUAGGUGGCAAAAUUUGUUAAUUUCAUAUAAUUGAAAAUGUACUUUUAUAAUUUGCUAAUAUUUUAUACUAAUUUCUUACAAUUGCAGCACUAAAGAACAUCAUGUAAUUGAAAAUAAUUAAACUCAAAUUAUCUGGUUAUAACAUAGUUUCAAUAAAAAUAAUCAUUUUCCUAACAUUUGAGACCAAUCAUCAUGCUUUUUUUAUUUUUAAUUUGGUUUGAAGCAUAGAUUUUAUUGCUAUAGUAUUAUUCUUUAUUUUUUAGUACAAAAACACAAAUUUUCAUCAAUAUAGGUGGCAAAAUUUGUUAAUUACAUAUAAGUGAAAAUAUACUUUUAUAAUUUGCAAAUAUUUUAGCCCUGCAAUUUUUUAUAAUUGCAGCACUAAAGUACAUCAUUAAUUGAAAAUAACGAAAGUCAAAUUCUAUGGUUAUAACAGACUUUCAUUAAAAAUAAUCAAAUGCUAUUAAUAAGACAUUAUUGUUAAGUCAAAAUCAAAGAAAAUUUAGUGAUGACAUAAUGUUAUCACUAAUUUAUUCAAGAUUAUAAUGACAAGAAAAGUCGUCACUAAUUAAAUUGCUAGUUUUUAAUAUUGUCAAUUGCUAGUUUUUAAUACUUUUGUGAAAAUAUUGAUAAUGGUUGAGAAAAUUUUGUUACAUUACUGCAAGUGAUAAAUGUACUUUUGUUCUUUUUCAAACAUUUAUUUUAAUGUUUAAUUUUGUUUAAAACUAUUGUACUAGUAUAGAUUUGCAAGACAAAACUUAAGUUCUCAAUAGUUAAAAAAUUCAUUACAGAGAAAACACAAAGUAGUAGUUGCAAAAUGUGUAUAAAUUACAGAUAUUUUAAUGUGUAUAAAUUACAGUUUAUUUUAACGUUUAAUUUUGUUUGAAACUAUUUUACUAGUAUAGAUUUGCAAGACAUAGAUUUAUGGGUAAUUUCUUUUUUUUUUUUUUGCUUUCACAUAUUUAAUUUAUGUUAAAUAUAAAACCUACCAGUUUCCCUUUCAUAAAAAUAUUAGUGCAACACUUUUUGAAUUUUACUUACAAACAUUUAUGUAUUUAACAUAAAUUAAAUGAUUCAGAGUGAAAUGCCCAUAAAGAGCAGAAUAUUUGUUCAUGUAAUGGAGGAAACCCACAAAGAGUUGGUACUUUAUGGGCCAUUUCUUUUUUUUUUAAAAAUUUAAUUUAUGUUGAAAAGAUAACCUGCCAGUUUUCGUUUUAUAAGAAAUCAGUGUAACACUUUUUGAAUUUUACUUACAAAUAUUUAUAAAUUUAUCUUAAAUUAUAUGUUUGAGAGUAAAAUGCCCAUAAAAAGUUGGUACUUUGAAUAGAUAAUGCUUAUUUGCCCAUAAACUACACUCCCUGAAGGCUAUUUUGUUAAUUACUUUGUAGUACUUUGUUAUUCCUUUGCUAAUACUAUUUGGCAUGUAGUACAAAGGAUAAAUCUGGCAUAAAUUUCUUAUUCCAUUGAUAAAAAGACCUGCUUGCCUUAUAACUAUUGUAAUGAAAGAUAUAUCUUUAGAGUUCAUAACAAAUUAUUACUUAAAUUUGAGAAAAUUAUAAAAUAUUUAUGCAUAGUUUAUCAAGAUACCAUUCGCAAUUUCCUAAUAAAAAAAUAGGGGCUAAAUUGUAAAAGCUAGGGUGCCAUAAUAGAAAUAAUAAAAUUUGUGUAUUACAUAUGGGGGUUAAAUUGCAAAAGUUAGAGUGCCAUAGUAGAAUUACUGAAAUUGGUGAAUUACACAUGGGGCUAAAUUACAAAAGUUAGGGAGUAAUAAUAGAAUUAAAGAAAUCGGUGUACUACAUAUGGGGCUAAAUUGUAAAAGUUAAGGUAUCAUAAUGGAAUCAAUGGAAUUUUUUACAACAUUUGGGGCUAAAUUACAAAAGUUAGGGUGGCACAGUAGAAUUAAUGAAAGUGACUUAGAAAUAAGUACUUUAAACAGUGACGAUUAAUUCUUGUCACUAAAUCCGAAUCGAUAGAGUGACAGUGACGAUAUUAGAAGUUGUCACUAUAUAGAUCAUUUUAGUGACAACUUUUUCAAGGUCAUCACUGAAGACUUAGUUGCUUUGAGCAAUUAUGACAACUCUCCUUGUCGUCACUAAACAACCACGUUUUGUGACGACUUUUGUCGUCACUAAAAAAUGUUGUCACUAAUGACCAUAUUUCUUGCAGUGUAGUUUGUGACGAAAAUAACGGGUCGUCACUAAACAUUUAGUUGCUUUGAUGCAAUUGUGACAACUUUAGGUAUCGCGACUAAAGAAAUUCCUUUUGUGACAACUUAUUGUCAUCACUACAAAAUAUUGUCACUAAUAACCUUUUUUUUAGUGAUCAGUGACGACAACAAAAACUCGUUCGUAAAUAGGCCAAGCAAUAGUGAUGAUACUCUUAAUGUCGUCACUAUUGUGUGUUCUAAACACUCCCGCGCUCUUGCUAAAUUUUAGCGGGAAUUUACUAGUGACGACUUUUCUAAGUCGUCACAAAUGAGUUGGCUCCCAUUAGAGGUUUGUGACGAGUUAGAAAGUCGUCAAUAAAGGAUCCACAUUUGUGACAACUUUUUUUCGUCACAGAGAAAAGUUGUCACUGAUGACCAAUUUUCUUGUAGUGCUUCUUUAGAUCUUUUAUACUUUAUUUUCUUAUUAUAUUUUUUAACUUUUUUGUUAUAUGCAGAUGGUGAUUUAAUUCUUUAGUAGCAAAUUCUAAAGCUCUAUUAAUUGGUUUUAUUGUUCCUUGUUAUAUAUCAUGUCCUAAAAAUCUUAUUUUUGUUUGGAAUAAUUUCAUUUUUGGUGCUGAAACAACUAAUCUAUUUUUCUUAACUACUUUUAAAAAUAUAUUUAAAUGUUUGAACUGCUGUUCUAUUGAUUCAGAAAAUAUUAAUACAUCAUCAAUAUAAACUAUGCUAAAUGAACUAUAAGGAUUGAAAAUAUCAUUCAUUAUAUUUUGAAAUUCUGAUGGUGCAUUUUUUAAUCCGAAUGGCAUUACGUUCCAUUCAUAAUGACCAAAAGGUGUUGUGAAUGCUGUUUUAUAUCUAUCUUUUGGUGUUAUUAAUAUUUGCCAAUAUCCUGAUUUUAGUUAUUUCAGCACCAAAAAUGAAAUUAUUCCAAACAAAAAUAAGAUUUUUAGGACAUGAUAUAUAUCAAAGAACAAUAAAACUAAUUAAUAGAGCUUUAGAAUUUGCUACUAAAUUUCCAGAUGAAAUAAAAGAUAAAAAUCAAUUACAAAAGUUUUUAGGAUGUUUAAAUUAUAUAGCAGAUUUCUUUCCUAAAUUAAGACAAGAAUGCUCUAUAUUAUUUAAUAGAUUUAAAAAGAACCAUUUCCACCAGUGAUUGAACCAGAUUGGGAAUUCUCUACUGCAACUUUCUUUGAAUGUGAAGAUCCAUGAAUGAUUGAAUGGUCUAUACAAAAAAACCAAAAGUCUAAUUAUACAAGAAGACAAAAUGCCAAAAAUAAUAGAACCUUUUAGUAUUUCUAAAAUAAUAGAUAAAUACCUAAACAUAAAUAUAAUGAAAAAAGAAACCACUAAAGAUCUUCAAACAGAAAUUAAUGAUCCUAAAAUACAAGUAAAACAAUUACAAAGAGAAAUCAUAGAAUUAAAAACAAAAGAUUUAGAAAUAGAAGCAAAAAUAACAUUACUAGAAAAUCAGCCCUCAACUUCCAAUUCUAAAACAGAAGAAAUAAGUAUAUCAGAAAGACCAACAGAUGAAAUUCAAUAUUUAAAUACCAUAGAAAAAAUGAUAUUUCAAAAAUGGUAUGCUUUAGUAACUAUUACAGUAGAAGAUUUCAAAGAAAUAUAUGUAACUUUAAUAGAUAGUGGAGCUGAUUCAAGUUGUAUUAAAGAAGAAAUAAUUCCUACUAAAUAUUGUGAAAGAACAAAGGAAACCUUAAUGGCAGCAAAUGGAGAAAAUUUACAAUUAAAAUAUAAAUUUACAAAAGGAUCAAUAUGUAACAAUGAAUAUUGUAUUAGACAUAAUUUCAUAAUUGUAAAAAAUAUAAAUCAUGAUAUAAUAUUAGGAACACAUUUUUUAAUUCAAAUUUACCCAUUUUCAGUUAGUCAUGAAGGAAUUUCAAUAAAUAUAAUGGGAAAAAUUGUUAUCUUUAGAUUUCUAACUCCAGUAAAACAAAGAGAAUUACAGACAUUAGAAACAUCCUCUAUUUACAAAACAAUAAAUAGUAUUACUAAAGUACAACAACAAAUAAAUUAUAUAAAAGAAGAAAAAUCUUAUUUAAAAAUUGAAGAACAAUUAAAAGAAAGUAAAAUGCAAAAAAGAAUUUCAGAGUUAGAAGAAUUAUUACAAAAAGAAAUUUGUGCAGAUAUUCCUAAUGCUUUUUGGGAUAGAAAACAACAUAUGAUUGAAUUAUCUUAGGAAACAGGUUUUAAUGAGAAAAACAUUCCUACUAAAGCAAGACCAAUACAAAUAAUUCUGAUCUAUUAGAAUUUUGUAAAAAGGAAAUAAAAACAUUAAUAGACAAAAAAUUAAUAACACCUUCAAAAUCACCUUGGAGUUGUGCUGCAUUCUAUGUAAUGAAUCAAGCUGAAAAAGAAAGAGGAGUUCCAAGAUUAGUUAUAACUUAUAAACCAUUAAAUAAAGUAUUACAAUGGAUUAGUGAAUAAUACAAUAAAUUUAUAAAUUUAGAAUUAAUAGAGGAUACAAUAUAUUAAAGUAACCAUUUUUAUAAAUUUAAUAGAGCUCAAAUGCAAAUAAUACAAUAAAUUUAGAAGACAUUAAAAAAGUUUAUCAACAAAAUAAUUAUACAAAUCAAAUCCUUCAUACAAUUUCUCAACAUAUGGAAGUAUUAAACACAAAAAUAGAUACUAUAAAGAAACCAGAAUUAAAAUUCCCUAACAAUAUUUCAGCACCUCAUUUUCAACCUAGAAGUUUGACAAGAGACAAAGAACAAGAUUUAGUUCAAAAUAUUAAUAAUCAAAAGAUAAAUAAUACAGACAAUAUAUUAAAUAAAUAUCUCAUGCAUUACAAAACUUAACUACAGAAGUAAAACCUCCAACUCCUAGGAUAAAUACUUUAGACCAAAUAAUAGAAGAAAAUUCAUCUGAAGAAAAAGACAGUUCAUCUGAAGAAUCAAUAAAUUCAGAAAUAGAAGAAGAUAUAAUUCUACCAAUAGAAAAAACAAUUUGAAGAAAAAGAAGAUAAUCAAAUAAAUAAAAUAAGAAGAAAUAAAAUUUAUAAUAAAAAUAAUAAUAAAGGAUGGAAAAUGAUAAGUACUAAAAACUAUUAUUCAAGACCAAGCCCUCCAGACAUUCAAUAUAAAGAAAGAUCAAAAUUUCGUACCACUAAAUACGAUGGCGAUUCAAUAUAUGAAUGGAAUCUAGAUGGCAAAGCAGAAUAUGAAUUAUUAAAUAAUUUACAAGAAAUGAGAAUGGCUAGAUUAGCCUAUAAAAUUAAAAAUAUUCAAGAAAGAAAUAUUGCAACAUUAUUAGUUUCAGGAUUUACUGGACAAUUAAAAAAUUGGUGGGAUAAUGCUUUAACAUUACAAGAUAAAUUAUCAAUGUUAGAACAUACGCAAGAAAUUGAAGAUGAUCAAGGAAAUAUUCAAAUACAAUCAGAUGCUGCAGAAUUUUUAAUUGUAAUAAUAGUAAUAUAUUUCAUAGGAAAUCCAAAAGAAGAAUUAAAUUCUAAUAAAAUAUUUCUAACAAAUUUAAGAUGUCCAACAUUAUCAGACUUUAGAUGGUAUAAAGAUAUGUUUUUAACUAAUGUAUUAAGAAGACCAGAUUGCAAUGCUUCAUUUUGGAAAGAAAGAUUCAUAACAGAAUUACCAAGUUUAUUUUCACAAAAAAUAAUGGAUAAUUUACAGCAUCCGAGGCAUUUACAAAUGACUUUCUGAUGAAAAAGAUGAUGCAGAAUCCCGAGAUGCUCAAAGAAUAUUUGGACUAUUUGCAAAAGCAAGAUAAGAAAGAAAAAACCGACAAAAUUGAAGAGUCAACCGGAUCAUCCGAAUCUACUUUUGAUCCUUUCGGGGGACCCUGCGGACAAGACCCAAAUGACUUUUGAAGAAAGGUGUCGGCCACACCUCAAAGAAAAGGCAAAUGAAAUUCAAAUGAAGAUGAAAUGCAAGACCCGACGAGUCUAUAAAUAGAUUCAAAAUCAGAAAACAAAGCAUCGGCGAAUUAGUGAGAAAAAGAGAACAAAACACUCUCAUGUAAAAAUCCUUAGACAAAUCUCUCAAUCCCUCUUUCCAACUACUCUUGUAUUCAAUUACUAAAUUAUUUAAUACUUCAUAUUCUGCUUUGCCAUCUAUAUUCCAUUCAUAUAUUGAAUCGCCAUCGUAUUUAGUGGUACGAAAUUUUGAUCUUUCUUCAUAUUGAAUGUCUGGAGGACUUGGUCUUGGAUAAUAGUUUUUAGUACUUAUCAUUUUCCAUCCUUUAUUAUUAUUUUUAUUAUAAAUUCUAUUUCUUCUUAUUUUAUUUAUUUGAUUAUCUUCUUUUUCUUCAAAUUGUUUUUCUAUUGGUAGAAUUAUAUCUUCUUCUAUUUCUGAAUUUAUUGAUUCUUCAGAUGAACUGUCUUUUUCUUCAGAUGAAUUUUCUUCUAUUAUUUGGUCUAAAGUAUUUAUCCUAGGAGUUGGAGGUUUUACUUCUGUAGUUAAGUUUUGUAAUGCAUGAGAUAUUUUAUUUAAUAUAUUGUCUGUAUUAUUUAUCUUUUGAUUAUUAAUAUUUUGAACUAAAUCUUGUUCUUUUUCUCUUGUCAAACUUCUAGGUUGAAAAUGAGGUGCUGAAAUAUUAUUAGGGAAUUUUAAUUCUGGUUUCUUUAUAGUAUCUAUUUUUGUGUUUAAUACUUCCAUGUGUUGAGAAAUUAUAUGAAGGAUUUGAUUUGUAUAAUUAUUUUGUUGAUGAACUUUUUUAAUGUCUUCUAAAUUUAUUGUAUUAUUUGCAUUUGAGCUUGAUUCAACUUCUCUACCCUUUUUAAAAGAUGAGACUAUUAUAUCUCCUUGACCUAUAUUAAUUUUUACUUCUUGUAAUGGAGGAUGUAUUGAUGUUAUUAUUUGUUCAUCUUUUAAUUUCCAUUUUUUGUAUAAAUUGGUUUGAACAUUUAUUUGUGGUGUAUUAUAUAUAUCAUUUAUUCCUAUUUUUGAAGUAUAGAAUGAUAGCCAAGUAAAGAAAGGAAAAUCAAAUUUUUGUUUUUCUAAUUCAUUUUUCCAUUCUAAAAUUAAUUUUCUUUUAUAUUCAGAUUCUAAUUGAAAAAACCAAAUUCUUUUUUCAGUAUUUUCUUCAUCUUCAAAAUCUUCUUGUAAGUAUUUAUGAUUUAUUUUAUAUGGUUUAUUUAUAACAUUUAUUUCUCCUUUUAUUUGUGAAUGGGUUGGAGAAUAUUCUGAUUGAUUUUGAUUUAUAACUUCUGGAAUAGGAGUUUUAUAUUUAAAAUUUGAGGUACUUUCUAAAGAAAAAUUAAUCUCAAUUGAUUCAUAAUUAGAAUGUCUGGCUGGUGGCCAAGAAUAAGUUGAAUCAGGUUUCUCUCUUAAUGAUAAAAAUCUUAUUAGAGUAUUACCAUCAGGUUUUUCUAUAAUAUCUUCUGCAGUAGUUUGUUCUAUAUUUCUUGCUAUUUGUGAAUUUUUAAUUUCAAAUUCACUAGGUAUAGUUAUUUCAUUCCAUUUUAGUCUUUUUGGAAUAUAAGUUGUAGGUCUAUCUGCAUCUACUUGUAAUAGAGUUGUUUCUUCUUUAAGAGUUGGAGUCAUUAUAAAUUUAAGAUUUAAAUGUGAAGAUAGAGGUCUAUAAUAUAUUCUAUAUAUUACUGCAAAAUUCUUGGUAUGUUUUUCAAAUUCAAUUCCUUGUAGAUGAAUAUCUAAUAUGACUGAAUUCAGAAUGUGUGGGUCUGUUAAAUCUAUUGAAAAGUUUGGAGCACAGUUAAAAUAUAUGGGUCCAUUACAUACAUUAGUUUGAAUCAUAGAAAGUAAAGAAGUUUUAUAUCUUUUGAGUCUAGUAUCUCUUAAUGCUAGAUAUAUAGGAGCAUCUACUCCUAGAUGGAAUAAGGGUUUUACUGCAAUUUAUAUUAAACCUAUAUGAAUAUAUCUAUAUCCUUUACUUAAGUAUCUUUGAAUUGUACUAUGAUUUAAUAAUGGAAUUGAUUGAUAUUCUUCUUGAAUAGAUAUUGUUUGUUCAUGAGUUUUAACUGAUAAAGCUGUUUUGAAAUCUAAAGGGCCUAUUCUGUAAAUAUGUUCUAUUUUUUCUUCUGGAAUGGUCCAAUCUGAAUUAUUUAUAGGCAUAUGAUAUUCAUGACUUUGUACUACAUUAGCUUGCUUUGAAUUAGAUCCUAUUUUUAAUUGUCUAAGAAAUGCAGCCAUGUCUAAUAUUUAAUUAAAGUUUUACCUAACCAGGAACAACUGUGCGCUAUGCCGGGAACAUCCUACCCUGGACUUACCAACGGUCUCACAAGGCAUCAAGUCUUACCAAUGAUUUCAGUAAAAUUUAAUGAAAUAUGUGAACAUAAAUGCAUGAAUUAGCCAAGUUUCUAUUGAAAUGUUCAUAGAAAAUUUAGUAUAAAAAUUGGACUUACUGAAAAUUUAGAGUGGUCUUUGAUAACGGAAGCUUGAUGAAUGGUUGAAUCCUUGAUCUUUAUUAUAUUUGGAGAAGGAAGGAAACAAAAGUAAUUGAAUACAAGAGUAGUUGGAAAGAGGGAUUGAGCGAUUUGUCUAAGGAUUUUUACACGAGAGUGUUUUGUUCUCUUUUUCUCACUAAUUCACCGAUGCUUUGUCUUCUGAUUUUGAAUCUAUUUAUAAACUCGUCGGGUCUUCCAUUUCAUCUUCAUUUGAAUUUCAUUUGCCUUUUCUUUGAGGUGUGGCCGACACCUUUCUUCAAAAGUCAUUUGGGUCUUGUCCGCAGGGUCCCCCGAAAGGAUCAAAAGUAGAUUCGGAUGAUCCGGCUGACUCUUCAAUUUUAUCGGUUUCUUCUUUCUUAUUUUGCUUUUGCAAAUAGUCCAAAUAUUCUUUGAGCAUCUCGGGAUUCUGCAUCAUCUUUUUUAUCAGAAAGUCAUUUGUAAAUGCCUCGAAUGCCAUACUACCAACUUUCUCUUUAUCUUUUCUUUUUGGAGUGGUUGGAAUGGGUAGAAUAGUGGUUGGAGUAGGUGGCAUAGUUGUUGGAGUAGGUGAUAUAGUUGUUGGAGUAGUGGUUGGCUGAUUUGUCCACUUAAGUUUGUCUCCAAUUGUUAAAAAUCUUAUCACAUUUGUUUGGUCUCCGUAUUCUUGAUUAAAUCCUGUCCACCAUUUGACUUGAAUUAUCUGACUAAUGACAUUGGAAGUGGUUUUUCUAGUUCUUGAUGAAUUUUGAAACUCCAACAAAAAAUCCAUGGUACUUUGAAUUCCAUGUGGAAUAAUAUUGGCCUUGUAUAUUCCUCCCCCCUUACUUUUUUGAGAUAAGUUUGGAAUCCCAUAAGAACAUUUGGAGGUAGAAUUUCUGGUUGUAGACCGAACCAUUUCCACCAGUGAUUGAACCAGAUUGGGAAUUCUCUACUGCAAUUUUCUUUGAAUGUGAAGAACCAUGAAUGAUUGAAUGGUCUAUACAAAAAAGCACGAUACCAUGCCAUUUUGUAAUCUUGAUAAGUAAAUCCAUCUGGAAUAAAUCUGGCUGAGAAAGAUUUCUUUGAAUAAAGAGAAAUCCAUUCAUUAGGAGAACAAACUUUCUUUAUUAUACAUUUUGAGUGACUAAUUAUAUUUGGAUUUUUUCUAUCUGGAAUAGGGAAUAUUUCUACAGAUUGAGUAUCUGUGAGAAUUAAUUCAUAAUAAUCCAAAUUUUUUGAAGGAUCAUCAGGUUGCCAAUAACAUUUGUGAGAAAAGAUUCUUUGAGUAAGCUGAUUGAGUGUAGAAUAUAAUGGUACUUCUUGGAAUCUGGUUAAAGUGAUAUGUUGAGUAGAUGGCUUUGUGAAAUAGGUAUUUUCAUUGGAUUUUUCUAUGGGUUUUGGAAUUUGUUGAAGAGGUCUUAUUUGAGAAGAAGUUGGAGUACGGAUAGCUUGACUGUAAGUCAAAGCUGAAAAAUCUUGCAAUAAUUGAAAUCUAUUUUGAGUUAUAGGAGUAAGACUCAUCUUAUAAUCUUGAGGAGUCUUAGGUUUAGCAUUUCCUGCUUUUGAAUCCAUUUUCCUGCAAAAUCAAUAAACAACAUCUUUAAGUUGGUUAGAUAAUUGUUUGUUUUGCUCUUUGUAAUAUUGAAGAAAUUCUUCACGUCUUCCAUCAUGUCUUCCCAAUCUUCGUAGGACUUGAAUUCUAAUAGUGUUUCUUUGAAUUUCUCUCUGAAUGAGAAAACCUCUCUCCUUUGAUGUAAGGGUUGCUAAAGGGCUUCUCUGAAUGUACACUGUGUCAUGUUUGGAAAUUUGAUAGGCUGGAAUACUUUGUCUUCCAUUACUGGUUUGAACAAAAUAUUGGUAUCCUCUGGAUUGAAGAACUGCUUCUUUGUUUAGUAAUUUAGGAGAAUCUCUUUGAGUUCUUAAAUAACCUGUAUAUUCUCUAUCAGUUCUUUGGGCCAUCAUUUCACGAUCCAUGUCCUUGUAAAAAUUCUCUAGUAAGAAAAUCUGGUAAUGAAUUAUUUUCUCCUUUUAUAAAUUCUAUUUCAAAAUAAAAAACAGAUAAAAUAGCUUGCCAUCUAGCAAAUAUUUGUUUUGAAACUAUGUUUUGAACAUCUUUUUGUAAAAUCUCUUUUGCAGAUUUACAAUCUAUUCUAAUCAAAAAUUUCUUGUUGUAUAAAUCAUCUUGAAAUUUUGAUAUGCAUAAAACUAUUGAUAAAAUUUCUUUUUUAAUAGUUGAAUAAUUCUUUUGAGAAUCAGACCAUGUUCCUGAAUGAAAUCUAACUAAUUCUUCUUUUGAUUCGUCUAUUCUUUGUUUUAAUAUACCCCCAUAUCUUAAUUCUGAUGCAUCUGUUUCAACUAUCAUGAAUGCUUUAGGAUGUGGUAAACAUAAACAUGGUAAUGAUUCAAUUUUUGCUUUUAAAUAUUUUAUUUUUUGAGUAUGUUCUUCUGUCCAUGGUUUUGGGUUCUUUUUUAAUCUAUUAAAUAAUAUAGAGCAUUCUUGUCUUAAUUUAGGAAAGAAAUUUGCUAUAUAAUUUAAACAUCCUAAAAACUUUUGUAAUUGAUUUUUAUCUUUUAUUUCAUUUGAAAAUUUAGUAGCAAAUUCUAAAGCUCUAUUAAUUGGUUUUAUUGUUCCUUGAUAUAUAUCAUGUCCUAAAAAUCUUAUUUUUGUUUGGAAUAAUUUCAUUUUUGGUGCUGAAACAACUAAUCCAUUUUUCUUAACUACUUUUAAAAAUAUAUUUAAAUGUUUGAAAUGCUGUUCUAUUGAUUCAGAAAAUAUUAAUACAUCAUCAAUAUAAACUAUGCUAAAUGAACUAUAAGGAUUGAAAAUAUCAUUCAUUAUAUUUUGAAAUUCUGAUGGUGCAUUUUUUAAUCCGAAUGGCAUUACGUUCCAUUCAUAAUGACCAAAAGAUGUUGUGAAUGCUGUUUUAUAUCUAUCUUUUGGUGUUAUUAAUAUUUUCUAAUAUCCUGAUUUUAAAUCAAACUUUGAAAAUAUUUUUGCCUUGAAUAAUCUAUUGAGCAAAUCCUUUUUAUUAGGAAUUGGAUAUCUAAUCUAUUGUAAUACUUUAUUUAAUGGUUUAUAAUUUAUAACUAAUCUUGGAACUCCUCUUUCUUUUUUAGUUUGAUUCAUUAUAUAGAAUGCAGCAUAACUCCAAGGUGAUUUUGAAGGUGUUAUUAAUUUUUUGUCUAUUAAUGUUUUUAUUUCCUUUUUACAAAAUUCUAAUAGAUCAGAAUUAAUUUGUAUUGGUCUUGCUUUAGUAGGAAUGUUUUUCUCAUUAAAACCUGUUUCGUAAGGUAAUUCAAUCAUAUGUUGUUUUCUAUCCCAAAAAAUAUUAGGAAUAUCUGCACAAAUUUCUUUUUGUAAUAAUUUUUCUAAUUCUGAAAUUCUUUUUUGCAUUUUACUUUCUUUUAAUUGUUCUUCAAUUUUUAAAUAAGAUUUUUCUUCUUUUAUAUAAUUUAUUUUGCUCUUGUACUUUAGUAAUACUAUUUAUUGUUUUGUAAAUAGAGGAUGUUUGUAAUGUCUGUAAUUCUCUUUGUUUUACUGGAGUUAGAAAUCUAAAGAUAACAGUUUUUCCCAUUAUAUUUAUUGAAAUUCCUUCAUGACUAACUGAAAAUGGGUAAAUUUGAAUUUAAAAAGGUGUUCCUAAUAUUAUAUCAUGAUUUAUAUUUUUUACAAUUAUGAAAUUAUGUCUAAUACAAUAUUCAUUGUUACAUAUUGAUCCUUUUGUAAAUUUAUAUUUUAUUUGUAAAUUUUCUCCAUUUGCUGCCAUUAAGGUUUCCUUUGUUCUUUCACAAUAUUUAGUAGGAAUUAUUCCUUUUUUAAUACAACUUGAAUCAGCUCCACUAUCUAUUAAAGCUACAUAUAUUUUUUUGAAAUCUUCUACUGUAAUAGUUACUAAAGCAUACCAUUUUUGAAAUAUCAUUUUUUCUAUGGUAUUUAAAUAUUGAAUUUCAUCUGUUGGUCUUUCUGAUAUACUUAUUUCUUCUGUUUUAGAAUUGGAAGUUGAGGGUUGAUUUUCUAGUAAUGUUAUUUUUGCUUCUAUUUCUAAAUCUUUUGUUUUUAAUUCUAUCAUUUCUCUUUGUAAUUGUUUUACUUGUAUUUUAAGAUCAUUAAUUUCGGUUUGAAGAUCUUUAGUGGUUUCUUUUUUCAUUAUAUUUAUGUUUGGAUAUUUAUCAAUUAAUUUAGAAAUACUAAAAGGUUCUAUUAUUUUUGGUAUUUUGUCUUCUUGUAUAAUUAGACUUUUUAAUCUUUCUAAAUACUCUUUUUUAGCUACUGGAUCAUCAAUUUUUUCUAUUAUAUCUAAUAAAAAUUCUUUAUCUUCUUUUUUGGUUAUAACAUUUAUAUAUUUUGAAGUGUUAGAACAAUUACAAUUUUCUUCACUUUCUGUACUAGAUAUAUCAUUAUAAUAAUCAUCUUCAGAACUUUGAUCUUUUUCAUUUAUUAAUUUAUUUUUAAUUUCUUCUUCUUUUGCACAAAUCUUUGUAAUUUUUUCUUUUAAUUUACAUUUGUUAGCUUUAUGUCCUAUUUUUUCACAUUUAUAACAAACAAUUUUUCUUUUAAUAAAUUUUCUCUUCUUUUCUGGUGUAUCUUCUUUAGAUCUUUUAUACUUUAUUUUCUUAUUAUAUUUUUUAACUUUUUUGUUAUACGCAGAUGGUGAUUUAAUUCUUUUAAUUCCAAAUGCAUCACAAAAUGAUCCUACUUCUUUUGAUUUAGAACCAUAUUUUAUUUGUAAUUUUAAUUCUGAACAUAGUAUUAAUCCUUCUUUUUGCACAAAAGCAAAUAAUUGUCCAAAAGUAAUAUUUUCAAAUGAAAUUACAUCUAUUAUUUAAUAGAUUAAAAAGGAACCCAAAACCAUGGACAGAAGAACAUACUCAAAAAAUAAAAUAUUUAAAAGCAAAAAUUGAAUCAUUACCAUGUUUAUGUUUACCACAUUCUAAAGCAUUCAUGAUAGUUGAAACAGAUGCAUCAGAAUUAGGAUAUGGGGGUAAAUUAAAACAAAGAAUAGACGAAUCAAAAGAAGAAUUAGUUAGAUUUCAUUCAGGAACAUGGAUUGUGUGACGCCCCCACUUCUCCCUAAGGUGAACCAAAGGGUAUCCGCGGGACGCCUGCCUAACUCUCGCCAGGACUCAAGCAAUUCCAUUCAAACUUAUUACCGGACCACACAAUACGGUCAAUAACUUAGAUACAAUAAAUGCGGAAGCGUUCAAAUUUAAUAAAAGUCAUCCGUUAUCCAACCCGUACAUCGGGUGUUCAACAACCAUCAUAAAUUCCAAAUAUACAUCAUGCCCCAAAAGUUACAUUCGGAUUCCAAAAUACAACCCAAAAGCCAAGACAUAGCCAAAAGUAAUAGAAACCCUAAACGAAAGUGUAUCAGGAAGGUUUCUUCGAUACCUCGCCAAGUUCAAUCCUGUUAAGGAAAACAAAUCUACAGGGUGAGCAAAAACGCUCGUGAGACCAAGAACACAUAUACAAGCACAUUGCUCAAAUAACAAUCUCAAUUUACAAGUUAAGCAAUCAUAUUUUAGUAAUUAACAAUUUAUUGGAAAUAUAACCAGAAACAAUUCAAGGAUAUUGGAGCCCUCAUGAGCUAUAUUCCACUUGCACAUUCAAUAACCUCCACGAAUUGGCACUCCGUCAAUUGGGUAGGUUUAGUCCGUAGAACUCCAUUUAACCUGUCCCCUUUCACCUUACAUACCCAUGUAUCGGGCCCGCCUGUCAUUUGUUUGUGGCGAUACUACUCGAGUAUGCCAAGCAAGACCUCUCACUAAGUCAAGCUUAUAUAUCUCAUGGCUCGCCAAGGUUCCCGACCAAACCCAUGUCGGCUCGAGUCCAAGGUCGGUCAAUGAGAUUUGGGCGUCCCCAUGUGCACUUGUGUGUCGAGGAGAUUCACUCCAACGACGUAGGCAACUAUAGCAUACCAUUACAUUUCAUUCAUUCAUUCAAUACAUUUCAAUCAUUCAUUCAAUGCAUUUCAAUCAUUCAUUCAAUACAUUUCAACCAUUAAUAUUUCAUUUCUAAUGAGAACGAAUGUGGUAAAGUACACACUCGACUCCACUUUCAAAAUUUCCAAUCAUUAAUAACAAUUAAACAUGUAACAAGUUUACAUACACCUGACACUCACCAAGUAUUAGGUGUAAGUAAGGUCAAGAAAAGUUCAAGCGUCCACCGUGGGAUCCUCUUGAAGGUUCUCGUGUGCGACUGAGCAAAUAAUAGUGAAUUAUCAUCCAUAUCCCAAAUAUCGAGGAAUAAUUCGUUCACUAGUAUUAAUCUAGGGGAUUCUGUGAAAAUGAAUCUCAAUUACUCGUAAAUUGAGGUUCGAGAGGGGUUUGAUAACAUUCAAAAGUAUUUAAGUCUUUAUCUAGGAAAUCGGGGAUAAAACGUUUAGAUAAUAUCAAAAGAAUAAAGAGUUUUUGAAAAACUCUAUUUCCUUGAAAGUUGGAAAAUUUCAGUUUUGUUAUGAAUCUUUGAAAAAUCGUAACUCACUUGGAAUAAGUCAAGAAUUGGAAAACUUUAUACCGUUGGAAACCUCUUAGAAAGUACUACAAGUUCCUAGAAGACACUUUUCCAUGAAUCGAAGUGGAAAGUGCUCAAAAAUGAGCUUAAAGUUGUUGUUCCAAAUCACCCAGGAUUGAGCCGGAGUUGAUUUUUCGCUAACUUUGAAAAUGCGGCAGAAUUCACUCGUUGCAAAUCAUCCCUUGAAAUUGAUAGCUCAAUUAGAGGUGCAAGUAAGGUUUAGGGCAGAUCAAGCGGAUCGAGAAUCGAAGUUUCGAGUACCAAGAUAUGGUAGCUCAAAGUUGGGUAAAUUUCAAGACUGUUAACAAAUUUCCAGAUUUGGUUCCGACUUUGGACCUUUAGUUAAGUGUCGAAACGGACUUGGAUUGAUACCAAAUUUUGCAGUAUAAUACUUCUAUAUGAAUGGUAUCUUUCUAUCAAAUUUUGUGGAAAAAUACCUUCGGGAAGGUGGUUAACCAAUCAACCAAAGUUUGAAAUUACUAAGGCCAAACUGCCUUUAGCUCUCUUUCUCUCUGUUUCCAAACAUUUGGCUAAGGAAAACCUCCAAGCAUGGUUCAUUUGUGCAAGAAAAGUCUAAGGAGUAUACAUGGUACAUUUGGUAGGUGUUUAGCACCAAGAAAUUCAUUUGGUAAUGACAGGUAUUUUACAUACGUGCAAGCUAAAAAAUACCGAAUUACACCAGUUCACUGCAAGUAUACAGAUCAACUAGUAGUUUAGGGUAUAUAUCGGGUCGAUCCCACAGGGAAGAGUGAACAAUUACCGGUAUUACUAAAGCUUCUCUAUUAUUUAGACUAUCAAUGAAUUAUAACAAAUUUAUCCUACUGAAAUUAUACAAAAUAACAAAUAAAUGCUCCUUAGGUUGUGGUAUCCCUAACUACUCAUGCAAGUGCUAUAUUUGGAUCAUUGAAUACUACAUCUAGGCUAAUUAUGGUGUAAUUUCCUUAACCAUGUGAAACCUACUUUCGUAGUGAAUCAAUUAUAUUUAUAACUAAUCCAUACCUAUUCUCAUGGUUAUGAAAUUAGCUACAAGUUCAUUUUUUCAGUGAAAUUACAUGAAAUGAAUCACUAAAAACCACAUAGGUGCACCUCUACUUUCGUGAUUGUACUCCCUAUGUUUAGCACUUCUUGAACUAAUGUUAAAUCUCAAUUUUCAUUGUAGAAAUAACACCUUAGAUAAUCACAAUUAAUGGUACCAGAUUAAUCAUGAUUUAAAGAGCUAAAAUGCUAAAUAACUUGCUCAAAUCAUAGCAGUUAAAUAGCCAAAUGAUAAACAGUAACAAUCAUAGAAAGUUCAACCAAACCCAAGGCAUAAACUUUAGAAACACAUAAUAGACAUAAAAUCCAGAACUUGUAUAUUAGCUAAACUUGGAAUCAAAUACAAAAGAUAAAGAGUUGGAAAGGAAUGUAACCCAUGUCACUUGAGCUCAUCACCUUGCCUUCUUCAUCUCUAUCUUAAUCCUAGUCUAGCAAUAUAAAAGAGUGGAUGAACUACACUAGCUAAACUAUCUUACACUAAGGAAAUGGAAGAACUACAUUUCUGCACUCUUCAAGCUUCCCCCGUAUGAUCAUCCAGACCUCCCAGAAUGUCUCUGCAUAUAAACUAAUGAAAAGCUCCUCUCCAGUCCAAAUUUUCUGCUAUAAUGAUUCUCAAAUCUCCAUUUUGUAAGAAAGUCAAAAACAAUGGUUUUGGACUUGGAAUUUUGGCUAUACCUCUUACUUUUUGUCUUCUGAAGCAUGUGCACCGAAUUCUCUUACAACUUAUAGCUGGAAAGUAGUCUGAACACAAGAGAAUUGACUGAGCAACUUGCAGAAUUUCGGCCAGAAAACGCGCCUAUACAAAACGCGGCUACACCUCGCGUUUUGUUCACUCGCGUUUUCACUUUGGCCUUACUUCAACUGCAAUUUUCUCCAUGAUGCCGGCCGAAAUGGAUUUUGUGCAAAACACUAAAGUUGUAUCCCUCUGAGCAAAUUGCAGAAUUUCGGCCAGAAAACGCGCCUAUACAAAACGCGGCUACACCUCGCGUUUUGUUCACUCGCGUUUUCACUUUGGCCUUACUUCAACUGCAAUUUUCUCCAUGAUGCCGGCCAAAAUGGAUUUUGUGCAAAACACUAAAGUUGUAUCCCUUUGAGUUAGCUUUCCAAUGCUUUAAAAAUCAUCCAAAUCGAAGCUUUGUAUCCUGAGAUAUGACCAAAAUACUAAAGACUGGUCAGAACUCUGUUUUCCACUUUGGACAGCUGAGUUGAAUUUCGGUAUUUCAACUUUUGGACUAUGAAAACGGCUGAAUUGGACUUUGAUGUCUUCAUACCAAAUGUAUAUCUAUCUCUUAGCUUCAAAAUGGUAUAAAGAUCAUCUCAAUGCAAUAUGUAUAGCUCCAGAUAUAGUCAAAAUACGAAAAUGUGUCUGAGUUGUCAAAGCUGACUUUUCUUGAUUUUUGUCCUCAAAUUGCAUUUCUUCCUUUUACACUUCAUAUUUUAUUUUCACCACUUUAAUCCAUCAUCAAUCAUCCAAAUAUCUUCUCAAUGCACUUCAUUUGAUGAUUGAAUCAUUAAACCUACAAAAUAUGAAGUUUUUUCCCAUAAAAAUCAAUAGAAAUGCAAUGUUAGCCACUUUAACAUAAAAUGUAGAUUUUUACCAAAACCUUAGUUAUUUUAGUUAUAAAGCUAAAUAAUCAAACCAAAAUUAACUAAUAAAACACACUAAAAAUACGUAAAAUAAACUCUUAUCAGGUAAGGCCACAACAAGUCUCAUCUCAAAUCUGUCCAAAACUGGGUUUUUCCAAAACAAAGCAGUCACCGUAUUUUGAUCAUAACUCACUCAAUUUAACUUGGAUUUGGGCAUGGUUGAUACUGUUACAAAAUACAUUCAUAGGGGUAAAAUUUUACAGAAGAAAUCAUUUUAAGUUUCAGCAUGUAACUGGCUCAAAAUUAAGCCUAGAGUUGCAGCAUCAUCAAAUCAUUUCGGCAGAACGGAGAAACAGGGCAGUUGAAUUCAGAAGAGUGGUGCGGUUCACACACAUGGAACCAGAAUGUGCAUUAUAUACCGUUGGAAAGAUGGGUAUGUUUAGUUUCAAAUGCCGCUAACGACACUUGAUUUCGAUGUCGGAGUACGGAGUUAUGGACGAAAUACAAACACUGGUCUGGUUACGACGGCAACCGUUUCCAGACUACCAGCUUUGGGAAAUAAAUUCUUUUGAUCAACCAAAACUCAACAUUUUUCAAUGAAAAUUUGUACACAACUUCUACAACAUGUAAACAACACAAUCAAGGGAUUGAAUUCUCAAAUUUCUGCAUUAAAGUGGCCGAACAAAGCAGGGGCAAAAUGGUCAAAUUUGGCCUUUGCACCCAACGUGAGUUUCCAGCAAUUUUCCUUCAACAAACCACUAACUUAAACACUAAUCCGACAUUAUAAACAUCAUCAAGCACAAAAUCAGCAACAACCCAAGAGUGGGAAUUCAUAGAGCCCACUUUUCCAAUUUCUCCAACAUCAACCACAACCCAUAUGCAAAUUCAACCUUAUAAGUGUAAUUUAACUUCCAUAAGACAAGUUUAAGGUAUUAGAUCAUUACCUACUUUGAUGGUUGGUCAAGACAGAAGUUUCGGUCCUUUUGAAUCUUGAAGAAAACCGUGGAUAGCUCCUUCCUUUUGCAGGUAAAUGGACUUCCCAAGUGUUGAGGUAGAUAUAGUUGAAUUUUUUUGAGAGUUUGGUAGAUUGAGUAAGAUUUGUAGAGGGAAUGUUGAAAGUUUUUGGUUGUUUCUUUGCAGCUGCUAGCCGUCCAAGGAGCUUGAAGAAAGGAAAUGGUUUGCUGAUCCUUUGGCGUAUAAGGAACGCUAUUCGUGUAAUAUUUUAAGUACGUAAAAAUCAAUUGCAAAUGCAAAGCACCAGUGUCGACAUAUCCCGAUCAUCUGAUCUCUUAAUCCACAAGUUAACAGCAAAACUACAAGGGACCUUGACACUUUAACACAUAUAGCCAUAUUCAUAAUAUUAUAGCAGAAGUUCCUUUCCAAUUGACCGACCAAAUAUUGCUCAUCUAGGUGUGUAUUCUCAGACAAUAGUAUAGAAUUUGAUCAUGCAAGAGAUGCAUAAUUAAGUAGGAAAACUUUCAUAUUGCUCUUUCCCCGACUAUUCCACACUACAUUAUUAAUUUUUCAUUAAAGUUAAGUUGUUACUUAGAUAGAAGGAAAGAAAUGGACUGACCAUUCUGGUUACAAAAAUAUCCUUCUUUUUGCCUAUUAAAGUACCACCAAGUCAUGAAGAUCCUAACUUAAUUAUCUCCACAGCUGGGCUAACUCCUCAUAUGUGUUCCAAUAACAAGUUAAAACUAAAGAAUUCAGCAUUCCAUAUUAGAUUUUACUGGAAGAAGACAGAUAAUAUAUGUACCUUUUGCUCCUCACAGUAUGAUGGAUCGGAAAACCAACUUUCAUCAACUACCACAUCCUCCUUUAAUUCUCUAUUUUUUGAAACUGCAACCAUAGAGGAUGUUAUAACUACUCUAUUGACAGAAGAAGAAUUUGCACAUGACCGCAGCACAUUCAGUGUUCCGCUUACUGCAGGUUCCAGUAGUUCUGCCUAUGAAAUCAAACCAAGUAAAAAAGGAAGUCAUUACCAGUCAUAGGUAAGACUAUGCUUUUAACCUGCAAAAAACUUAUCAUUCUGGUAUUAUGUUUGAGAAUUUCACCACAAAUGCUGUAAACCUACAGCUUUAGUUACUUAGCUAAAGGAUGCAUAUAGUUGUCUUAUCUCCUCUUGCUGCUAAAAUAAGUUCUCAGGUCCUUUAUUGUUGUUUUUCCCAUAUUUUUUGAGCUUUCACUGGGUGACAGGAACUUAAGACCAAUAGAGGAACAACUGAAAUAAGUCUCAGAUGUGGUCACCAAUUAAACCGUUGGUACCAAAUAUCAACCGAUGAAAUUCUGUUCUGGCUUGAACAGGACAGACAGAAAAUAUAAAAGGUGUAGCUCCCAUGAAUCCUGCGAAUAGAUUUUAGCGUGAACACAUAAUGCAUGUUGCAAUUUCUUUUAGUGUCUGUGAGGCAACCUUGUUCAUUGAAAUUACUAAAAUCAAAGUUCUACAAAGUUACUUAUAUAAAAAUCCAUAAACAAACAGACAAGGAUAGGUGUACUGCAUAAAAUUUUAAGGCACAAUCAUUAAUAGAAGUUAAUCAACAUACAAAUGAAGAUACAUAUAAUUUGCAGAUGCUUGAACAUAUAUUGUAGUUUCUAUAAGCUUCUUAUUCAUGGUGAUAUCGGCACCCAAAAACUAUUGGCUCUGCACUGGCUGAAUAAUUAGUUGGUCAAAGCAGCGAUUCAUUUGCUCCAGGGCAAGCUUGUAGCUUGCUCUAUAACCUUGACACAGGUGCCGAACCUGUGCAAUAAUAAUUACUAAAAAGUCCUAAUUACCACCUCAAUUAAUUAUAGAACAAAUCCAAAUACUGGAGCAGGGACCCUAGGUGUGUAAUAGGUUACUUGAUUCACCUAUUCGAAGAGUUUGCUUGAUGAUAUACCAAAUUUGCCUAUAAAAAUAUUAAUUUUGCAUACAAUGACAAGUAGGGUCGAUUCCACAGGGAACAGGUAGGAAGUUUUCUUUCCAAGUCAAUAGAAUAAAAUUGGGGGAUGAUUAAUGGGAUGGAAAUGAAAAUAAAAUAAAUAAAAUUCAAAAGAUAACUCCACAAGUACAAUUUAUUAAAAAUAGAAUUAAUAAAAUUCUACCCAAAGGAUCAACUUUUCAGGUACGGUCCAAUUAAAUGAUCAUCGAUGCAGAGAUAUUUCAUUCAUCCGUCACUAGAUUGAUUAUAACUAUCAACAACGUCUGACAGCCAGUUCUCCCUUACCUUUUUAUAACCAAGGUAUGACCGUUGACUGCUUUCUAACCAGAAAACAACCCUAGUACGACCGUAGGAAUUUAAUUAUCCAGUUGCAUUAAAACUGGAAAAAUCAACCCUAACCAAUAAACACGCUAAGAGGGUUUAUUUAAAUUAGAUCUUGCGUUCCCCAACAUAAAGCCAAUUAUGGUGGUUGUCACUAGGUAUCAACUAAACGAACAAUUAUUGAUUCAAUUUAGUUAAUAUGACAGUAGGCUAUUAAAUUAAAUCAAAUACCCGGCAGUUGAUAUUCAAUUAAUAAAAUAUCCAUAAACAAUUAAUUCAGGAAAUGCACGAAUAGUAAAGAAUUGGAAGAAAGAAUAAAAAUUCGAUUAGAUCUCAUAGAUGUUAUGGACCGCGCCCUUGCGUCAACCUUUAGGUAGAGAGGAAAACUAGCCGCUCCUAUCAUAUCAAUCUCGCGUGGUUCAAUUGAUAUCAUUCAACUUAAUUAUCAAAAGGAUUGGGAAAAGUGAAAUAGCGAAGGAACGGCUAAAAAGCCUUGCUUCCCUUUGUAGGGUUUCGUGUUCGUACCACUGAGGCCAAAGUAAAAGCAAAAGUCUAAUAGGGAAGUCGUACAGAAGCCAAAAGCAAAGAGUAAAUCGUCUGUAAUGGCCGACAGAUGGGAGCCAAAGAAAAUUAAAGCUAAGCUAAUCUAUUAGACGUGAAUCUGGCUUUGACUAAUGCUGUGAAAGACCGAAGGACCCCAGACGUCUGACUCCAAAUUGAAACUCAAGCUACUCUAAUUGAUCAGACGUGAUUUUGGCCCUUUUUCCUUUUUGAACGCCGCCGCCCACAGAGACCAAGAAACGUCUGGGUUUUACUUGCUUUUGGAGCCUAGGCUUUGAUUCCAUGCGUCGAGUUCACGUGGGUUUGGUUUCCUAGUUAGCCUGCUGCUAUCAAUCCUGCGAGUCCGAUUUAGGUAUAUCUCCUCAGUUUCUGGCGUGGGCACGCCAUAAAAUAAAGAGUCUUCUGAAAAUGUGCCUCACGCGAUCACUUUUAACACCAACCACCUACAAUUUACACAAAUAUCAAAUAUGAGCAAAUUCUCAAUUCUUAGCACCAUGAGUUGCCAAAAUUAGGACAGAAUAAUAGUGCAAAAUGUGCUAAAUAACCCAUCAAAUCCCCACACCUAGAUAAUGCUUGCCCUCAAACAUUUCAGAGCUCAGAAGCACAAUCAAGAUAGCAACGGUUUCCUAGUCAUCUAUACUAGCACAAACAUCCCGCAUUCCCGACAAUAUCGCCAAAAUUAAAACAUACCAAACAGGUAGUUAUCCAAAGAAUAUGAACAGUAUUAUACGUUACCUUCAAGAAAAUGUAUAAAUACUAGGAACGCUCAAAUCAACAUCACGGAAUGAAUUACCAUAGGCUUGCACAUUUAUCACAUCUCCACCACCGAAAAACGAACUAAAUACACAAAUCAAAGGGACUUUCAUAGGGUUGUAAUGGGGUUUAAGUAAAAGGAGGGAUAAGAAGGUGAAAAUAAGGUGUAAUGUGUCAGGGGAAUGUCCGAUAUCCACCACAUAACCACAAUGCUCACCGGAGAAAUUUCCACAAACAAGACAGUUUCACCUACUGUACACACUGUGCAAAUGCCACCAAUUUUCUCUCUCUCUUUUUUGACAGGCAGCUUGCAAGGCGUGGGCACGUCCUAUAAGUCAGAGUCGUCCGUUCACUUCCUUCACUUUGCUUUCUCUUUUUUUUUUGGAGGAUAACGUCUUGCAAGGCGUGGGCACGCCCUGUAAGACAGAGUCUUCUGAUCAGCAGCUUAUUGUUGAUUUAUCCCCUUUUUUGUUCCAGAUGCACAAAGAUAGCAUCAUACAGAUUCUACUCUGACAACACUUGCGAUUCCAGAUUUAUUUGCCUUGCACAAAUGAUGAAAUUCAGACAUCCCUUGACAACACAGGGGUGACCAAGAAAGUCUAAAGAGAUCUUGGAUUAUCAACAUGGCUAACAAACAAACUCGACGGAUAAAAGCUCAAAUUGGUUUACUAUUAGAAGACAAGAUGAAGGCAUGAUUUUUAGGAAGUUAUAGGAAGUUUAAUCCUAAAUGCCCUUAUCAUUUCAAAUGCAACCAAUUCAACAAAAUGUGGUCUCGACAUGUACAAAAUAGCAAGUUCUAGAAUGCCAAUACCAUGUGUGAUACCCACUCAAUCAAACAAAAAUAGAGCAAACAAGAAUAAUGUGCUCGCAAGGCUCAAAAGCUUCCAAAAAUUACAAAAGUGGGUCAAGUCCAGCAUACUCAAUAUUCAACGAUAUUGCUAAGGAAAAACCAGAUGCACAGCCAGCAUAUAUGACCACAUAUACGUGCACCCAGAUUGUAUAUUCCAUCAUAGUAAAAUGCUCUAGCAAAAAUGAACUAACUAUAUACUUUUUCCUUUUUGUUUUUCAGGUUUUUUUUCAUGUUUUCCUCUUUUUUUUUUUGUUUUUCGAGCAAAAAGAAACAAUAGAGACAAAAAGAAAUAAUAGAAAUCACUCCCCACACCUAAAACCUACAUUGUCCUCAAUGUAGCCUAGACAAAUAAAGUGCAAGGACAAAGGGAGAGAAACUUCCCUGACUACUGAGAUGGUGCAGCGAGAUCCUAAGGAGGCGGAGGAUGCAGGGGGUGGAAUCCAAUAUGAGCAUAGAAAGCUGCCUGAUUCUCUGUCUGAAUACGGGCAAAAACCUGUAACGCCCUAAAACGGUCAUCCAACCCUCAAUGCGCUCCUCCAGCGCAUGGAUAGAAUCCUGGAGGGAGCGAUAUUGGGACUCCCAAGCAGGGGGAGCAUGAUAGGAGGACGGACCUGCCUGAUCCGGAUGGGGUGGAGACUCAGUGGAGGGGGCAGUCGGAGGAACCCGGGGCUGUGGUCCGUCCUCGCCAGGAGGUGUAAACUGAUAGACAUUUCCUACUUUGAAAAUAACUCCCAUCCGCUCCAAGCUGCAAAUCCAGUGGCUCUAUCUCAUGAGCUAGAGCGAAGUUGUUCUCUUUGUCGAGGUCAAGCAAACCCAAUCGAAUGGCCAAGUGAGUAAUGAGUGAACCCAGAAUUACCGGUUUAUUGCACUUUUGAAUGACUGAUUGCAUUUGAGUGGCCACCCAACAUCCAAAGUUAACCUGAACUUUGUUACGCAUGCACCAAAGAAAAUAAAAAUUCUGCCUUGGUGAGAGUGCCGGAGGAAUCCUUCCGGCCCGAGAAAUUGUGAGCCAAGAACCUAUGGAUGACCUUCAAGACCGGAUCCUUCAGAUGAGAGGCCUUGGACUGACUCGGAUUGUAAAGUUGAGGAUCUGUGGACCACUCCCUCCAAAUGUCAAUGUAAUCAGUAGAAAACGGUUUGGUGUAGUCACACACACUAUUUAUAUAUGCUCUGGAUGCAAUGGUAUUCUCACUAACAAACCCCAAAGUCAGAUUAAACUCAUUAAUGGGCAUACUAUACUGGGUAUCUCUUAAUCUAAAUUGAAUAAUCCUCUUCCCAUCCAAAGUGAUGAAUUCAUUUUUUAUGAACUCGGAGGUGGAGUAGAAUUCACAACACAGCUCCUCAAACGUAGGGUAAUCAAUGGUUAGGUACUUUUGCCAACCUAUUGCCGAGAACAACUGUUCAACAUGUCGUGCAAUUUGUAAAUGGUCCAAGGUUGGGGCAUGGAAGCAUUACAUGGGGCAAAAAGACAGUGCACCAAGCUAUUGAACCGGUCCUGUUGUGCCCUUGUAAGGUUAGUGACCGGUUCCCCCAUUCCCCAAGAGACAUAGUGCUUUUAUUGAGGCCUAAACGAGAACGAAUAGGGGUUUGAAUUGGGGCUCGCCUUUUACGAGGUUGGGACCAGAUGCCCCAGAAGUUGUUGCUUUUUUUUGGAGGCAUUUGGAGACCACAGGCAAAGUGUAAAUAAGUAAAGAGACAGCCAGUCAAUCACAAAAGAGGCAGGAGACCACAGUCAACAAUUACUACUCAAAAAUCAACAGUCCAAUAGCAAAGAGAGAGUACAAUUGCCCCCAAACAAAGACAGGCAGAUUGACACAAAAAUCCCUCAUUAGCGUCACUAGGCAACCAAUAAUUAAGACAAGAAGAAUCGAGACCCCAAACAAUGAAAUUAUCAGUCAAAUAUGUCCAACAGAGGGUGAAUCACUUGUCACGUGUACCAGAUAUCCGAUUCACCAGAAUCCACAGAUAUAUAAACUCGAAUCUGAGUCAAAUAUAGCAACUAGAUCCCAAAUUUGAAGACCAGUGACAAAAAUUUAGGGAAAAUAUGGGUACCACUUUUUUUAGGCUGGAGGAGGUCGUGGGAGAGUCACACGGCGAGAAGAAGAGGAGCCAAGGGCGGCGCGCGUGCUCGUACGGAUGGGGAAGGACGCGCUGCUGGAGGGCUGUUGGCGGAGUGGGGCACACGGGCUGGCUGACGCGUGCAGCACAGGGCCUGGCCGGCAGGGCAGGUCGCGCCAGGCGGGCAAUACUGCUAGGUGUGCUGGGCGUGCGGGUGCGUGAGGUCGCUCGCGUCUGGCAGGCUUGCAGAUGAAGACCGCGAGCUGCUGGGAAAGCGCAGACCUGCUGCUGGGUCGACUGCAGCGCGCGGAGGAGGAAGGAGCACGCGAGAAGAGCAGGCGCGCAUGCAGCGUGCGAGUAGGGGAUGUCACGUGCAAAGGCAACUCGCACGCUGGUGAGUUUGGUGGCGGAGUGCGACAGCUGACCACGGGCGACAGACAAUGGCGCAGCGGCAGGCGGCGGUGUGCGGCAAAGACGAUGGCAGGUGGAGGAGGCGUGCGAUGGAGAAUGGCGGCGGACCAAGAAAGCAAGGCAAAAGAAGAAAGUGAGACUUAGUCAAAAGAAAGAAACUGAAAAAGUAGAAGCUAGACUGACGGGUCUUGACAAACUAGACAAGACAAGGAAAAGAGUAAAGUAGAAAAGUGGGGUCAGAGAGGGUCCCGGUCAAUUUUGACUUUUGUUGUCCCACAGAUUGGAAGACGUGGGCAUGCCUUGGAGGCCAUAGUCUUCUGACCGUCGCAUCUUGACAAAGUCCAAAAGAGUUCCUUUCAAGGCAUGGGCACGCAUUGCAACUGUUAGUCUUCAAUUUGCACAGUUGACCUGGCGUACCCCUUCCAAGGCGUGGGCACGCCUUGGAACCCCUAGUCUUCUGUUCAUCACCACAAAAACAAUCAAAAUAUAAAAAUAGAACUGAAAAAUCGCAAGUAAAUGAAAAAUGAUCACAACUAAUUCUGUAUUCCUUGGGUUGCCUCCCAGCAGUACCUUUCUUUAAUUUCUUUGGCUAAACAUGGCCAUCAGCUAUUUAGACCUCACGAUUUGGAUCAUUAAGAGAUAUAAUCUCCACUUGCUCACUGUUAAACCCUUCAUAAUAAGGCUUUAGACGGUGACUAUUGACUACGAACUUCUUCUCCGUUUUCAAGCUUUGGAUCUCCACUGCACCAUAAUGAAAAAUAUUAGAGAUAACAAAUGACCCAAUCCAACGCGAACGCAACUUACCUGGAAAAAACUUAAGUCUCGAGUGAUAAAGUAGGACUUUUUGCCCUAUUACAAAUGACUUCCUUGAGACUUGUUGGUCAUGAAAAAUUUUGCUCUUCUGCUUAUAAAUUGCGGCGUUCUCAUAGGCUUCAUUCUUUAGCUCCUCCAACUCUUGUAAUUGGAGCUUUCUAUGUCCUCCGGCCUCCAUAAGGUCCAUGUUACACCGCUUGAGCGCCAAAAAAUGCUCUGUGUUCAAAUUUCAUCAGGAGGUGGCAAGGCUUCUCAAAAACUAACCUGUAUGGGGAUAUCCCAAUCGGUGUUUUGUAUGCGGUGCGGUAAGCGCAGAGAGCAUCUUCCAACUUCAAACUCCAGUCCUUUCUAUCAGACUGCACCAUUUUCUCUAGGAUUGACUUCACCUCUCUAUUCAACACUUCAGUCUGACCAUUCGUCUGUGGAUGAUAGGGAGUGGACACUUUGUGGAGCACGCCAUAUUUACGAAACAGAACAGUGAUCGUCUUAUUGCAAAAAUGGGUGCCCCUGUCACUGACUAUAGCUCUCGGCAUUCCGAAACGGACAAAAUGUUAGAUUUAAUAAAUUCUGCAAUCACUCUAGAAUCAUUAGUUUGGGUGGCCUUUGCCUCCACCCAUUUGGAACAUAAUCAACAGCAAGUAGAAUGUACAAGAAACCAAAGGACGAGGGAAAGGGACCCAUGAAAUCUAUACCCCAAACAUCAAAAAUUUCAACAAAUAAUAUGGGGGUUUGACUCAUUUGGUCUCUACGAGAAAUAUUCCUCACCUUUUGACACCUAUCACAAGAUUUACAGAACAAAUAUGCAUCCUUAAAAAGAGUCGGCCAAUAAAAAUCGCUCUCUAGCACCUUACGAGCUGUGCGUUUUGGCCCAAAGUGCCCCCCACAUGCAAAUAAAUGGCAAAAAAUCAAAAUAGAAUAGAACUCAUCGGCACUUACACACCUUCUUAUCACCUGGUUCGAGUAUUGCCUCCACAAGUAUGGGUCAUCCCAAAUAUAAUAUUUGGCGUCAUUUCUCAACUUAUCUCUCCUUGCCAUCGGUCAACCUGAAGGCAAUUGAUUCGUUACCAAAAAAUUUAUAAUGUUAGCAUACUAGGGUGCCGAUGAAUCAAUGGCUAGCAAUUGCUCCUCGGGAAAUGACUCUCUUAAUGGCAGAUCCUCCUAAUUCGUGAGCAGCCGACUCAAAUGAUUAGCCACCAAAUUCUCGGCUCCGCUCUUAUCCUUGAUCUCUAAGUCGAACUUCUGCAGGAACAAGAUCCACCUGAUCAGCCUCGAUUUUGCAUUUUUUUUCGCGCCAACAGGUACCUCAAGGCUGCAUGAUCAGAGAAAACAAUUAUUUUCGCACCCAAUAAAUAUGACCUAAAUUUUUCUAGUGCAAAAACAACAGCUAGUAAUUCUUUCUCCGUCGUGGAGUAAUUAAGUUGGGCUCCACUCAAUACUCUCGAUGCGUAGUAAAUCACGUGUGGCGUUUUUCCAAUUCUCUGUCCCAAUAUGGCUCCUACGGUAUAAUCGCUCGCGUCACAUAUUAUUUCAAACGGCAGGCUCCAAUCUGGGGGUUGAAUGAUGGACGGUGGCGUCAACGACUCUUUCAAUUUAUCAAAGGCCACUUUGUAUUUAUCGGUGAAGUCAAACGACACGUCCUUUUGCAGCAACUUAAACAAGGGAGCUCCGAUCUUUGAGAAAUCCUUGAUGAACCUCCUGUAAAAUCCUGUAUGGCCCAAAAAAGAACGUACCUCCCGUACAUACACGGGGUAAGGUAGAGCAGAAAUAAGAUCUAUCUUAACUUUAUCUACCUCUAUUCCCUUAGCCGACACAACGUGCCUUAAAACAAUAUCAUGUUCGACCAUAAAGUGACACUUCUCUCAGUUAAGAACCAAAUUCGUUUCUAUGCACCUUUUCAGAAUUAAAGCUAGAUUAUCAAGACAUUCAUCAAAACUAUCCCCGUAUACGCUAAAAUCAUCAAUGAACACCUCGAUUAUCUUUUCUACAUAUUCUGAGAAAAUACUUACCAUGCACCUUUGAAAAGUUGCUGGAGCAUUGCAAAAAUCGAAAGGCAUCCUACGGUAAGCAAACGUACCAAAUGUGCAGGUGAACGUGGUCUUUUCCUGGUCCUCUGGUGAUAUCACGAUCUGGAAGUACUCUAAAAAAUCCAAGAAACAGUAAUAAAACACGACCAGCUAAUCUUUCCUCACAGAAUUUAGUCUCCGGUAGUCAAUGCACUGACGCCAGCUAGUAGCUUUCCUAACUGGAACCAUAUCACCUCCUGGUUCUCCUCUACGAUCACUCCUAUUUUUUUUGGGAUCACUUGAACAGGACUCACCAAGGACUGUCCGAGAUAGCAAAAAUAUAUCCCCACCUCUUGGAGUUUAAGUAUCUCUUUCUUUACAACUUCCAUCAUCAGAGGAUUCAACCUCCGUUGUGCCUAUCUUAUCGGCUUCGCAUCCUCUUCGAGUCGAAUCCGGUGCAUGCAUAAGGAUAGACUUAUUCCAUUUAUAUCUGCUAUGCUCCACCCAAUUGCCUCAUUAUACUCCUUAAGAAUUCGCACCAGUUUAUCCUCUUGAUUUGGAAAUAAAUGUGCAGAAAUAAUUAUCGGAAGUGUCUCCCAAUCUCCCAGGAAUGCGUACUUUAGAUGCUUCGAGAGAGGCUUAACCUUUAAUUCCGGUGCCUGCCACAACUGAAGGAAGCAGCUUUGUCUGAGUCUCUGGCACAAACAGAGAAGUAAACUCAUACUUGGAGAAACAGUUGAUAGUGAGUAUAAGGCUUCAACUGCAUGGUGCAACUCAUCCCUCAUGUCCACAUCAAGAGUUACACCCAACUCAAGAUGCUUGAUUAGGGCCACUUCCAAUGCGUCCUCACCAUUCAGUUCGAAAGUUUCCUGUACAAUGAGCUCAAAAACAUUCAAAGCAAAGACUGAGUUAGAUUCUUCUGGGUAUUUCAUCGCCUCAAAAAUAUUAAAGUUUACAGUUUCGCCAUCAAAUUCUAUUGAUAAAGUAUCCUCAUUCACGUCUAUUUUCGUCCUAGCAGUGCUAAGAAAUGGUCUACCUAACAAAAUAGGUGACGGGUUUAACGACUUUUCAUCUCCCAUAUCCAAGAUAUAAAAAUCUGAUGGAAAAACUAACUCAUUUACUUGAACCAGGACAUCCUCAACUAACCCUUCUAGGUAGGCAUUGGUGCUGUCGACAAGUUGGAUUAUGAUGGCCGUCUCUUUUAAUGACUCAAGAUUCAGGGACGUAUAAAUGGUUUUUGGCAUCACAUUGAUUGACGCCCCUAAAUCCAAACGGCUCUCUGAUCGGUGUAUUUUCUAUCUUACAAGGGAUCGUGAACAUACCUGGAUCCCCACAUUUGGGUGGGAGUUUUCUUUGGAGUAUAGUUGAUACGUUUUCUCCUACCACUACCCUUUCAUCCCCUCUCAACUUUCUCUUGUGAGUGCACAAGUUCUUGAGAAAUUUCGCGUACUUCGGUACUUGCUUGAUUGCAUCCAACAAAGGGAUGUUGAUCUCCACUUUUCUGAACACGUCCAGGAUCUCUUUCUCUUUCCCCGCCUUCUUCGUUUUCUCCAACCUGCAUGGAAAAGGAGGUAAAUUAGAUUUAAUAGGAAUUGAUGGAGUAAGAGUUACUUUAGGGUCUCCAUGAAUGUGUCUUUCUUCCUCAAUCUCCUUUUCUAUCUCCUCCUCACUCUUAUCUUUCAGGUUCGUAGUCUUUGGCCCCUCCACUUCUUUACCCUGUCAUGGUACUCACAUUUUUGGGAUUUGUCUCGGGUUGCGAUGGUAAUUUUCCAAAAACUUGGGACUCCAAGCUAUUAAUCGCGGUUGCCAUGUGACUUUUUGAAUCUCUAGAUUUUUCAUGCCCGCUCUGGUUUUCUGUUGGAACUGAGCAGUACUCGUGGCCAGGCUCUUGACAAUAUCUUCCAAAGAACUUCCUGAGUUAGAUGACGAAGGUUGUGAUUUUGGUUGCAAUGGUUGCUGGAAUCCUGGUGGACGAUUGGAGAAUAAAUUCUGUGGCCUAUUCCCAUAGCUGAAAUUGGGGUGGUCUCUCCAACCCGGAUUAUACGUGUUGGAGUAUGGGUCAUACUGCCUACGAGACGCGGGCACGCCUCCAGCCAUAUUCACUUGUUCAGUCCCAUCCUCUUGCAACAUAGGGCAUGAGUCAGUGGGGUGGCCCACAUUUGUGCAGAUUCCACAGGCCUUUGCUUGAUGCACGUUUCCCACAACUAAUUGUCGAACAAAAGAUGUCAGCUCUGAUAUCUGCUGCUGAAUGGACGACGUCUCUACCUCGUUGACCCUGCGGGUAGGGUUACUCUCACGAAAGCCAAACUGUUGAGAAGUCUCUGCCAUCAAUUCAAUGAGUAGCCAUGCUUCCCUUGGUGUCUUGUUCACCAAUGCUCCCCCACUUGCAGCAUCAAUGAUACUCCUAUUAGACGACUGGAGGCCCUCAUAGAAAUAUUGGAUCAAUAGUUGUUCACUAAUUUGAUGUUGUGAGCACCUAGUGCACAACUUAUUGAACUUCUCCCAAUAGUUGUGUAGGGAUUCUCCAGGGUACUGCUUAAUGCCACAUAUCUCUUUUUUUAGACUUGCAACCCGGGACGCAGGAAGAAUUUUUCCAAAAAUUUCUUCUUAAGUUGGGUCCAUGUGGUGAUACUACCUGCAGGUAGGUAGUACAACCAAUCAUUCGCUGCAUCCUUGAGAGAGAAGGAGAAGGCUUUAAGUUUAAUCUGCUCCUCAGUAAUUCCUGGAGGCUUCAUACUGGAACAUACCACAUCGAACUCUUGAAUGUAUUUAUGGGGUUCCUCACCCGAGAUGCCAUGGAACGUGGGUAGGAGGUGAAUUAAUCCUGACUUCAGUUCAAAGAGGUAUUCUUAACUAGAGUUGGAAAUGUGAUGCACAACGGCUGUUGGGACAAUUCCGGAGCAGCCAGCUCCCUUAGUGUCCUUGCAUUCGCCAUAGAGAUGUCCUCUUGGCCUGGGUCACUUAAAUUUUAACAACUCAAAUUUGUUGACUCAACCUCAGGAUCCAGUCUCUGAGAUGCAAUGCUGGAUUGCUCCUCCUUAGCUGUCUGGUCUCUUUCUUAGUUUGGCGCGCAAUCUUCACUACUUUUGGGUAAAAAAUCAAUUCACUGUACGAGAAGAACGAGGUAUGAACUAGAAAAAUGUUAGACAAAUCCAAAGAGAACAACUUAGAAAGAAACAAAAUUAACCAAAACACCGUUUCCCGGCAAUGGCUGCAAAAAUUGACAGGUGCCGAAUCUGUGCAAUAAUAAUUACUAAAAAGUCCUAAUUACCACCUCAAUUAAUUAUAGAACAAAUCUAAGUACUAGAGCAGGGACCCUAGGUGUGCAAUAGGUUACUUGAUUCAUCCUGUUCUCGAAGAAUUUGCUUUAUCCGAUAUACCGACAGGAAGUGAGCCAAUUUGGUCAAUCUAUCCACUAUUACCCAAAUAGCAUCAUGGCCUCUUUGUAUCCUUGGUAAUCCUGAUACAAAAUCCAUGGUGAUAUUUUCUCAUUUCCAUUCCGAUAUCUCCAAAGGUUAUAAAAGUCCCGAUGGUUUCUGAUGUUUGGCCUUAACUUGUUGACAAACUAAACAACUCUGGACAAAAUGGGCAAUUUCUCUCUUCAUAUUAUCCCACCAAUACAGACUCUUCAAAUCUUGGUACAUUUUAUUACCUCCAGGGUGUACCAUAAACUUCGAUCGAUGUGCCUCUUCCAAGAUUUCCUUCUUAAGCUCUUCAUCUUUUGACACUACUAUCCGAUUCCGAAACCUCAAAAUACCAUUUGAUCCCAAGUUAAAAUCUGACUUGUCUUCCUUUUUGACUUUUUCCGACCAUUUCUGCACUUCAGUGUCCUUUCCUUAAGAUUCCUUGAUACGCUCCAACAAAGUGGAACUCACUGCAAUGUUCCCCAAAAUUACUUUCCUCGGUUCCAGUCGAGGAUUCCAAUAGCUAACUGUUUCCAACAAAUGGAGUUCCUUAAUUAUCAACCCAGCCAUUUACAUUUGACGAUUCAAAGCAUCGGCCACUACAUUGGCUUUUCCUGGAUGAUACUUUAUAGUGCAAUCAUAAUCUUCCAGAAAUUCUAUCCAUCUACGUUGCCUCAAAUUCAGUUCUUUUUGUGAGAAUAAGUACUUAAGAUUUUUGUGAUCAGUAAAAAUCUCAAACGUCACUCCAUAUAAAUAGUGCCUCCAUUUCUUUAAAGCAAAUACCACUGCAGCCAACUCCAAGUCAUGAAUCGGGUAAUUCCCUUCAUGCGGUUUCAAUUUCCUAGAGACAUAUGCUAUUAUCUUGUCAUUUUGCAUCAAAACACAUCCCAAACCUUCCUUAGAUGCAUCUGUAUAAAUCACAAAACUAUCAUUUCCAUUGGGUAGGGCUAAUACUGGGGCUCUGGUUAAGUGUCUUUUCAAUUCCUGGAAAUUCUCUUAGGACUCCAAAUAAACUUUUCACUUUUCUUAGUCAGCUCGGUCAUGGGUCCAGCAAUUCUAGAAAAGUCCUUGAUGAAUCUCCAGUAAUACCCUGCUAAUUCAAUAAAACUUCGAAUCUCGAUAGGGUUUUCCGAUCGUUUUCACUUCUAAACAGUUUUAAUUUUGGCUGGAUCCACUUUAAUCCCAUCUUUAGAAAUUAUAUGUCCCAAGAAAGUCAUUUCUUUUAACCAAAACUCACACUUGCUAAACUUAGCAUAUAACUGGUGUUUCCUCAGGGUUUGUAAAACAAUCCUCAAGUGUUUCUCGUGGUCUUUCACAUUCUUAGAAUACACUAAAAUGUCAUCAAUGAAGACCACUACAAAUUGGUCCAGAUAAGGCUUAAAAAUCCUAUGCACUAAAUCCAUGAAAGCAGCAGGUGCAUUCGUUAACCCAAAUGGCAUCACAGCAAAUUCAAAGUGCCCAUACCUCAAGUUAAAAGCAGUUUUGGGUAUAUCCUUCUCCAAAAUCCUCAAUUGGUAAUAUCCCUAUCUCAAAUCCAGCUUCGAGAAUACUACCGCCCCUUGUAAUUAGUCAAACAAUUCAUCAAUAUGGGACAAUGGGUACUUAUUCUUAAUUGUGACAUCAUUCAAGCCUCUAUAGUCUAUACAUAGUCUCAAACUCCCAUCCUUUUUCUUAAUGAACAAAACUGGGGCUCCCCACGGAAAAUCACUCUCUUUUAUAAAACCCCUUUCCAACAAUUCUUACAGUUACAAUUUCAACUCCUUCAAUUCCGCUGGAGCCAUCCAAUAUGGCAUCUUAGAAAUAGGUGUCACUCCCGGAGUUACAUCAAUCUUAAAAGUUAUUUCCCGUUCCGGGGGUAAUGACUCUAACUCUUCAGGAAAAACAUCUGGAAAGUCUUUCACUACCGGCAUGUCCUCCAAAUUCACCUUAUCACUAGGGUUGUUAAUAAGAAAAGCCAAAUAUCCUUGAGCUCAUUUACUUAAUAAUUUUCUAACCCGAAUCCCUGAGAUAAGUGCAGACGAAGCCAAUUUACCCCUUAUAUCCAACUUUAGGGUUGCCUCCCCUGGAGUGCACAAUUCUACAAUCUUUGUUCGGCAGUUCAACUGGGCAUUAUAACGAGUUAGCCAAUCCAUUUCUAAAAUCACAUCAUAUCCCUUAAUUGCUAAACCUAUCAGGUCGACCAAUAAUUUUCGUUCCUCGACACAGACUUCACAAUCUCUAUACACCAGGUUAGCAAUUAAACUUUGAUCCCCAGUAGGUGUUUUAACUUCCAAGUCAUACGGUAAUUUAAUUGGUUUCAAGUCUAUUCCACUCAUGAAGUUAGGGUUGACAAAAGAAUGUGUUGCACCUGGAUCAACUAAAACUCUAGCUAAACGAUGAAAGAUUGGAAUUGUACCUUCAACCACUUGAGUCGCCUCAGGUACCUGCUGAUAGUCCAGUGCAUAAACCCUAGCCGGCACUUUCGAUCAACUUCCUCCAGCACUAGUCUGCUUAGAGGUUGACUUUUCUGGCCUCUGGGUGUUACUCCCCAUUUUUUGUGAUUUCAGACAAUUCACGACCUGAUGUUUGGCACUACCACAAAGCAAACACUUCCCCGACUUUCUCCAGCAAUCAUUCUCGGAGUGAUUGGAUUUUCCACAGUACCCACAAGUAAGUUGAGUGGUCACAGCCGAACCAGUAGAAAGCGCUCCCCUAACUUGAGUUGGCCCACCAUGACCUCCUCUAGAUAGACCUCCCCUAGAAGCUCCAGCAGUCCUUAUUCCUCCCGUUCCUCUUCCCAUCUUGGAAGGUUGUGCAUUCUUACCAGCCUGCCCAAACGCAGAGCUAGAAAAGUGUCUCUUUCUAUUGUUAAAGUCUCUCACUUGCAGUCUUGCACUUUCAACCCUUUGUGCCUUCUCUAAAGCCUCAGUAAAUGUAGAAAUUUGGGCUGCGGCCAAACCCUCUUGAAUUUCCACAUUAAGUCCUUGUACAAACCGUCUAAUCCUCUUCCGUUCAUUGACUACUAGCUCAAGAGCAUACUUAGAAAGGUUAGUGAAUUUCCCUUCAUACUCCGUUACACUAAGGGUUCCCUGUUUCAACUUAAUAAACUCAUCCUCUCCCUUUUCUUGAAUCAAGGGUGGAAGGAACUUUUCAUUAAAUUUCCUCGUGAAGUUCUCCAAGGUCCAAGGGGUUUGAACUCUCUCCCAUUUCCCUUUUAUUACAUCCCACCAAGCACGAGCUACUCUCUCAAAUUGGAAAGCAGCAAAAUUCACUCGCCUAUCCUCAAUGUAGUCUAAAGCGGCGAAUAUGUUGGUCAUCCUCUCUAACCAAUUCUCCACUAUAUCAAGGUCGGGUUCACCAAGAAACUUAAGCGGGUUGAACUUUAAGAAUCUCUCUGGCUCUAUCCUCUCCUCUUUCCUGCCCCCCAGGUUGGUUAAACGGUCCAGGACCUUGUCUAUCAGCUAAGCGCUCUAGGAUAUCAGUCAUUCUAUUAAUGGCAGUAGCCACUUGAUUACCCUCAAUGUUUUCCUGGCCUUGGAUCGAUCCAGUUGUCGAUCCCUGGUCAUCCUCCUGAGGUUGGGCCUGUCUAGUCCUUCGCCCACGACCUCGACCACUUCUUAGUCCUUCUAUAACCUAAGCGUGCCUAAUGCAAGAAAUAAAUCAAUUAUGCGAUGCAAAGUAGAAAGCAGAGACCAAUCAAGAAAACAUUGAAAGUAACAAUAAUUGACAUUCAUUAACAUGUCAAGUUCAUACAAUUAACAGGUCAUGGGGAAAAUCACAAAAAUAUAGCACACAGGUGCCAUGAGAGUACUUUUAGUUACAGAAGAUUAAAGUAAAACAAGUGCCUCAAAAGUAGGCCACACAAUCAUGCAAAAUACAAUGACUUCAGCACUUGCAUCACCCCAUCUAAUUCUAACUAUACUAGUCAAAAGUCAAAAGGUCAAGUAGUCAAUCACUAGGGUCUAGUCCACAGUAGGACUACCGGGUGAGAAAUCAUGGGAUAGAAGAGCCUACCUGGGAGGUGGAAGAAGAAAUGCAAAAGAAAUACCCUGAACUAUUUGAAAAUCAAGGUGAGAAAUUUCGAGGACGAAGUUCUUUUAAGGGGGAGAGAGUGUGAGAACCUGAAAAUUUUUCUUAUUUUCUAGGCUUUAUUUUAUUUAAUUGCACGUCUUUUCUAUAUUUUCUUUAUUGAAAAAAUUUUCUAGAUAAUUUUUAUGCGUAAAUAUGGUUUUUAAAUCAUUUUCCUUGUAUAAAUUAGUUCAUGAGAUUUUAGGAGUGUAUAUUGGACGUAGGGCCCGCUAGUACGGUAAGUUCGAUAAAAUUCGGCCAAUUGGGUUAUGUUUUGUAUACCGGAUUUAAUUUACUAGGUGUUAAGAGAUAAUUAGAAGUUACCAAAUGGAUUAAGGUUGGAGAGACAAAAGGAUAGUUUUGAACUCAAAAGGUGACAAGUGUCACUUUGUGAUUUAAAGUUGGACUUUGACUAUUUUACCAACUUUACUAAAUAACUAAGAAAUUAACCCAAAAUUCAUCAUCAUACAUCUCUCUCUUGGCCGACUCUCUCAAGGAGGAAAAGAAAGAAAAACCUUCAACUUUCUUCAACCAAUCUUGCUCAAUCUUGCAAUUCAACCGUUUAAACUUCAAAUUUCUUCAUAAAAACCCUUUGCUAAGUAGUAGUGAAGGAGUUGGUGGAGUGGUUUGGAAAGAGGAGGUGCUAAGUUGUCUCUUUUCUUCAGUUUGCAAGGUAAGUGGCUAAGGAAACCUUCUUUUGUUCUUGAUAAUGUUCAAUUAGUGACUUGUGUGAGUUAAGGAGGUGAUUUUGUGGAAGAUUUCAUGCCUUUUGGUAGUGAUUGAUGAAUUUUUGAUUUUAUGCAUGAUUUUUCUAUUUUUAUAUGUUUAAUAUUUGUUGGCCAUGGAUGAUCGUUUGGUAUGGUCUAGAAUGAACCUUUGGUGCGUUAAUUGUAGCUAUUUACGGAAAAUUUUCGCUUUGUACGGAAAAUUUCAGAUUUAGGGUUUUGAAUUGGGGCUUUUCUAGGGUUGCUAUAGAACUCUUGAAUUGGCUUUGUUUAAUGGGUAUUGGAACCCUACUAAUGUGUAUUGAAAGGCUUAUGACUUGUAAUUGUAAUUGUGGUGGUGUUGCAUGAAUAUAAUUGAUUUUUUUGUAGGAUGGAAAUCUGAAAUUUUAGGGGUUAUGCUGUCCAAAUUUUUGGUCCAUAUGAUUUCUUGGAAUUGGGUUGCUUAGAGUGUUAAUUAGUGACCUUGGGGUUAUCUAAACCCUUAGCACCAAGUGUUCCUUAUAUUACUUUCAAGUUCUAAUGGCUUUACAUUAGUGAUAUUUGGUUUGGGUUUAUGACUCGUAUUCGAGUCUCAUUGUGUUUUAUUGAAUGUUUUAGGGCGUGUCGGUGACGCAAGGCGUUCGUUGGACGGAAAUUUGUGAUAACUCUCUUUGUUUGAGUGGUGAGUGUACUACUCACGUGAUUGUUACUUCAUAACCUUGAUAUACUUGAAAUCUAUGACUUGAAUGCUUGUGUAUACUAUUGAGAUUGAUUGAGACGAGGGUGUAUUUUAUCACUCUUGCACUCUAUGCCUUAUGUGACAGUUUACUGCAUCAAUUGAAUAUACUUGAACUAGUGUCAUUUGGACGUGUAUCCAACGACCUUUACUGUUAACACUGAGCUCAACCCCAUUGGUGGUCAAUUGAAUCGAGUCGGCAAGGGUUUGGUCGAGAAAAUUGACAAGCCAUGGGGAUUGUUUAUGUGGAAUCCUUGAGUAUGAGACUCUUGAUUCCGGUAUACUCGAGUAUUACCAUUUCUGAACUGAUUGGAGUUCGGGCCCGGUAGGGGUAUGUGAGGUGGAAGGAAUCGGAGAAAGUGGAGUCUACGGUAUUGGUUACUCCUUAAGCGUUGACGGGGGGUCAACGGGGCAAGAUCAAGUAUGGCAAGCAGGGACAAGGGCUCUUGAGAGCCGACUGUAUCCCUUUAAAUAUCUUUAUGGAAAUAUGAUGCUAGUUGACUCACUUAUUGGAUGUGUUUUGAAUUGAAUAGUUUUGUGCUUAUGUGAACUUCGUUACUUGGGUGAUGGUAUCUCAUUGGGCGAAAGCUCACUCUAUUGCCUUUGUUUUCCUUACAAGGAUAUGAAUACCUUUUGGGAAACCAAUGUUUUAAAAACCGGACCGUUAAUUGAACCGGUGAAGUAAAAGGGUCGAGGUUCAACCGGUCGGACCGGUUCAUCCUCGGUUCAAUGAAUUUAAAAAAAUAAUUUAUAUAAAUAUAUAUACACAAAAUAAGACAUGUAAUGGAUAAUUUAAUACUUUAUAUGAUGAAAAGUUUACUAUUUUCGAAUAAUUUGGAUUUUUAAAAAUAAAUUUUUAAAAUUAUAAGUUAAAACAAAUAAAUUUCAUGUCAAUUUCAAUUAUAUCUACCAAAAAAAUCUUAAAUCCAAUUCAAAAAUAUCACAAUAUUUUAAAAUUAUACAAAAUUCACGUCUAUGAGAAUUUCGACAUUGUGAACUUAAAUUUUAAUUUACGUUUUGGAAUUUAGAGAUUGCAAUUUAAAAAAGAAAGUUUGGAAUUCGAAAGAAGUUAAGAGAAUCGAAAAUAGAAAUGCAAAUUUGUGAGAACCCGUACUUUUCCCAUUUUCUAGGGUUUUAUUUAUUUAAUGGUUUGUUUUCUGCAUUUUUUUUAGUAGGAAAAUUUUCUAGAUAUUUUUAAUGAGCAGAUAUAGUUUUUAGAUGAUUUUUCUGGUAUUGGAUAGUUUUUAAAAAAUUAAGGAUAUAUAACGGACGUGGGACCCGCUAGUGCGAAAAGUUCGGAAAAAUUCGACCAAUUAGGUUAAGUUUCGGAUACUGGUUGAAAUUUAUCGAGUGUUAAGAGAUAAGUAGAGGUUGAGAUGUGAUUGAUGUGAGAGGGAACCAAAAGGAUAGAGAUGUUUUAAAUGAGUGACAAGUGUCACUUUGUGAGAGGUUGUGACUUGUUGACAACUAUUCACCUUUUUGACUUUUUACCCUUGGAUUAAAUAUCUCAAAAAUUAUCCAAAAUUCACUCUUUUCUUCACCAUUGUGGCCGGCCCUCUCUAGCAAAGAAGGAAGAAAAACUCUUCAAAGUUUGGCAUCCAUCUAGUGCAAAUCAUCCAAAGCAAUCACUUAGACUUGAUUCUACUCCAUAAAAUCUCUUCUUUAGGUGUUAGUAAGUGGUUUGGUGAAGUGUUUUGGGAAGCUAAGAGGACAAGCAACUCUUCCUCUCUUGUUUACUAGGUGAGUGGUGAUUGAACCUUCUCCUUCACUUAAUGAAGCUUAAUUUGUGCCUAAUGGGAGCUAAAGUGAUGAAAUAUGUGGUUUAGAUGAAUUGUGAAGUUUUCAAUUUAUUGAUGAAUUUUCUGGUUUAAUAUGAAUGUGAUGUUGUGGCUAUCCUUGAUGAUGGGAACUGAUGUUUAAUGACUCUAGUAGGUGUAUAUGAUAGAUAAUUGUAACCAAUUUCUGGUUUGGAAGGAAUUUGAGAAAGUUAGGGUUUUAUAUCCCCAAUUCUGUCCGGUUUUGUAUCUCAUGGUUAGAGGCCGAAUUGGCCUUAGCUUAAAACAUGAAAGUUGUAGGGAAUGACAUUUUAGAGGCCUACAAAAUUUCAGGUCAAUCGGAGUAGUGUAGAAUGAGAUAAGUCGAAAUUACUAUUGCUGUUCUGGAUUCAUCCGAAAGUAAGAACUGCGUCUGAAAUUAGUUGUUUUGGCUGGAAUUGCUUUGGAUUUGGUUGUUGAGGUCUUCUGAUGAAAUGUAGCUUGAUGUCCUAGCUACCAUAUGCCUUUGGAAUUUCUGAAUUUGGACCUGUAUAGACUGAGUUGUACUGAUUACAGCAGAAUGUAGUUUGUGAACCCGUUAUUGUGGUUCUGGUUUAGUAUCUCGCAUAUUUGACCUGGUUGUGCUAGGAAUUGGACUGAGUGAUCUUCUACAUUAUUGUAGCCCUGUUUCUUAGCUUUCAACUGGUUUUGGAAUUUCUGGAUUUGGACUUGUAGAGCCUGAGUUAUGAUGUUUGCGCUAGAAUGCGUUUUGGUGAAUCUGUUUUACAUUUUUGAUGUAGUAUAUUGCAUUUUUGACCUGUUUGCACUCAAAACUGGGUUGAGUGACCUUCUAGGAUGUUGUAGCCCUGUCUUUUAGCUUCGAGAUGGUGGGUCUUGAACCCCCAUCCGAUAAUCGUAGUGAAAUUGGUACCAUUACCGCAAAAUGAGGACAAAAACUGUUUUUUUAGGGCCAAAACUAGUUACAUUUCCGAAAUUUCUGGUUUCCUUUAAUGCUUGUAUAUGCUUAUGAAACCCUAUUGGGGUUGCGAUUGGCAUUGCUUUAUGACUCGUUAUCGAGUCUCAUUGUACUUGUUUGCGUGUUCUAGGGCGUGACGGUGGUUCACGACGUACUUUUGACGACGGUGCAUGAAACAUCACCUACUUGAUUGGUGAGUGUACUACUCACAUGAAUGUUUACAAUGUGGCUUUGAUAUAUGUGAUUGUGAUGCCGUGAAGGCUUACUUGGCCAUUGGAAUUGGUUAAGGUGAGGGUGUACUUGACCGCCCUCACCCCUUUUGAUACAGUUAAUGAUUGUUCACCGUUUUACUGUGAUACUGAACUUGAUAUAUGAGUUAUUGAAUUCCAUUUCAUGGAAACCUGAUUUGGUGUCGUUUGGACGAAUAUCCAACGGCCUUACUGUGUUACUGAGCUCAACCCCGUUGGUAGUCAAAUGAAUCGAGCCGGCAAGGGCUGGGUCGUGAAAAUUGACAUGCCACGGGGACUGUACUGGGGAAUCUUGUAGUAAUGAGACUCUUGAUUCCGGUAAACUCAAGUAUUACCAAAAGUUACUGAUUGGAGUGCGGGCCCGGUUGGGGUAUGUUGGGUGGAAGGAAUGGAAGUGAAGUGAGGUCUACGGUUGGUACUCUUAAACAUUGACGGAGGGUCAAUGAGGUUGGAUCAAGAAUGUAAGCGUGGAAAGGGGCUCUUGAGAGCCGUCCGUAUCCUUUUACCGAAUUGUUUUAUUCCUUAAUUGUGUACUUGAAAUGAAAGAUUAUGCUAUAUGCUCUUCGUUGCUUAUGUGGUAGUAACUCAUUGAGCUUUAGCUCACUCCGUUCCAUUUGUUUUCCUUACAGGAAAAUGACUAUUUUGGGAAAGGUUGUGCUAGUUGGUUGUCAAGUUGAGCUCAUGUAAAUGUAUAUUUUGAAUAGCUCCUUGAGGGUGAAAACCCUAAGUGUUUUGUUUCAACCAAUGGUUGGUUUGUAAUUGGCUAAUUGCACAUGUAUGAACUUGUUGGAUAUUUUGGUAUGCCGCUUUGGCUUGUAAAUGUUAAAUUUCGAUGUGUAUAUGUUGGAUUGAUGUUUGGUUGAACUCCGGAUUCUGACGUGGCCGGUACUGUUCAUCAUCGGCUUCGAUUUUCAUUUUUUUUUAUUUUGUGAUUUUGACUUGUUGCGCGCGUUGGUGUGUUCCGGAACAUAGUAGAGCGACGUAAACUGAUCCGUUAGUCCUGGCGAGAGCUGGGCAGGCAGUCCGCGUUCGCCUUAGGGGAAGGUGGGGCUGUCACAAAAUUUGAUAAGAAACAAAAAAUGAGAUAAAAGUGAGCGGUUGUGGCAUUAAAUAAUUUGGGUUAAAGAAAAAAAAUUCUUUUUUAACUUUUUUAAUUUAAUGGACAAAAACAAAAUUGAAAGAUGGAAGAAAAUAUCAAUAAAUUAAAAAUAAAGAGGUUUGAUUAGAAAAAAGUGACAAAAGAAAAGAUGAUGGAGAGAGAGAGAGAGAGAGAGUUGAAAAUUAAAAAAAAAGAGUCAUGAGAGGAUGAGAUUUUGUAAGAAAAAUGGAACAAAAGAAAUAUGAGUAUUUGUUUUAUAUAAAUAAGUUAUCAAAAAAAACUAACAAGAUGUGAUGGUGCAAUGGUUACUACAUUGGUCUUCUAUUACAAAGAUCUUGAGUUCGAAUCUUGAUAGCUGCAUUUUGCAAAACUAAAAAAAAAAAAAAAGACGAAAACUUGAAAACCGGAAACCUCCGGUUCAAAUCCGGUUCGGCGGUUUUCGCGGUUCAACCGGUUUUUGACCGGUUUUCUGCCAAAGUCAACCCUAGCAUUGAACCGGACCGGUACCAUGGCCGGUUCGAGGUUCAACCGGUCGAAUCGGCCGGUCCGGUCCGAUUUUCAAAACACCGUGGGAAACUGUGAUUUUGAAGCCGAGUUGAGCUAGUUAAUAUUCUUUUGUAUAGCUCCUCGAUGGUUGGAAAAUCUUAAGUGUAUUUUGAUUUAACAUUUCCUUUUGAGUUGUAAAUUUGAAACCAUACGUGUAUAAACGUGUUUGGAAAUGUUCAUGUGUUACUUUGGUUUAUCAAAGUCUAAUUUCAGGGUUUAUAUGAUUUGAUGGUAAUCAGUAGGGGAUUGUAACGUGGCCAGCACUAUUCAUGUGCUGCUCCAAUUUUCUUUUUCCAUUUCGCGAAUUUUGAACCGUUUAAGCGCGCUAAUAUUUUCCAAAACGUUUUAGAUUAUAUAUAACCGUCUUGGUAGUUCUGGCGAGAGUUGGGCAGGUAGUCCGCUAACCCCUUUGGUACACCCUAGGGGAAGGUGAGGCUGUCACAUAUUGCCACUGAAUAUAUUUUGCUUGGACAUGUCAAUGCUAAUAUGUAUGGUACUUGUUUUGUCUUUUGCAUUUGGUUUUGAUCCGCUUGAUAUGUACAGUAUCUUUAUGACUUGAUGUAUGAACUUGGUGUGUUAUAACUAUACUAAGCAUGAUUCCUUAUCUUUGACUUUGUGAUUUGAAAAUGUCUUUAUCUUCCCGCUUUAGCCGAUUUAUUUUGUUUAUGUACUAUAUAGCCAAUUUUGACAAAAAAUAAAAGAGAGAGAGAAGGGUGUGGAGGGAAGACGUAAUCAUGGAUGUGGGGUUAGUUGUGGCCAUGGGGCUAGGUAAUCGCAAGAACCAGGGAAUGAAAGAGAAACGGUAGCCGAGCAAGAUCGUGGACCAAGGGUCGAAGUAGGGGACCAAGUAGCGACGGCGAUACAACAAAUGACCAAUAUCUUAGCACGAUUGGUAAAAAUCACAAGGCCAAGCUCCAAUAAAUCAACCUAGGAGCCUUGAAUAGGAGAGGAUAUGGUCCUAGAGCAUUUUCAAAAGUUUUCUCCACCAAACUUCCUUGGAGGGCCUGAUCCGGAGACAGUUGAGCAUUGGUUGGAAGCGAUAAUUAAUAUCUUUGUAGCUUUGAACUACACGGAGAAAAGACAAGUGAACUUUGUUGUAUUUCAAUUUGAAAGAUCGGCCCGAGCAUGGUGGAAUGUUAUUAGGGCAAAGUAGGAGGGAGAACAAACUGCAUGGAUUUGGGUAAAUUUUAUAAGGAAAUUUAAUGAGAAAUACCUCCCGCCUUUGGUCCAAGAGGACAAUUUUAUUAGGUUACAUUAGGGAACCCUAAGUGUGGCCGAGUAUGAAACACAAUUCACUAAACUAUCUAAAUUUGCUCCUGAAUUGGUUGUUACGGAGUGGAGAAGAGUGAGACGGUUUAUACAAUGAUUGAAUCUGCAGAUCCAAGAAGCUUUAGUGGUGGUUCAGAUUAAUACUUUUACGGAAGUUCUUGAGAAAGGUCAAAGGAUUGAGAAUGCAAAGGCACAAGUAAAAACUUUCCACACAUGCAAGAGGAGUGCACCUAGUCGUAUACAUGAGGAAUCUAGAGAAAAUGUAACGCCUUCCAAAGUAAAAAGAGCGAACCAGUCACCUUACCCACCAUAGACACUAGGAACACUAGAAGAAGGUUCUACAAGAGGAAGUCAAGUGGGAAAAAGGCAACAAGAAGAAAUUCCUCGAGAAGGCCAAAAAGUGGCUCCUCGCUUGGCUUAUGGAUACUAUGGAAAGGCAAAUCACACUGAGGAUGAUUGUUGAAGGAAUGGUGAAAAUGCUUGGUUUGUGGGACUACCGACCAUCAAAUUAGCAACUGCCCAAAGAAGCAGCAACUAGGGAAUGAUACUCAACAAGGGAAUAAAACUACCCCUAAACAAGCUAACGAAAUAGGGAACAGACCAAGAGUACUAGCGUGGGCAUAUGACGUAGACAAGCAACAGGCUCCAGAAUUAUCUGAGGCGAUGGAAGGUAAAAAUUUCGAAAACAAAAUUUUGUUAAGGGAGAGAGAGUGUGAGGACCCGAAAAUUAUUUUUAAAUUUUCUCCUAUUUUUGAAAAAUUUAAUUUAUAUUUCCUUUUAAUUUUACUUUACUUGCUCAUUUGCUAGCCUUAAUUUGAUAGUAAUUUUAUUGGUUGAGUCAAGAUUGAUAUCAUUCCUCUUUUAUAUUUUAAUGCAUGUUAAGUUCCGUUGUACAUUAAGGUAGUGUGACCAACUAGUGAGGUGCGCAAUAUAAAUUGUGAGGAAAUGAGGGAGUUUUGUGCAAAGGUGUUUUUGUAAAAAAAAAAAAGAGUAUUAGGAGAUAUUUGAGGAAAAGAAAGAUAUUUUGGUGGAAAUAUUUGUGACUUUGCCGUUUGUCAAACAUCCAUACAAGGUCUUGACCAAGAUCAAACUUUUCCAAACCAACCAAGUGUUAUUUCACUAGAAUCUUCCUCUUGCUUCUUUGGGUUUCCUCUUGGGCGAAAAUUAGAGAGAAAAAAGUGAGUAGAACACAACUUCUAGUCUUAAGUUUCUUGUCCAACUUAGUGAGGAAGAAAAAAAAAACAGAGAGGAAAACAUCUUGCACUCCACAAAUCUUUGAAUCAAGUUUGGAGGGAAGUUCUUGGAGGGAGAAACUUGUGAUCAUUUCUUGGUUACUCACCAUUUUUUUUUGUGGGGAGAAAAAGAGGUAAACUUGCUAGAAAACCUAUCUUUUGUUUCUUAUAGUUUAUAUAUGGUGCAAUUAGAGUUUAAAGGAAGGAAUUUAUGGAGGGUUUCCUUUAAUUUUCAAGUUGGUAGUUAAAUUUCCCACUUUAAGGAAUGUAGUGAACAACUUAGUUUAGAGCUUUUUCUUUGAAGUUGUGAUGGAUUUUCUUGCCAAGAAAAUAAGUCAUAAGCCUCAUGACAUGUUAGUUAUAAGAUAUAGUGCAUUUGCCAUGGAAUUAAGUGGGAAAGUUGGAAUUUUUUAUGGAGAUUUUGCUGGAAAAUUUCUGUUAUUGCUGGCCGAGAGGGAAAGAAGGAAUUUUAGCUUUCUUUUCAGAAAUUUUGUGGUGAUUUUAAUAUAUUCUUGUUCAAUACAUUUGUUAAAACCUUUUUCUUCAUAUGUAUGUUGAUUUUGAGCCAAAACAAAGAGGUUUAAGAGGGGAAAAACCUAGUUUUUCAAACUAAUAGAUUGCUGGAAAUUUUCAUAGGGAGCCCUGCGCAGCUUUGGGAAGUUGGCUAUAACUUCGUAUAGGAAAGUCGGAACUGAGUUCUGUUUGUUGCAUUUGAAACUAGACUCAUAGAGAUUUUAAAGGUAUAAAAUUUAGGGUUUGAUUCGACUCUUAUAAAUACCAGCAAAUUUGCAAAGUUUCUUAAAAACCAUGACUGUUCUGUUCUUGCACAUGAGAUAGUAGUGAGUUUGAACUGAAAAUUUGACUAAUCUAUGAGCUGAAUUUCAUGAAGAUGUCUUCUAAAUCCUGUUAUGCUUGGAGUCUAUUUUCUAAUGGUGUAAGUUUUGUGAUUUUUCGACUUACGGAACUCAAGUUAUACUUUUUCAAAGAAUGUCACCAAAGCUGGAAAUUUUAUCAAAUGGAUUGAGUGGGACUUGGAAAACUUCAGAAAACUUUUCUGGGUUUUAAACCUAACCUUCUUUGGUUAAAUCUUGCGUAUUUUGAUUUGAAAUACUUGAUGAUAUGUUAACCUUAGCAUGCAUGAAAUAUUUCACUUGAUUUAAACUUGAUUUAAAUAAGAAAUCGUGACCCUUUUAGUCUUCUGAUAUUAGGGUUAAACCUAUAGUUUUUGUGGUUGCUAAGUGAAGCAUCAAAUCUCAUAUUUUCUCAUUACCUUGGCUUUAAGUUACUAGAUGCCUGAUGGAUUACAUGAUCACAGGACUUGAGAAUAUUCUACAGGAGGAACUAGGAUGACCAAUUGGUGAGGUCAAGUGGUGAGUGUUCCAUGCAUGUUUGCUUCAAAUGGCUAUGUGAAUUGUUGUGAAUGUUUGUUUGAAUGUUAAAUGUUUUUAAAUGAUUGUUGAAUGGAUUUUCAAUAGGCGAGUGUGUACUUUAUAGCACUCGAUCUAAGUGAAUGUGAAAUUUUCAAUGAUUAAAUGAUUAUGUUACCUGUGCAUGAAUAUAAGCCUUUGGCUGAACUGGGCCCUUGCCCUUCGUUGCCAGUCAACUCGAGCCAAAAAGGGACUCGGUUGGAAGGCUGGUGACCCUAGGACAGUGUUUUGGUGUACUCAAGUAUUACCACGAAGUUUGAUAGAGAACUGACCAGUGAAUGAAAUGCAAUAAAUGAAAUGAUCACUGAAGGAGUUUUUAUUUGCAAAUGUGUUUUCAAAAUUUGGAGGUAUAAGGGAGAAAUGGUCGGAGAUUGAAUAACUGACUGAAUGAAUGGCUCCAAGUGAGCACAUAUCCUUCCAAGGAUUGAAUGUUUAUUUCUUGAAUGACUGUUAUUACUGUGCAAAGUGUGCAAACUGUUAAAUGCACUACUUCCGUGGUUUUUUUCUACCUGAUUGCUUGUUUGGGAACCUCACUGGGCUUUUAACUCAUUCUUUUAGUUUUGUUUUCCUUACAAGAGUGGAGGCCGGAGAAAGUAAGCAUGAACUGGCAUAUAUAAUAUUUAUGUACUUGUACUUUUGUAGAUGAAAUGUAUUUGGGAUCUUUGGCAAUGUACCCCUAUGUUACACUUUUGGGUUGUAAAUUAAGUUGGAAUUCUUGGAUGAAUGGAACUUCUAUGUUUAUCUAGAGACAUGAAAGACUAUUUCAAGAUUGUUAGUGAGUGAUUCCUGGUGAGAGCCAGGUAGGCAAUCCACCAAACCCUUGGAUUCGCCCUAGGGGGAGGUGGGAUCGUCACAGACUAAGUACUCAGUGCUGAUGAAGGUAUGUAACCAUUAAGAGCGAAUAAAUACUUAAUAAAUGUGUAUAUGUUAUACCAAUGUAUAAAGAAUGAUUAGUUUUCAUGAAAUUUGAAUGCUUAUGUGUAUACCUAUUGCAAAUGUGUAAUUGUAUAUAUGUGUAACAUACUCGGUCCAACAAGGGCUGUAUGUUUUACUAACUAAGCAAGUUGAUGCUCAUCCCAAUACUUUAAUAUUUUUACAGAGAAUAAGUAUGUAUACGAGUUUGUUAAGGCUGAUGGUGAUUGGGAUUGCUAGAGCUGGAUUGUUGUUAGAUUAAUCAAAUAGUGAUUGAAUAAAUAUUAAGUUCCCAUUUUCGAACAAAGUACAGGUUUGGAGCAUGACACUUCAGGUGGCAAGCUUCUUCAAGAUCAUAUUGGUAGGAUUGUGUUUGAUUUCUACAAAGAGUUUGGGCAUCUUGUGUGUUAGAAGCUAAAGCAAAAGCUUUCUCAAUUGGGUGUGUGUGGACAUUGAUUCACAACUGUGUUAUCUCAUUAGUUCAAAUAAGCUCUCGGAAUGGCCUCUACGCAACAUAUUAACCAAGAAUCGGUUUCAAUUAUCGCAACUAUCAAGGAUGGGUUUGUAAGACUUGCCUCUUUUAGAGGCAAUUACAACCCACAUGAUUGAUUCUAAAAUGAUUGCUAUCCUGAUUAAUUGAUUGACAUUUUGUCAAUAAUUAAUUAGUAUAUCCUUUUAUUGUCAAAACAAUAUUGUAUUAUAUCAUUAACUUGAUAAUACAAGUUUUAGUUACAAAAAGGAACAACUGUCCCAUAGUCUUUUUGUGCAAGAUCUUUGAUCCACACUGGGAAGCUAAUGUCCCAUAUUAUAUCAUUAACUAGCUUACAUGCAAAUUUAGCUAGCCUAUGACAAAAUUCAUUUCUUGAUCUAUGAACAAAAGAGAAAUUGCAUUAUUCCAAUAGCUCUCUCAUCUGCAAUAUGUCUUCCAGUAUCAUUUCAACAAUGCUGUCUUUACUGUUUCUGCUAAAAUUUUCUGAGCCUGCUUAGGUCCGCCCCCUCCCCCUUAGUAUAGAAUAUAUUAGGUUAUACAACUGUUGUCGUCUCUGAAAAAAAAAAAGAAAAGAAACUGCAAAAUAAGUUCAAGUAUCAAAAUUUGGUCAAAAAUAAAAAUUAGUGUCUAAAUGGGGCAUAAGAAAAAAUGUUUAGGAACCAAAUUGGCCAUUAAAGGUAUAAAAUUAAUAAGUUACUUUUGAAACUUCGACUGUAUUAUGCAUCUUUUAGACAAAAAAAAGGAAAAAGGAAAAACAAUAGCACAAGUUGGCCACACUUUUAUUCUUAGUUUUACAAAAAUGUAUUAUAAGUUAUAAACUUGUGUUGCAAAAAAAAAUUUUAAAUGACAACUAAACAAAACAGUGGAAAAAAAAAAGAAGAGAUGUAGUUGAAGCACAAACAACUAAACUUUCACCCCACCUUUGUUGGUUUAUUUGAAAUGGUUUUUUUUUUGUCAUUUGCAAAAUUCUUUCCUUACCAGAAGUUUUCCAAAACAAAGACAUCACCUUUUAAAUCCUAAAAUUUAUUAAUUAUGAUAACUUUAUCCUUACUAACGAUUGCUCAUUAGUCGAACCAUAUUUUUCAAACCCAUGCGAAUAAUACUCAAUUCUCCUCUUUUGAAUUACUCAAAACAUACACCCUCUUUAUGAAUAUUGAAACUUCCGGUAGCCAUAUUCUAAGUUCUCCCAGACACUUGAUAAUGGUAUUAUAGAUGGCGAGUAAAUGCUGCAUAAUCUAGUUUCAGUCUCAGAGAAGUAAGGGAAUAGUUUGCCGGCCCCUUGACUACUAGAACUAAGAAUACUAACUGAUUUGCAAAAAAGAAAAAAAAAGAAUAGUUAUUAAUUUGUUGCGAUUACAAUAUUAACAUGCACAGAAGAAUAAACUUGGUCCAGAAAUAGCCCGCCAUUUUGUUGUUCCAUUAAUCCAACAGCAAUAAUAUUUUCAAUUUUGUUUAACUCAGCAUAAUAGAUUGAUGGUAAGUCGAUAAAAUAGAAUGAUUAAUUAAUGAAUUAUCAGUAGUAAUAAAUAACAAAUUAACAAAUUAACCUUUCUUUCUUAGGCGGUCUCUAACAUGUGACUGUUAAUGUGAAUAGUAGUAUAACUUUUAAUUAGUUUAUAUGUACUUAAAUUGUUGAAUUUUUAAAUUAAAAAAAUUUAUUAGUAAGAUAUAUAAAUAUUCUAGUAGUAUAGAGUUUAUGGAAGAUUACUAAGAGUGAAUUUAAGAAAUAAGCAAAUUACAAAAAAAGGUUAAAGAAAAUUAAAAGAUUAAGUGUAAGUAAUAUAGCAAUACAGGGAAAGAAUUAGCACUGACACAAUAGAAGGGCAUAAAAAGAAGAAAAUGAAUGGAUAGAAGUAAAAAAAAAUCAAAGGAAAAAGAAAAGGGAAAAACGAAAAAGAUUAGCAAAAUAAAAAAACAUAAAAGUUAAUAUGGCAGGGUUAGUUUUGUUCAAAUAUAUCAUCACGAGGGGCAAAGUUCCUAUUAAAAGAAAAAAAUUGUUGGGGGUAAAUUCAAGCUUAGUGUUUAGUUUUGGGGGGGGAGGGGGGUUUACUACAUUUAAUCCUUGUGUGUGUGUGUGAAAAAGUUUAAAUGGAUUCAACCCAUAAGAAUUCUUACUAAUGGUCAUUAACAUAAUUCUUAUAUUAACAACAGAUUUGAUACACUAUCUUUUGUAUGAAAAUUAUUUAUUCUUACUAUAGUUGAGCCAACUUUUAGCGGCAACCCUCCUUUUAAACUUUUGUUUUGCAAGUGGCGAGUCCGUUGACUAUUGACAUUGAAUUUGUUUGGAUAGGCCAUUAUUUGGGUUUUUUGAAAUAGUGCUACAGAAAAGUGUUUGGAUAACAUUUCAAAUAACACAAAUAAUUAAGGUUCUAUCCCAAAACUUCCCGUACACACGUGGAAUCAGCUUGUCAACGCUGGUGCUGAAGUGUGCAUCCACGUGGAAAUUCCUUGGGACCUCUGGAUGGUCCACGCACGUUCUCAUCUGUAUGUGUAAGACGGGAAUUUGGAGAACACUAUGCAUUUUUUUACCAUUGGUGCUAUUGAAGAAGAAGAGUAAAGGUAAAGUUGCUCUGGUUGCUUCCAAACCUGCACAGAAUUUAUUUUCUUAGCUUUUCUCCUCCAUUUAUGCGCUGACUGUCUUCUCCCAUCCAGAAGUAAUCAGAUACACCUUUUAUCUUUUCCCACGGGUAGAUAGCUAGCAAAUUCGGAUCUUGGAUUCGAUUCACUACUAUCACAAAUCCAGCUGAAACUAGGAGAGUAACCCACUGAAAGUGCUGUUUUAAAAGCUAUCCAACACGAUACAAUACCUCUCCCUAAAGGUACUUUUCUCACAUAAACCGAGCUGCUGCUAAAUAGUUGGAGCAGUAUUUUGGUGCCGGGUUGCUCGUUGCACGGUUCAUCACCAUCUUCAAUUGUUUUUUCCUUGUCAUCAGCGCCGUUCGAGCAUGAACACAAAGCUUGAACAAAGUGCUAUUAUUUGAGGGGGUGUGAGAAAUUGAAUUCGGUAAGCAAUCAUCCUCCUUACCGACUGCAAUUUUUUGUUUGACUUGUGUCUCUAUUUGGAAGUCUGGACAAGUUACCAUAUGUACCAAAAAUUGUGAACACGAAACUAUAAUCUGAUGAAAUUUGAGCUCUCUGUGUUAGGGUUUUGUCGAUUUGUUCUUUUACUCAUUAGUUUCAAAUUAAUGUCAGUGGUUGUGUGGAAGAACACUUUCUAGAUUUGUGAAAUAAAUAACUAGCAAGCAUACACUGGACUCUAUUCUCUAACCGUUGGUUCUUUACCUUGCUUAGGUUCUGAGGAGGGGAGGAUCUCCCCCUUUGCUUUCUUCCUACAUCGUUGCUUAUUUUGAUAGGACUUGAGCAGAAUUGUUAUCUAUGUAGAAGUUAUUUAAAUCAUUUCCCUGCUCGGCUCGGCUCUGCUCGUGAAUGAUUUUAAGUUUGUUUUGCAGUAUAAAUAUUUGGUUUCUUAAUUUCCUUGGAACUCUUGUAUUCUAAUAAAUACUACUACUCCCUGUUUUAGAAUUAUCAUUUCCUAAAAAUUGUCAUCAUGCUCAUUUGGCUUGUGGGCUGAAUUCCUAUUACCUAUUUUAGUACGUGAAUUAUUAGGAUUCGUUUGAAUAGGCAUUACUCUCUCCAGUUAAUACUCUCUCUAUUUUAUUAUUGAUAGUCUUAACCGUAUUACGGGGAAAUAGUCAUUGUACCCAUAGUCCUGUGUUAAUACUACUAUUGUGUUUCCCUUCUUUGUGCAUGAUUCAUGAAAGUGGUUUGAUUGGCUAAAAAAAAAGUUUAUACUCUCUCAUGGUAGCCCUCAAAUGACAUUUACAUAUAUCAGUACAAGCACCUUCUACAGCUCGCAUUGACUGAUGCCUGCAUUUCUAGCAAUAUGGAACCGUAACCUAUCCUGCACUUAGGAGUGCUUCUAUUUUUACAUGUUUUGUUGUCCUGAAGUUGAAUUAUACCCCAAGAAGGAGCAUCUUUUUUGUCAGUUUCUUGUUUUCUUGAGACAACAUGCUCUGCUCUAUGUGUAAUGAUGUCAAUGGGAAAAACAUUUGUCAAUAACACAGUGGUUCUUCUAAUAAUGACUGACCUUGAUGUUGAAUUGGUUUAGGCAGAACUUUUGUCUAGUGGGGUAGAUUUUGAGAUUCUGGCUCUGGAUUUGAAAUUGUUUGGUCUUGAUCCUUGUGAACGAGCCUACUGGUAUCGUGGUUGCACACUUUUUAAAACUUUAUAAUCCUUAUGUGACAGCCCCAUCUUCCCCUAAGGCAUACCAAAGGGGUUAGCGGACUGCUUGCCCAACUCUCGUUAGGACUCCUAAGACAGUUAUAUACAUUCCAAAACGUUCCGGAAUAAAUUAGCGUGCUUAAACGAUCCAAAAUUUGCGAAACGGAAUAACGAAAAAUGAAAUCGCACAUGAAUAGUGUCGGCUACAUCACAAUCCGGCCGGAAUCUGACUGGAUUUCCAACCGGAUUCUUGGCCAGAUUGGAGGCAGUGGCCAACCUCAUGGAUUCAAAAAAAUCCAUGACAAUCCAGCCAGCAAUCCGGCCAAGAUUUGGCCGGAUUUGCGGCCGGAUUCCUCUGUGUCCUUUCCCGCCAAUUUUUUUUUCUUUUGUCGUUCAAAAUCCGAUCCUAUCCGAAACCUAACCAAUUACCAUCAAAUCAUAUAAACCUUGAAAAUAGACAUUUACAACCGAAUAUAACACAUGAACAUUACCAAACAAUUUUAUACACGUAUAGUUGCAAAUUUACAACUCAAAAGGGAAAUGUUGAAUCAAAAUACAUUUAAGGUUUUUCCAACCAUCGAGGAGCUUUACAAAAGAAUAUAUUAAAGCUAGCUCAACUCGUGCUUCAAAAUCACAAUUCCAAAAGGUGGUUUCAUGUAAGGAAAACAAAGGCAACGGAGUGAGCUUUCGCCCAAUGAGAUACCAUCACGCAAAUAAACAAAGUUCACAUAAGCACAAAGUUACUCAAUCCAAAUACGUUCAACAAGUGAGCCGAACUAACACCACAUUUCAAAAAAAGGAUACAGACGGCUCUCAAGAGCCCUUUUCCUCACUUGCCAUACUUGAUCUCGCCCCGUUGACUCUUAAAGAGUAACCAAUACUGUAGACUCCACUUUUCUCCAAUUUUUCAUUCACCUCACAUACCCCUACUAGGCCCAAACUCCAACCAAUUAAGAAAUGGUAAUACUCGAGUAUACCAGAAUCAAGAGUCUCAUACCCAAUAAUUCCACAAAAGCAGUCCCCAUGGCUUGUCAAUUUCCUCAACCAUGCUCUUGCUGGCUCGAUUCAAUUAACCACCAAUGGGGUUGAGCUCAGAAUUAAUAGUAAAAGUCGUUGGAUACACGUACAAACGACACCAGUUCAAGUAUAAUCAAGAGAAUUCAAGUGAUACCGGAAACAGUUAAAUAAGCCAUAGAGUAUGAGAGUGAUAAAAUAUACCCUCGUCUCAUCCAGUAUCAUCAGUAAACACAAGCAUACCAAUCAUAGAUUUCAAGUAUAACAAAGCCAUGAAGUAACAAUCAUGUGAGUAGUACACUCACCAAUCAAACAAAGAGAUUUGACAAAUUUCCGCCCAACAAGCGCCUUGAGUCACCGGCACGCCCUAAAACAUUCAAGGAAAUACAAUGAGACUCGAAUACGAGUCAUAAACCCAAACCACACAUUACUAAUGUAAAGCCAAAAGAACUUGAAAGUAAAAUGAGGAACACUUGGUGCUAAAGGUUUAGACAACCCCAAAGUCACUCAUUAACACUCCAAACAAGCCAAUUAGCAUGAAAUCACCUAGACUUAAAGAUUGGACAGCAUUUCCUCUUAAAAUUUUAGAUUUUCACCCUACAAACAAUCAUUUAUAUUCCUCCAACACAACCACAAUUACAAUUGCAAGUCAUAAGCCAUUCAAUACCCCUUAUUAGGGUUACAAUACCCUCUAAACAAAGCCAAAUCAAGAGUUCCAUAACAACCCUAGAAAGCCCCAAAUUGCAACCCUAAAUCUGAAAUUUCCACUUUGUACGGAAAUUUUUCGCAAAUAACUACAAUUAACACACAAAAUCUUCACUUUGGACCAUAUCAAGCCAUCAUCCAUGGCCAACUAACACUUAUCAUAUAAAAUCAGAAAAAUCAUGAAUAAAAUCAGAAAUUUAUCAAACUCUACUAAAAGUCAUGAAAUCUUCCACAAAACAACUUUUUUAACUACCACAAGUCACGAAUAACCCAUUAUCAAGAACAAACUAAGAAUUACUACACACCAUACCUUGACACCUCAAGAAAGAUAGUAGCUUAGGUUUCUUUCUGUGAUGGCCCCACUUCCCCCUAGGGCGUAUCCCAAGGUUCGGCGGGUCACCUGUACAACUCUCACCGGGACUCACUCACUCACUCAUAAAACUAGAAAAUAGAUUCACGCCAAAAGAAAAUUCUGUCUGAAUGAUUACAUCUUCAAAAGUUGCACAACCUAGUACAUCAAGUCAUGCAUACCACGAGUACCAGAAAGUAAACCCUAGAAAAGCUGAUAACUACAACCAUCACGACAACUAUACACACCUUACUUGUCAACUUAUAACAAGUACAAGUUCAACUCGUCUAUAAUCAAAACACUAAACACCUUCCCGAGCGAUCCCCGCGUCGGCCCCCUACUAAGGAAAACAAAUGGAAAGGGGUAAGUUAUAUGCUUAGUGAAUAAUCAGGGGUAAAAAUGUAAACUCACAUCAUUAAACAAGUAAAUCAGGAUAAUUCACAUCAAUAACAGAAAAGUAGCAUCACAAUAGUAGGAUACGGGUGGCUCCAAAACCAGUUCAAUUCCCCGAGCUUGAACGCCUGUUGACACUCCGUCAACCAAAGUUCUCAUGGUCCGUAGACUCCACUUAAACUUUUCCGUUCACCUUAUCAACCCCCGCUGGCCAAUCAACAGCACACAGCAACUCAAACGAAUUAAAAUAACUUAAUUUUCGUCAAAGCUUUAACAAGGAACUAAAUCCCAAGUUUAGCAUGGAACUAUCUUCGACCAAACCCCAGCUGGCUCGAAUAGUUCGUCUAACCCUUGGAACCGAGCCGGAACCAAGUCCUGAGAUAUCCGAUCUCUCAAUAGAUGGUAUCUCUCAACCAGUACACAACAAAGUACUUACCCCAAACAGCACAUAGCAAACGGGGUUUAAUUCAAGUCAUGUAAACACUCCCAUCAGCACACAACAAAAGGGUGAUACUCAAGUCACGUAUUCACCCUCCUCAGCACACAGCAAGAGGGUGAUACUCAGGUCACGUAUUCACCCUCCUGGUGAUACUCAAGUCAUGUAUUCACCCUCCUCAGCACACAGCAAGAGGGUGAUACUCAACAUAAAGCAUGCAUUCUCACAUAGGAAAUCAAAACAAAUGAUGGACUCAGGUCGAGUGAGAUAAAGUACACCCUCGCCUAAGUACCCAUUUAACAUAUACAAGAUACUUUAACAAUUCCACAUCAAUAAACAACCCAAUUACUCGCUUGAUAAAGCUUGGCAUGAAAAACGAUACAAGUUACUGAGCUUGACCGUCACCGUCAAAAGCCUCACAGUCUGUAUAGACAGAUUAUAUACACUCAUAAGUGAAACGGCUAUACAAUAGCAGUUUAUAACUUAAACGAUCGAAUAUGGUCGAAAACGGUCAAAAUAAUCAAAAAACGAUACAAAACGGGUUACACGAUUUUGACCAUAAUUGAAGUUGUGGUUAUCGGAUUAAAAUGUACUAGAUAGUGUCUCAAAACUUAAACAAAAGGUUACAACUUCCAUGACGACAACUCGACCCAGUUUUUAGUGCAUUCAAGUUAAAUUUACAAGAUAGAGAACUAGAACUCCAAAAGCUAGUUUUAUCUUUCUCAUGAAAAUUUGGCGGCAUGCCCCUUGUGUUUACCCAUUUUCCAGCCAUUUAUGGCUUCAAUAUUUUCCUCAAACAAAUCCAAAGUUACAUUCACAACAAUCUCAUUUCAAUAGCUGUUCAAUAGGCUCAAGACAAUACAAGGACAAAAAUCAAGCCAACAACAAGUGCGGAAAUGAGCUUUAGUAAAAGACAGAUUUGAUAGGGUUUUUGCGUAACGGACACAAUCGAGGCUACGCUUAUUGGAUUGGAAUACAGUUUGUACCGUUUUGAAGCUAAGACAUAGGGCUACAAUUCUCAUGAAGAUCACUUAAUCAAAUUUCUAGUGCAUCCCAGUCAAAUCCCCAGUUCACAGAACCAAAUUCCAACUAGUCGGCUAAUUAACCAUACUACCUUUUAAUGGCCAUAUCUCAGGCUAUCAAAGUCCGUUUAAGGCGUUCUUAGAGGCGUUAAAAAGCUAAGACAGAGUACUAAAACUUUCAUGUUUUGGAAAAUGGCUAAAUCAGCAUGGAUCAUAGUGAAUAGACACGGUCAAUUGGAUGAACUGUCUAAAAUGGAUCACUGGAAUCAUCCCAGGGCAGCGAGGGUAUUUUGGUCUUUUCAUAGGAUACGUUGCUCCGAUUGAGUUGAAAUUUUGUAGGAAACUAUAAAAUAUCAUUUUUUACAACUUUUAUGUUUUGUGCCAAGCCUAAUUCGGCCUCUAACAUAGGGCACUAAAACCGGACAGAACUGAAGCAUACAAUUCCAGAAAUCUGGAAUUUUGGGAUUUCAAGGGCAAUCUCUUCAUUUUCUUGAUUCAAUCACUACCACAACCUCUUAUACAAGCCUAUAUAGAUCAUAUACCACUCCUACAACAAGUAUAAGAAGGAAAUUAGUCAAACCCUAUGAUGCGGAUACGGGUGUGCAGCAACUUCAAUCUUGGGUCAAGGAUCCUUUGGUCAACAUUGGUGGUCCGAUGACAAGAUCAAGAUCCAAGAAGGUGAAGGAAGCUUUACAAGCCUUGAUCAUUCACCAUACAAGCAAGGAGCAAGCUAAGUUUGAAGAUUUGAUAGACCAUGAAGUUACCUUGUUCACUUGUACGUUUGAAGUGAAAGAAUGAUCUCAUACUUGUUAGCUUAGUUGGUAGUUGUCUUAAGAUUGCCUAGUUUAGUAGUUGUUAGUCGUUGAGUAUUUUAUUACUUAUUGGGCCUUAUCGGGAAGACUUAAAGAGCUGGCUAUUUUAUUACUUAUCGGGCCUUACCAGGAAACCUUAUAGAGCUGGCUCUUUAUGCGAACCGAAUUCCUAUUCCAGGUUUAUUUGGGUCGGAUUUACCCUAGUUUUAGCCUAUAAAAGGCACCUAUUGUAUGAGCGAGAGGACAGAUUAUUACAACCAGAAAUCGUGAGGAAUUUUCCUUCAAAUUCUUAUUCGAACUUACUCUUGAAUUCUUGAGUUCAUAGCUUAGGAUUCAAAUCAGACUUUAUCGAUUAGUUUGUUCCCUAAUCGUGGUGUCUCUUCAUCCUUCAUUAUUUGCUUAAGGUUGCUGAUUGCCUUUGUGUGUCAGAGGUCUUGAGUUCAUGAGAACAAUCGAGUUCAAUUUUCAUUGGGAGAAAAUAUCCAACUCUGAUAAUUACAAGGUUGGGAGGGUCUAGGAGGGUCUUCCCCUAGGUUUGCUCAUCAGUUGGUAAUCAGAGCGUCAGGUUAAUUUCUCUUUUAAUUGAAGUUGUUCAUAUCUUGUUCGUUUAUGUCUUUUGUCCAAAAAAAAAAACUGUAGCGAUUACUUUUCAUCAUUAGUGUAUCGAAUACUAUUCAUCGUACUGUAGCGUACUGUUCAUGUUACUGUUCAUCCGAGUAAAAAAAAAAUCUGUUUGGGUGUUGUCUUUUUUUUUUUGUGUUUUCUAUCCAAGUUCUUGGGUCUGUUAUACUUGUGUUUGGGUUGUUAGGGUUUAAAGACAAAAAAAAAAAAAAAAGAGUCACGUACCUUAUAUUGUUUUAGUGUCCAAGUUGCUAGCGUAUUGCUGGAAUUUUCUUUUGAGUAUUGCUGAAAUUCUGUUUUGCCUAUUUCUUGAGUAUUGGUUGUUGUUCUUGCAAACCCUAGACACCACAACAUAAUUUGGGGAAGUUCUUGAGCUCCUUGAACAAAAUUCUUGAAGUUCUUGAACCACCAAGUCUUAUUUUGAAAGUUCUUGAACAAUAAAUCAAGAACUAGGGUUUUCUUGGAAUUUGCAUAACCUUUCAUCCGUUUCUUGAACUUGUUGGUGUGACUGAAUUUGUGUUCCUUGAAGAGCCGAAGCAAAAAAAAAAAAAAAAAAAAAGGAGAACAAAAAAAAAAAGGAAGAAGAAAAGGAAUCGGCUCUCACACAAAGGAAAUCAAGUUUUCCAAAUCUUCGCUUCCUCAGCUUCCGCAUUUUGUGCGGGCUACGGUAUGCCUAGACAGCCGCGAGUUCUCCUCCCUGCGUUGGCAACCCGGAUAGGUCUUGAAUCUGUGAUAGGCUUAACUUACGUACUUCAAGGUUUCAUCGUACUGUGUACUCCUCUGGUUCCAAUCAAUAUAAGUAAAUUCAUUUAAAAAAAAAAGUUUUCCAAAUCUUGAGUUUCCAAUUCUUGAUUGGUCUCCAAUUCUUGAUUAGUCUCCAAAUCUUGAUGGGUUUCCCAAAAACUUGAGUCUCCAAAUUUUCAUUGGUUUCCAAUUCUUGAAUUUCCAAUCUUAAUUGAAUUUCAACGACCCCAAACUACCUAACCAGACCCCAAGCACCCCAAAUCAAUUUCCAAAGCCAAACCUAAACUACCACAAACACCUUAGCCAAACCGCCUUUGAAUUCUUGAGUUUCUAAAAUCGGUUAAGCUAGUUUUUGCUAACUAAUUUGACUGAAAUUUGAGGACUGGUUCUUGCAUUAUUUGAACAUCCCAAAAGCACCACUUACCCUCCAAAAUACUGACUAGAAACUCAGCAAAAUAGCUGCUCAAAAAAAAAAAACUCCAGCUUCGGGUAGAGUUUUUCUAGGAUUUACAAAAUUCUGCUUUGUGUCUUAUUACUUGCUUAUAGGGUAAUUAAUUCUGAAAUUUUUGAGAGUUUGAGUUGUUUUAAGAACUUUGAGGAGGGAAAAUUGAGAGUGAGUGUGUUUUCCUUGAGUGAUACACGAGUGCUUGCAAGGUAGACUAGGAUACACUUGUUUUGCAGGUUGGACAAUAUGUCUCAAGAGGGGAACAUGCCUGAGCCAUCUGAGACCGACAUGUCACUCAAACUGGUGCUUCAAGCUCUUCAAAAAUAAGCGGAGAGACAUGAAGUUGUAAUGCCACAAUUAUUAGACAGAUUGGCUGCCAUUGAGAUGCGAGGUACCGGAUGUGACGACCCCACCUCACCCUAAGGCGUACCAAAGGGUUCGGCGGACCGCCUGCCCAACUCUCGCCAGGACUCACUCCCUCACUCGUAUCAUGUGCAUACAUCCAUGACCCAUGAGUAACAUUCACAAUUCAAACUUAUAAUUUACAUUGAUACAAAUCAAGGUACAAAGUCUCAAUAUACCCAAACUAGUUCAAAACGUAUACAAUCCAAGUACAAAACAUUCUAUUCGAGGAAUAGCGCGAGUACAAGUCAAAAGUCAAAAGUCACAAACAACUAGACUACGCUAGCCUUUACGCAUCUCAGGCCUUGCUCGUACCCCUGUAAGGAAAACAAAACUAACGGGGUGAGCCAAAGCUCAGUGAAGUUCCAAAUAUCAAAUUGGCCAACAAACCAGGUGAUGACGGAGUAAUAGUGAAAUAGCGAGCAAACAAGUCAUAUCCGAGAAAUAGCAUUUUAGCUAGUCUAGAAAUAUCAAUUUCACAUUCACAUGUAAGGAUACAGUAAUUCAGAUCUUGGCUCCGUUCCAGCUUGAUCGAUUGGUAGUCGACACUCCGUCAACUUUCAAGUAAUAACUAGUCCAAAUAAAACCCCACUACACGCCAGUCUCCGUUCACCGAUCAACCCCCUUCCCCGGGCCCGCACGCCACACGAAACACGGGUGGUAAUACUCGAGUAUACUGUUUAGCCGAGGAGUUAACACUCCACUCGACAUUACUAGUACCUAGGGUUCAUUAUCUAAUCGACCAGGCCCUUGCCGGCUCGACUCGAUUAACUAGCCACAGGGUUUCUGGAAUUCCAGGCAGGAUAUAACUCAUGUACAUGUAUAACAAAUCAAGUGUACCCAAUAAACAAGAACAAGUCAUGUUAGGGCAAGUGCGGUAAAGUACACCCUUGCCCUAUCAUUCAUGCAUCAUGUAAUCACGUAGGUCAAGUAAGAAACUCAUGUAACAAGUGCAAUCGGAUAUUUGGAAAUACUCACCAAAAUAUAGUGUUUCAAGUAUUCACGUUCAGUUAUACUCCAGGUUUGGAGUCCAGAUCUGCGAUAAAAAUUCAGUUUGAGAACUUUGAAACAUGUCCAAGAUUCGAAACUUAAACGUUUCAUUCAAUAAGAAUCAAAUAAUUAAAGUUCAUUUGGAAGGCAUUCGUGAAAAACUUGCUCGCUUUUCAAACUGGAAGAUUUUGUAGCAAAUACACUUGGAAAUAACCUUUGAGUCGAAAGUGCAAGGAAAACGAGUUUACAUUGGUUAUUUUAUCUUUUCCUCAAGGGUACAAGUUCGGCUAGGUUUUAACGUAUAACCCUCGAACCAAGAUAGCCAACAUCCUAGAUGGCUCAAGUGAUAUUCAUAUCAACUCUACCCAAGUCGCAAAUGUAUUUCUAUAGUCCUCGAGCGUAAAUUUGGGCAGCAUGCCCUUUGUAUUUUCCUAUUUUCAGCCAUUUAUAGCUUUAUUCUUUUACUCAAUCCAACUCAAGGUUACCCAUAACACAAUUUCAUUUCAAUAGCCAUUCAAUAGGCCCAACACAAUACAAGAACAAGAAAUCAAGCUAAUAACGAGUGCGGAAACAAAGUUUACAAAAGACAGUUUUGACGGAUUUUUACGGAAUGGGCACAUCCGAGGCUACGCUUAUCGGAUUGAGAUGUAACUUAUACCCUUUCGAAGCUAAGACACAGGGCUACAAUGUUCAUGAAGAACACUUAGUCUAAUUUCUAGUGUAACCUAACCAAAUUCCCAAUUCACAUAACCUAAUUCCAACUAUUCGGCUAUUCAACCGUACUGCCUUCAAAUGGCCUUAUCUCAGUCUAUCAAGGUCCGUUUAAGACGUUCUUGGUGGCGUUGAAAAUCUAAAACAGAUUACUAAAACUUUCAUGUUUUGGCAAAUGGCUAAAUCCAUACGGAUUAUAGUGAAUAAACACAGCCAAAUAGACUGAACUGUCUACGCAGAACACUGGAAUUUAACCUAGGGUAGUGAGGGUAUUUUGGUCUUUUCAUAGGCUACGUUGCUCCGAUUGAGCUGAAAUUUUGUAGGAAACUAUAAAAUACAAUUCUAUACAACUUUCAUGUUUUAUACUAAGCCUAAUUUGGCCUCUAACAUGAUGCAAUAAAACCUUUCCAGAAAUCUGGAAUUUUUCGUUUUCAAUGCAACCUUUCUUGAUUUCUUGCUCCAAUCAUCACUAUAACCACUUAUGUAAGCUUAGAUACCACAUAUAUCAUCCAUAUAACAAGUAUAGGCAGCAAAUACCUCAAACCCUAACUCACAUCUAUCACCUUUAAAUCAUCAUAACAACUUGUUUCACUACUAAUCCAACCACAACAUGAAUUAUACCACAACUUAAACCACAAUAAAAGAACCAAAGCCAUGGUUUAGCCUUAUACCUUAACAAAUGAAGCUUGCAAGAGUAAUACUUCACCUCCUCUUGGAAUUCUUGGCUCCCCUAGCUUCUCAACCUCACAACUCACACUUUAAUCGGUUUAGAAUUUUAAUUCCUCACUUGGAUGGCUCAACUCAAGAAGAAGGAAGUUUGUUUCUUGCUCUCUUUCUCUCCUCUCUUGUCUCGGCCAAGCAGCAGAAAAAUGGAAGGAAAUGGAGCAAAAUGAAGGAUGAGAAGGUUGGACUUUUGGUUUGUUUAAGUAGCCAUGGUUGAGUGACACUUGUCACCACUAAUACCAACCAAAAUUUUCUUUUUCUUUCAUGCAUUUUUAGCCCUGAAAUUCGGUCAAGCUAGCUGGAAAAUGAGAGGAUAUUUUGCUCAAAUAUUAAUGAGCUUGUAUGGUAAGAAAGUGGUGGUCAAGUGGUAUGUUCAAUCGGUAGUACACGGUACACAUCGGUUCGCACCGUUUUUCCCUAAAUCACACGUACUAGGGUUUUUACUUCCUAUUCACUAACUUUUUAUCAUUGCAUCUAAUCACAUUUUAUUUUUCACCUAAAAGUCACUCUUAAACACCAAAUUUGAUCCUUACUCUGUACCGGAAAAUCACCCUACGGAAAAACGUGAAAACCCUAACUUGCUUCAACUUGAAAACUGUUAUUCUUGAUUUUGAUGAUCACAAAGCACUUUGAAAUGUUUAUCUAAUUCUCUUCAAAUAUAAGUGUUUUGCUUUUAAGAGAAUCAGGUACAAAGGUGUCAAGGAAAGAAAAUCAACCAAAAGAAAAAGCAAAAACAGGGCACUCGUGUCGGACGUCCUAAAGGAAGCUGUCGGACGUCCGAAAGAAUGAAGAACAUCAAGAAGGAAACUCUGUCGGACGCUCGUAAGGAAGCAUCGGACGUCCGGGAGGAUCGGACGCACGCUUCGGACGCACAUCGAUCGCAUCGGACGUCCGAGAAAUUCUGCAAAGUUUUGAUGACUCUCUGACGACGUUCGGACGCAGAUGCUAUCGGACGAUAAUAUCCCAUCGGACGUCCGAACGACAACUUGGCUGAUUUUCGGACGAUGGGAUUGGACGGUGAUUCAUCUGUCGGACGUCCGACGGCCCCAACGGCUAGCUGACUCUUCAUCUGCCUACUAUCCGUUGGAAACAUUAUUGAAGCUCAUUUUUGGUCCCCUUUAAAUACAAACGAUUCUGAACCAGUGAGUGACUUUUGCACACUUUGUUUACAAGAUCUCAAGAGAUAUUUUAGCUAGAAAAUAGUCUCCAAAGCUAGAUUUGUUCUCCAAGUGGUGUGAAUUUCUUGUGAGCAUUUCUUUUGUGGUUGAAAGUUUCAUUAGUGUAGCUUUGUUGAGGGUUAUCUGAGUGAUUGUAAAACUUCUUAGUUUGACUAAGUGAGGCUUAGGGCAAGGAGGAAGUGCUCCCUCCAUUGUACAUCUAGUUUAUCAUCUUUCAUCAAAGAGAAGUUGCUCAACCUAGUGAUUGGUCUUCAAGUUUGAGGAAAGCUUGGUAGACAAUCGGUUUGAUAUUCUAUCUUAUUCUUUUUGUUUAAUAAAAUUCUCAUUGCUUAUCUAUACUUGUUUUUCUAAUCAACAUUGCUCUCUUCUUCUAAUGUACUUGGUUAAUCAUUACUAGAAAAGAAGGUAAAGUUUUAUUAAAGAAAAAGUGCAUAAAUUUGAUUAAGAUUUUGAUCAACCUAAUUCACCCCCCUCUUAGGUUGUCUUUGGGCCUUACAAUUGGUAUCAGAAUUUGGUCUCCUAGAGAUUAAGCUCAAACGGCUUGGAGUAAAGAUGACAACCAGUCAUGCUAUGUUUGUUGAGGAGCAAUCUGUUACUAGGCCUCCCAUGUUUAGUGGCUCCAAUUAUGUUAGCUGGAAAGAAAGGAUGAUUAUCUUUUUGCAAUCUAUUGAUAUUGAGCUAUGGUUUAUUGUGAGUGAAGGAUCGCAUGAAGCUAACUUUCUUGAUGCAGAUACAGGUUUGCAUCGGCCAAAAACGAGAGCUGAAAUGAAUGCUCAAGAUAGGACUAAUCUUACAUUGAAUGCCAAAGCCAUGAAUGUUCUUUAUAGUGUUCUAGAUUCAAAUGAAUCAAUUAGAGUAAAAGGCUGUAAAUCGGCCAAAGAAAUGUGGGAUAAGUUAAGAGAAAUCAAUGAGAGUGGUGACAGCGUGAGAGAACAGAAAAAGGCUAUCUUGGUCACAAAGUAUGAAUCAUUUAAAAUUGAACCUCUUGAGGAUAUUGAUAAAAUGUAUUGCAAGUUCAAUGACUUGAUCAAAGAUCUCGAGGUGUUGGGCAAAGAGUACACCUUGGGAGAGAAGAACAGGAAAAUUCUCAAUGCAUUAGGCAAAGAAUGGGAAAAUAAAGUGAUGGCAAUAGAGGAAGCUAAGGAUUUAAAUUCUGUGCCUAUGGAAUCUCUCAUUAACUCACUAACCUCUUAUGAGUUGAAAUUGAAAUCUAAAGUGCAGGAGGAAGAGGAUGCUAGAGCAAAGAGAAACAUUGCUCUAAAGACUACUCAAGGUGAAGAUGAUCCAGCUCACUUGGAUGAUGAAGACUCAGAUGGUGAUGAUAAUGAUCUUGCUCUCAUCACAAGAGAUUUCCAGAGAAUCUUGAAUAAAAGGAAGCUUAGAAGGGGAGGACCUAGCAAUCAAUUCCAAAAUUAUUCAUCAAAUGCAAGGAACAAAGGAAAACAAGAAUUCAACAAGAAGCAAGUGGACAAAUGCUAUGAAUGUGGACAGCCUGGACACUAUGCAAACGAAUGCCCCAUGAAGAAAAUGAAAGAUGGGAAAGCUGAUCGAAAGCCAAGAUUCAACAACUUCCAGAUUACUUGGAAUGAAUGCAAUUCCGAAGGGGAAGUUGAAGAAGAGGAAGAAUCAGCUCAAAUGGCCUUCAUGGCUAUUGGAGAUAAUGAGGUAACUUCCAUUCACUCUCAAUCUGAUAGUGAUGAUGAAGAUGAUGAUGAUCUUGAAUCCUUUGUUGAAAAAUUACAUAAUGCCUUAAAGGAAUCUUACGAUAAAAACAAGCAGUUAAAACAAAAGGUUGUGUUUCUUAUUCAGGAAAAUGCAAAACUUUUUCACCAAAAUAAACAACUAAAGACUGACAAUGAGUGUCUUGUAAGAGUCGAAUGUGAUAUUCAAAAUGAACUUGAUAGAAAGACAAAUGUUUGUGAAAUGCUAAAGAAAAGACAUGGUGAUUUGAAUAAAAGGAUGGACAAUUUGGAUGAGAUCUUAAGAGUUAGAAAGCAAGAUUAUCUCAAAAAGAACAUGUCAUCAACCUUUCUUACUGCUCAUGAAAGAACAUUUGCUCACAACAAAAAUGCAUAUGGUUUUACAACAUAUAGAAGGAGUGCAUUGAGAUUUAUCAAACCAUUACAUGCUAGUGACUCUUCUAUUUUGUGUAGUUUUUGUUGUCAAAGAGGGCAUUUGAAAAAAGAUUGUUAUGUUAAAAGAAAUCUGAACAAAGGAGGGAAAUGCAUGUGGGUAGUUAGACACAAUGCUAAUAUAUGUAGAUGAUCUUCUUAUUGUGCAAAUAUAUGUAGAUGAUAUUAUUUUUGGUGCUACUAAUGAGUAUCUAUGCAAGGAUUUUUCCACCAUUAUGCAAAGUGAAUUUGAAAUGAGUAUGAUGGGAGAAUUAAAUUUCUUCCUUGGACUUCAAAUACAUCAAGCCAUAGAGGGCAUUUUCAUAAAUCAAGCAAAAUACACUAAGAAAUUGCUGAAAAGAUUUGGCAUGGAGGACUCAAAGCAAGUUGGAACUCCAAUGUGCACUUCAACAAAACUUGACAAAGAUGAAGAAGGUAAACAUGUGGAUGAAAAGCACUAUAGAGGUAUGAUUGAAAGCUUACUUUAUUUAACCGCAAGUAGACCCGAUAUUAUGUUUGCUGUUUACUUGUGUGCUAGAUUUCAAUCUUGUCCAAAAGAAUCACAUUUGAAUGCUGUUAAAAGGAUUUUUAGGUAUUUGAAAGGUACAUUAAACUAUGGUCUUUGGUAUGCUUGAUCUAGUGAGUUUGCACUAUAUGGAUAUUCGGAUGCUGAUUUUGGAGGUUGUCGUGUGGAUAGAAAGAAUACUAGUGGAACUUGUCACUUUCUUGGUAAUUGCUUAGUCUCUUGGUUUAGCAAGAAACAAAAUGCAAUCUCUUUGUCUACAACCGAAGCAGAAUAUAUUGCCGCUAGUGCAUGUUGUGCUCAACUUUUAUGGAUGAAGCAUAUCUUGAAUGAUUUUGGAUUGUCAUAUGACUGCAUGCCUAUAUUCUGUGAUAAUACUAGUGCUAUCUGUGACGCCCCGAAAAAAAAAGAGUGUGAGAACCCGUAAAAACCCUAAUAUUUUCCUAGGGUUUUAGUUCCUUUAAUUGCAUAAUUUUUGCAUUUCUGGCUUAGAAAUAUUAUCUGGGUGGAUUUAUGAGCAAUUAUAGUUUUAAGAUGAUUUUUCUAGCAUUGGUGAGUUUUUAGAAAAUUAAGAAUAAAUAUUGGACGUGGGACCCACUAGUGCGAAAAAUUCGGAAAAAUUCGGCCAAUAAGGUUAAGUUUCGGAUACUGUUAAAAGUUUAUCGGGUAUUAAGAGAUAAGUAGAGUGUGUGAAAUGAUUGAUGUGAGAGAGAAAAGAAUGAUAAGGAUGCAUUUAAUAGAGUGACACAUGUCACUUUCUUAUUGGUUGAACUUUUAAGAAUUACUAUUCAUUGUCUUGACUUAUUUGACCAAGGGAUUAAAUAUCCAAAAUUCACCAAAAAAUCACCAUUUUGCUCUCCUUGUUGGCCGGCCACCUUGAGCAAGAAAGGAAGGAGAUUUCUUCAAUUUUCAAGCUUCUACUUGGUGCAAAUCAACCAAAAACAUUUGCUUCCAUCCAUUUCACUCCAUAAAAUUCUUCCUUCUAGAGCUAGUAAGUUGUUUGGUGAACUUUGUUUGAAGGUUUAAGGUGUCCAACAUCCUCCUCUCUCUUGUUUCUUGGUAAGUGAUGCUUCAACCUCUCCCCUAUAGCUAAUGAUGGUUAUUUUGUGCUUAAUGGUGGCAUGGGUGUUGAAAUACAUGAUUUGUUUCUUGAUUUGAGGAGUUUUGGAGAAGUUUUUAUUUUAUUGGGAAUUUUUCUGGUUUAAUAUGAAUGGGAUGUUGUGGCCUUGUAUGAUGAAUUGUAAUGGUUGAUAAUGACUCUAUGAGGUGUAUUGGAUAGGAAAAUGCAAUCAAUUUUGGAUUUGGUGUGAAAAUUGAAAAGUUAGGGUUCUUAAAUCCCAAUUCUGUCCGGUUUUAGAUCACUGGGUUAGAGGCCGAAUUAGACUUUUCUCAAAACAUGAAAGUUGUAGGUAUUGAUGUGAUUGAGAUUCCUGUAAAAUUUCAGGUCAUUUGGAUUAAUGUAGAAUGAGUUAUGACGAAAUUACUGUAGCUGUUCUGCUUUGGACAGAAUGCGAAAACUGCGAUAGUAAUUGGCCAUUUUGACUGGAAUUGGUUUGGAUUUUGGAGUUAGUGUCUUCUGAUGAAAUGUAGCCGAGUGUCUUAGCUAACAUAUGCCUUUGGAAUUUCGGCAUUUGGACUUGUAUGGACUGAGAUAUACCGAUUACAGUUUUCUGUGUUUUGCAAACCUGUUUUGGUGAUUCUGGUUUAGUGUUUGGCAUUUUUGACCUAGUUGGGCUAGGAACUGGAUUGAGUGACCUUCUACAUUGUUGUAGCCCUGUUUCAUAUCUUCGAAACGGUGGGUCUUACACCCCCAACCGAUAAUUGUAGUGAGAGUUGUGCCAUUACCGCAUUAUGACGUCAAAACUGUUUUUCUGGUUUUGAGCUUAACCUUCAUUUCCGGACUUUUCCCUAGCUUGACUUGUCUUUGUACUACUUGGAGCUUGCUGAAUGGAUAUUAGAUGAACUUAUUUGUGUGACUUUGGGACUGGCUGGAGUAAUAAUGAAGCCAUGAUGGCUGGAAAAGUUAGCAAAUGUAGGGGAAGUGCUGUCCGAACUUUGAAGGGACUUGUUUGCAUUGGGUUUGUGAUCUAAGGCUUGGAGUUGAGCAAGGCAAUGAUACAUGAUGGAUGGUUUCUGAGCCGUGGAGGUGAGUGACCCUAAACUGUUUCCAAAAUUACUUAUGAACCGUUUAUUGCACUAUUUACUUGAUUGCAUAUCAUGAGUGCUUGCAUGUGGCCCAUGACAUGUUUUGGCUUAAAUGAGUGCUUGGAAUUCGUGUGCUGGACACCAACGUCUCCACCUCUGUGUACUGUUCAUCUGGAGCAAAUGGCUCCCCCACUGACUGUUUACUGUUUAAUGUUUGUUUGGAGCGUUGGGUGUUUAAGUACAACGAUUUCGCUGGCUCACGAGAGCAAUAAAUGUACCUUUGAUCUUGAAAUCAUGACAUCACUGAAAUGAACGACUGUGAAACUGAAUUGAUUACUGAUUUUAAUGGUUACUCGCUGAGCUUCUAGCUCACCCCAAAAAUGUUUUAUUUCCCCCCACAGGGCUCAAGGCGAAGAAAAGCUUGGAGUGCUUAUUCACGUGACUGGAUGGCUUAUAUCAUGUACAGUUUAAGUUUGGAUUUAUUUUAUGUACGAGCUGGGCUUGUAUCAAUAUUUGAAAUUGAUAUAGAUGUAAGUAUACAUUCCACGAUUGGAAUCAGUUUCCGCUGCAUUUGUGAUAUGUAAUUAUUGGAGAAUUUGAUGUAAUUUUGAGAGUUAUAUUGUAAUAUAUUUGAGGAUUGUAGUGAACGACUGAGUCCCGGCGAGAGUUGGGCAGGCGGCCCGCCGAACCCUCUGGUUCGCCUUAGGGGGAGGUGGGGCCGUCACACUAUCAAUUUGACCAAAAAUCCAAUUCAACAUUCUAGGACAAAGCAUAUAGAUAUAAAGCACCACUUUAUUCGCGAUCUUGUUCAAAAAGGUGAAGUAUGUGUAAAUUAUGUUUGUUCUAAAGAUCAAUUUGCUGAUAUUUUUACAAAAGCUUUGCCAUUAGAUCAGUUCAUUCAUCUAAGAUCAAAAUUAGGGAUAAUCGAAAAAUCAUCUUAAAAUUUUUCAAAGCCUUCGGACGCCCAAAAGAAGAUGAACGGACGAAAACUCUCUCGUUUCUCACUCUCAAAUUCGUACCAUUCUGAAACUCUCAUUCCCAAAUUGACUCAACCAAAACUUUUCCUGAUCGAUUGCAAUUCGUUUCUCCUGAUCAUUUCACCGAAUCGCAUAACAUUUCGCAAAUUCCCAAAUUUCACUCAAAACCCUAUUUUCUCAUAACCGCUCUGUCCAAUCUUCUUCAAGGCCUUUUUGUCCCAAAAUUUCUGUGUGAUUCACUUCCAUACUACUGUGUGCAUCAUUUGCAUCCUUCAUUCCAUACAUUUCGCACAAUGGUGAAUCUAAGAGGAGGGAAGGUCACUGCCGGACGCAAGCAUCCACUUAGGGAUGAGGAUGAUGAUGUUCCUACGGUUAAACGAUCAUCCAAACGCGUCAAGAGGGGAGCUGUAAAGGGUCAAAUGGCCUACACCACAACCCACCCCUCAGCCCGAAUCUGGACAGGGAACCUCAUCUCAACCGCCUCCAAAAUCAACUACAGUCCCUACAUUCUUUGAUGAUGCUACAAAAGACAAACACUCCUGGAUAUCCCAGAAAGUUGUCAUCCCUCAACGCACCGUAAAUUCUUCUGAAUUUCGCCAAAUAGGUUUAGAGACAAUUCUGCGUCUCUUUGAAUUCCAGAAAUGGUCACAUAUCAUUUCCAUGCCUAACGUUUAUUACCCUGAAAUGCUAUAUCAAUUUUUUGCCAAUCUUAGGAAAGGCACUGACCACACUGAAAUUAUGUCCAGGGUAAAUGGGGUAGACUUAGUAUUUGAUCCUGAUAUUGUGAAUGAUGUUUUAAAUACUGCUAUUGAACGUGGAUGCAAAAGUAAAAUUACAAAUUUUUUUUCUUAUGAAGAGCAUCCCACUGCUGAUAAUCACUUUGAUGGUGCUAAAAUGCUGUCCUAUUUUAAAAAGAAGUUUUCUGCCUCUGCUGAUGCAAAACUAAAUGACCUUGCUCCUGUGAAUCUCAUUGCUUUCUCAAUCAUUUCAAAUUUGCUUGUGCCUAUGGAUGGUCAUAGGACAGAUGCAAAUCAAAUGGAGCUGUAUCUUUUUUAUUGUUUUCGAGAAAAAAUUCGCAUUGAUUUUGGCUUUGUCAUGUGCAAGUUUUUACUUCGCUAUGCCACUGAUUCUCGUAGAAAACUGUCCUAUGGAAAAUUUCUUUUGAAAAUUUUUGAGUUUUACAAAGUACCCAUCCUUGGUGUUUGUCCCAAAGAAACGCUUCUUCUGCCUUUACUAAGGCUUAUUUUGAGCGCAAAAAUCUGUCUUUGUGGAUAAUUUGUGGGCGUAUAAGGGGGCCACUUCUAAUGAACCUAAAUCUAAGGUUGCACAUGAUCCACUUCACACUCCAUCCUCUGUUGCACUGACCUCUAUUCAUCCUAGGAAGACUGCCACUAAGGCAUCUUCUUCUUUAAAUUCUGAGGUGGUUGAGCUCCUUCGAGACCUUAAGCAACAUGUUCUGCUUCUUGAACAUGGUCUCAUGCUCACCAUGUCAUCCCAGCAACAAGCUGACUUCCUAGAUAAAAAGAGUCUUCUUUUUCCCCCACUUGUGGUUGAGGAAAUCCCUCCUGGCAAGGAGCCACGCUCCAAUGAUCUAAGUUCAUCAGCCCCUGUUCGCUCUAUGAGUCCUGCUCCUAUCGACCUCACCUCUACUCCCGUGGCACCACAUGAUCCUUCCACAUCUGAUAAAGGCAAGAAAUCAGUUGGUGAAGUUGCUGAAGAUGAUGAAGACACUGAGGAGGAGGAGGAUCUCUCUCAGUAUCAACUUACUCGAAGGACGCCUGGAUCCUCUUAACUUAUCAUUUAGGAUCACUAGUCCUAUUAGGAUCAUUUGCAUUAUGUUUGACUAUUUUUAUUUGCUGAAUGUUAGAUAGUUGCCUUGAACUCUUUUUAUCUAUUGAAUUCUGGUGCUUGGUGUCAUUUGGUGUUUUGUAAUGUCCAAAACUGGACAUAUGUUUGUAAUGUUUGUGAAUGGUUGAAUCUUUACAUUUUGCUUGGUUGAAUGGUUGGAAAUAUGGAUGUAAUGCUCGUAAGAUCAUUUUGCUAUGAAUGGUUGGAUAUAUGGUCGAAUCUUUGUUACUAGUUCUCCAAAUGUAUCUUUACAUUUUGAAUUUUGUGAUGACAAAAAGGGGGAGAGAUGGUGUAGAUAUGAAAACGGACAAUAUGGAUAAUAAGUAGCCAAGUGAGGGGGAGUUUUUAAGUUUUUGUUCCAAAUCUGUGUAGUAGCCAAGUGAGGGGGAGUUUUUAAGCUUUUGUUCUACGAUUGACUAAGAAAGGGGGAGCCUAUUUGUAAUCAUCAAAUUUCAUUUCAAACCAUUGUUUUGUCAUCAUCAAAAAGGGGAGAAUGUUAUUCUUGAUUUUGAUGAUCACAAAGCACUUUGAAAUAUUUAUCUAAUUCUCUUCAAAUAUAAGUGUUUUGCUUUUAAGAGAAUCAGGUACAAAGGUGUCAAGGAAAGAAAAUCAACCAAAAGAAGAAGCAAAAACAGGGCACUCAUGUCGGACGUCCUAAAGGAAGCUGUCGGACGUCCGAAAGAAUGAAGAACAUCAAGAAGGAAACUCUGUCGGACGCUCGUAAGGAAGCAUCGAACGUCCGGGAGGAUCGGACGCACAUCGAUCGCAUCGGACUUCCGAGAAAUUCUGUAAAGUUUUGAUGACUCUCUGACGACGUUCGGACGCAGAUGCUGUCGGACGAUAAUAUCCCAUCGGACGUCCGAACGACAACUUGGCUGAUUUUCGGACGAUGGGAUCAGACGGUGAUUCAUCUGUCGGACGUCCGACAGCCCCAACGACUAGCUGACUCUUCAUCUGCCUACUAUCCGUUGGAAGCAUUAUUGAAACCCAUUUUUGGUCCCCUUUAAAUACAAACGAUUCUGAACCAGUGAGUGACUUUUGUACACUUUGUUUACAAGAUCUCAAGAGAUAUUUUAGCUAGAAAAUAGUCUCCAAAACUAGAUUUGUUCUCCAAGUGGUGUGAAUUUCUUGUGAGCAUUUCUCUUGUGGUUGAAAGUUUCAUUAGUGUAGCUUUGUUGAGGGUUAUCUGAGUGAUUGUAAAACUUCUUAGCUUGACUAAGUGAGGCUUAGGGCAAGGAGGAAGUGCUCCCUCCAUUGUACAUCUAGUUUAUCAUCUUUCAUCAAAGAGAAGUUGCUCAACCUAGUGAUUGGUCUUCAAGUUUGAGGAAAGCUUGGUAAACAAUCGGUUUGAUAUUCUAUCUUAUUCUUUUUGUUUAAUAAAAUUCUCAUUGCUUAUCUAUACUUGUUUUUCUAAUCAACAUUUGAUACGAGUUAAGCUAUGUCAUUGGAUAAGGUUCAAGUCCCACUAGGACUGGUUACACGAGCUCGAGCAGUUCAUUCAGCUUCAUCGUCUCAAAGACGUUAUAAGGCGCGGGCACGAUUUAUAAGGAUAUGUCUUCUGCCAUUUAAUUGAUUCACCGCAGCAAAGUCAUUAUAAGGCGUGGGCACGCUUUAUAAGCUCAAGUCGUCUGCCCAUCUAAUCACAUUUAUUGUUUUAGUUAAGUCGUUUGUAAUAAGGGCUUUAUGGUCCAUAGCCUUGCUUUAUUUACCUAAGCGAUGACCUCAUAAGGUUGUUUACCUAAGGGAUGACCUCAUAAGGUUUGGUCAAGCCUAUAAUUGUUAGUCUUAGUCAAGACCACAACUCUAGACUAGUUCCACAUUUAGUUGUUCAUCUCUAUGUAAGGCUAUAAAUAGCCCACACUUCCAAUGGUUUAGGCAUUUCAAUCAAUAAAUCAGAUUUUGAGAGUUUUCUUGGUUUCUCCAAGGCUUCUUGAAUACCUUAGAAUUUCUCUAGGUGUUCGUGACUUAUCAAUCUAGAAUCGCACUAGGUUGUGGCGUCUUCUACCAUUAUACCAAGGUUCGUUAACCACGUGAUUAACGGGUUGAGGUCAUCCGCUUCAAACUUGGUGUCCUCUUGUCGAUCCUGAAGCUAUUCUUUUACGGGUUUCGUCACAAGGUUGGCGACGUUCGUAUCAGUUGGUAAUCAGAGCUAGUUAAGAGGUAUCACGUUAUAUCCCUUUAUUUAUUUCCUUUUCGAGUCAAGUUGUCGAAAAUUCUGUUUUCGUGUUCUAAGUUGCUAUCCGCAAUAUCCAGAUUUGUUACAUCGUGUUCUUGCGUUAUUUUUUCAGAUUUGUUACGUCAUAAACUUGUGUCUAGUUGUUGUUAAUUGCUGUGGUUAGCCUUGUUUGGUCCAGCCUUUCUUUUUGUGUCUUAUUCUUGAUUCUUUGUUUGAGUCUUGUUUCUAUCUUGUUAUAUCCAUUCAAUUCCAAUCUUUUGUUCUAUUUGAUCAUUCGAGGUUACUGUUCAUCCGAAAAAAAAAAUUAGUUUGUAGCAAGGGUUUUAGAGUCCUAUCUAGUUAUUACCUUGUGUUCUUGUUUACAUACAAAAAAAAAAUAGCUGGCUAACCUUACAAAACUUGAUCAAAAAUUCCUGCAAAUCUGUCUUGAUCAAAACUUGGGUUUUUUUUGAAGUUCCUGAUUGUUUAAAACCACAAUCUUGAAGUUCUUGGAACUUUAGUUGGGAUUCUUGAAGCCAACCAAAAUCUGUCUUGAUCAAAUCGUGAAAUCUUGGAUUGUUUAGGGAGGAAAUCAUCUUCAAUUUUGUGUUUCUUGAAUUCUGGGAAUUAACAUCUUGAAUUCUUGAAAGAAUCUUGAAGUUUCUGGGUUUUGGGAACCAAAUCUUGGUAAACAACAAGGCUGCAAAUUUUCAGCUGCCAAAAUCCUUGUCUUCACCACAACAAUCUUCUUUCUUGACUAAGAACAUUUUAGCCACGAAAUUUGGCUCUUCUUGGCUGAUUAGAAAACAAAAACAAAGGAAGAAGAAGAAUAUUCAGCCUAUUCAAGUCAAAUUUCCCAACCUAUUCAAGUCAAAUUUUCCAACCUGUUCAAGUCAAAUUUUCCAACCUUGUUCCCAAAAACAACCAAAUCAGUUCCAAUCUUGAACUUGACCUUAGAAUUUAUGGGAACCAGCAAAUAGGAAGACUAAUCCUUGUUUCCAAAGGAUUAAAGAAGAAAAGUCAGCCUUGGGUUUCCAAAACAGUCCUACCACAACACAAAUUCAUCUUCCAUUCGGAUUCCAUCUUUGCAACCAUUGGGGAAUUUCUGUCCAAUCAUUAAUUCUGGAAAUUUUCGUGCAUCAUUAGGUUAGUUUUAAGUGUCAUUCUGAAUCCUCUAAGUGUCCAUUUAUCUACCAAAACACUGCCCAAAAAUGCAGCAACCAGCAGCUCAAAAUUCCAAUUUUGGGUAGAGUUUUGUCUAGGAUCCUUAAAAUUCAACUUUGAGUCGUGGUCAGUCCCUUCAUCUUUUAUUUUUUUUUUCUUUCGUUCAAAGUGCUACAAUCUUGUGACCCUGGUUGGUAAGUCGAUCCACACUAGAAGGAGUUCUAACUUGUUCGAGGAGUUGACCGAGGAGCCUUGAAAAUACCUUGGUGAGUUCAUUAGAGUGUUCAAACACGAGAGCGAGUGUAAACAUGUGAGCUUGUGUGGCGAGGAAAAAUAUCUUUUGUUUCACUAAUUUUUUGCAGGUUUCCUCAUACAUCAUGGCGAAUACGAGGCAUUUAAAAGCUAGCUUACAACAUCUUCUUCUUGAUCCUAAGGGAGUCAAAGAAGUAGCAUUACGUGGUGUAGAUGAGCAAUUGGAUAUCGUCAAAUCUCAGUUGCAUGAUUGGUUUUAUACUCGCAUUUUUUAAAAUCUUUUUUUUAUUUCUUGUUUUUUAGGAAAAAACUAAAGGAUGUGUUUGGAUUAGAGACCAAUGAACUUUUUUCCCCCCGUGCCUAAUUGCAGAUUAAAAGGAAGAACUAGUUCUUAGAUAACGUUUCUAAGUACAACUCUAUUACUCAGAAAACUGGUCUACCUGACUGUGGGUUUUCCUUUAGUCAUGCCAUUUUGUCAUUAGUGAUGAUUGCUUCUUCUAAACCUUAGCUCACUGCACACGCCAAGCGUAUGAAAGCCAAACUUAAAUUGAACUCGUCAAGUUGCAAAAUAAGAAAAUUUGGGUUACGUUUGGUAUGAGUAGUAAGGGAAAAUUUAAUUCCUAUAUUUAUGAUUCUUGACUAAUGUGAUUGUAGAAUUGUUGACUGAAAAUAAAAGGAAACUGACAAAGAAAUGUCAUGUGAUUGCAUGUGCAUGGUUAAAACAAUACAAAUUAUAACCAAUUUGAUCCAUUGUUUUUAAGGUUUUGAUCGUUUUGGUUCCUUAGUAUCAUGACAAGCAAUUUUGCCUCUUAAAUUUAAAAAUAUGGUUAGGGAGGUCCUUUUGAUAGAAAUUUGAGUCGCUAAUGAAGUGAGAGACCCUUUAAUGCCUUUCGUGUCACAUCCGUCUCAACAGUAUAUUAAAGUUUCAAAAAAUCUCAAAUAAGUCAUAAACUCAUAAAAAUAAACCCAAAACUCUUUAUCGUGAAGAAAAUAAAAUUUUUGUAACUUUAAAAUAAAUCAAACACAAAACUUUAAACAUAAUUAUGGAUUUUGUGCCAUUUCCGAGUUGAAAUAUCAUGAAAAAGAGUACCUAAAGGUGAAGAGAAAAAAUGCAUAAAUUUAUGUUUGACAUAGUAUAAAAAACUUUUAUUUCAUUAUAUUGAAGAGUUAUGGGUGAGUUUAUAGUUUUAGGCUUUUGUUUGAAUGCUUGGUGUUUUCUGCAAGAUGGUACGAAGUACCCUCUAAGGUCUCUUAACUCCGUUAACAACUCUAAAUUAGCCUUGACCAAAUUCUUAAAAUUUAAGAAAAAUUGGUUCGCCAUAAUACAAAGGGACUAUAUUGUUUGGAGAUAAGAUACCAAAUUAAUUAAUUUUUAUUCUUUGCGUAAUUCAAGUGAUUUCUCCGUUAGCUUCCCACAAUUUUGCUGCAUUAGUCUCUUUUGAUGAGAUAGAGCACUAAAUUUGUUGAUAUGACAGACCAUAUUGGCUGAGACUUCAAAGAUAGAUGACCAAAGCAACAACAUUUCCUAAGUAGUUCAUGAAUCAUUUUCAUUGUAUAGUUAGAUAUGAUAGAGAAGAUGUAUCUUUUUAAAAAUGAAAGGAAAUAAUAUUAAGUUAUAGAUGAUUUCUUGAAUAAAAGGGCAAUAAUAUUAUUGUACUCACUUUUUUCAUUAUUUUUAACUUAGACUAGUUUUCAUGAGGGGUAAAAUAUACAUAUUUAAUGUUAAUGGGAGCAAAGUGUGAUUAUCCACUAAGUUUAGGGGACGCAAAGUGUUAUUAACCCUUUUUAUUCAUAAUAUAUAAUUUUGUAGACUCUCUCUCUUCUUAGGAUCCUCUCUAUCUUCUCUCUUCUCGCCACUAGUGAUCGUAAGGUUUCAUGGCAGCCCUUCAGCCAUCGGCUGAGGGGCAAGAAUUUUCCCCUACAAAAAAAAAAUCUUUUUCUCAGCUUUUCUCACAGCCGGCAACAUCUCCAAUCCAGAUUCGGCAGGCUUCUGUUUACAAGGGUGAAGCGGCGGUUAUAUUUUCCAGAAUAGAAGCGGACAAACUUGCAGCACCAUUUAGAUGGACUUUGGUUGGCAAAUUCUCUCAUGGACGACCUUCUCUGGAAGAUAUUCGAAAGUUUUUUGCCUCUUUAAAUCUGAAAGACCAAGUCUCCAUUGGAUUACUGGACUAUAGGCAUGUCCUUAUUAAAUGUACAGCUGAAGCAGAUUUCAAUAGAAUUUGGACAAGAGGAAUUUGGCAGUUGGGUAAACAUCCAAUGCGUGUGUUUCGAUGGACCAGGGAAUUUCAUGUGCAUAGAGAAUCAUCUCUAGUACCGGUUUGGGUAAAUCUUCCAGCUCUACCUAUUCAUUAUUUUGACAAACAUUCUUUGUUUUCCAUACUGUCUCCAGUAGGAAGACCUUUGUUUCUAGAUUCGGCAACGGCUGCUGGGAUUCGUCCUAGUGUAGCCAGGGUGUGCGUAGAGAUAGAUGUUGCGAAGCUUGUUGUGCCAAGGGUGUGGGUUGCUGUCGAAGGGGAAUCAGGUUUUUGGCAACGUAUUGAGACAGAGAAUCUUCCUCCGUAUUGUUCUUUUUGUUCAAGAUUAGGACAUUCUCAUGAGCACUGCAACAAGAAUUUGAAAAAAGAUGGGUCUCGGCUGCAACUGAACAACCAGCAAAACCCAUACAUAGAUAGAAAUCAGAUGAUUACUCAUCAACCUGGGACUAAUCAAACUGAUUUGGAGAAUAAAGAGGCAGCGAAUAUAUCCAAUGUUAUUGCAAAUGAAAUGAUAGUGAAUGGAGUUGCUGCUACUGCGAAUGAAACUGUGAUAAACGAGUCUACUUCACAGGAAAUUUCAACCACUGCUACGGUGAAAAAUGGGAUAAAAACUUCAGCAGCAAAGGCCAUGGUUGCUGAACCUGCCGUGCUAGUCGUGCAAAAGGAAGUAAAAAAUCUGCAACACUGCAUUAUUGAUGAUGAUCCUGCUAAUGAAGAAGGAGUAGUAACCCAUUUAGAAAUUUCAGAUGUCAACGUAAACAUGGAGACAUGUAAGGUGAUGAAUACGGUUUUGCAUGGGGAACAUGUAGCAAUGGAAAACCAGCUGGAGAAACAUCAUGGCAGUCAAAGUGAAGGGUCCCAUGUCCUCAAAGAGAAGCCUUUGAGCACCGAACAACAUCAUCUGGAUGAGAAUGCUUUAACAUUGGCACAACAGAAUCUGACCGACAAAGCUACAACAUUUACACAAGCAAAUCAGGCCCACAACAACGCAAGGAGUGACCAUGAGCAAUUGGCCGACAAAACCAAUGUUGAACUGCAGCUGCUGGCCGACAAUAAUGUUUUGGAGAAUCUCUAUGUUGAAUUGCGAGGGGUGGAGGAUGAAGUUUCUACACAACAGUUGGUAGAAGCAAAUCAAAUGCCUACUAAUGCUGGAAAUCUGUCCCCCCGAAUUGGUGUCCUACAAGAAAAAUUGCUGGAAUCAUCAAUGAAUGGCCUAAACAUUGAUCAAAUAGGUGAGGCUGGUGGUGACUUCCGACAACCGCACAGAAAGGGUAUGCGGGCUCCAAUCCCAUCUGACAGACAGUUAAGGUCACAGACAUCAUCCAAAAAUUCAUUCCAGGUUCUUUCUUAUGAUUAAUGGAUUAUUUUGGAAUAUUAGAGGGAUAGCAAAAGCACCAAACCUAAGAAGAUUGAUUAAAUUAGUUCGGAUUUAUCAUGUUCAUUUUGUUGUGAUUUGUGAGCCAAAACUAGACGUAUCUAAAAUCGAACUCAUUCGGUUACGUCUAUCUUUUGAUUAUGUGUUUGUUAAUUGCUCUAGCGAUAUUUGGGUUUUCUAUAAUAAUCCUUUUGUUUGCUCGAUCGUUGGUAGUUCGGAUCAACAUAUUUCUCUAGAUGUUCAAAAUCCAUUACUACCAAGUUCCAUCAUUAUGUCUUUUGUUCAUGCAAAGUGCUCAGUGGAUGAGCGUAAAGAGUUAUGGACAUCAUUAUUACAUGAUAAGCCUACUUUACUUCCUUGGUGUAUUGGAGGUGAUUUCAACGUUAUAUUAGCAGCACAUGAAAAGCGAGGGGGGCGUCCAUUUGCUAUAGCGGAAGGAGUGGAUUUUAUGAAUUUCAUGGAGGAAGCUGAGGUCUUUGAUGUCGGUUUUUCAGGAUCUAAAUUCACAUGGUCUAAUAAUCGACGGAGUAGAGCUCGGAUUUCAAAAAGGUUGGACAGAUUUUUAGUCAAUGGAUCUUGUUUGGAUUUUUCAAAUGACAUUUCGGUACUUCACUUGGCAAGACACCCCUCCGAUCAUGCACCAUUGAAGGUUUCUUUUGCAACUCGGUCAGAUAACAAACCUCGGCCGUUCCGAUUUCUGAAUGUUUGGACUUCCAAACCAGAUCUCUUGGAAGUGAUUCGCCAUGUUUGGAAACAAGAUGUGGGUGGGCCUCCGCUACGCGUAUUGUGUUCUAAAUUAUUGGCAACAAGGAGAGCUAUUCAAUCAUGGAACAAGCAACAUUUUGGGAAUAUUUUUGACGCUGUCCGUUCUUCAGAAAUGGCGGUUCAACGAGCUGAGGAGUUGCUAGACCACGAUUAUUCCGAAGAGUGUCAAAUUGAGCUUAAUAAGGCACAAGCAGAAUUGCGGUAUUCAAUGUCAAUUGAAGAACAGUAUUGGAGACAGAAGGCCAGGGUCAAAUGGCUUCGUCAUGGAGAUAGGAAUACAAGAUAUUUUCAUGCGGUAGUAAGGCAGAGAAGAGCUCAAGGAAUGAUACACCGCAUCAAAAAGUCCAAUGGUGCGUGGGUGGAAAAGGACGAUGAUAUAGCAAGUGAGGCAACGGCAUAUUUCAAUGAUCUUUUCACGGGCUCUUUGGAAUCAUCUACUGAUAUGCUACAUUUAAUUCCGCACUUGGUUACGGAAGAGGAUAAUGGAAAACUGGAAGCAUUACCUUCAAUUGAGGAGGUAUAUGGAGUCAUAAAGUUAAUGGAUGGAGAAAGUGCAGCUGGCCCAGACGGUUUUACAGGCAAAUUUUUUACAUUUGCUUGGGAAGUGAUCGCUCAAGAUGUUUACAAUGCGGUACUGAGCUUCUUCUGUGGGGCGGAGCUACCACGAUUCAUCACUUCUACUUCAAUUAUACUAAUUCCAAAGACGCCAAAUCCUCAGGAAUUCUCUCAAUUCAGGCCUAUCAGUCUAUGCAAUUUUUUCAAUAAAGUGUUAUCUCGGAUUUUGACAGACAGGAUGGCUUGUUUACUGCCAAAAAUCAUUUCCCCACAUCAGACAGGUUUUGUGAAGGGCCGCAAUAUAACUGAAAAUUUUCUACUAGCUCAAGAGAUGGUAUCAAGCAUGGGGAAAAAGAAUAGAGGUGGAAAUGUUUUAAUGAAACUAGACAUGUCCAAGGCAUAUGACCGGAUGUCAUGGGGUCAUAUUAUUAAUAUUCUAAGGAGGUUUGGAUUCGGGGAAAUAUUUAUUGACCUUAUAUGGCGGUUACUCUCUAAUGUCUGGUUUUCAAUCAUUAUAAAUGGUUCCUCCUACGGUUUCUUCAAGUCUUCGAGAGGUCUUCGUCAGGGAGACCCAUUAUCUCCUGCAUUAUUCAUUAUAGGAUUGAGGUUUUAUCUAGAGGACUGAAUAACCUCACCAUGCAAUCGAGGUUCCUGGGUUUCAAAGUUCCAUAUCGGUGUCCGACUAUUACUCACUUGGCAUUUGCGGAUGAUGUUCUUAUAUUCAAAUGGAUCCUCUUCUUCUCUAAGGCAAUCAUGCAGGUGUUACAGGCAUAUCAAAGGUGUUCGGGGCAGCUCAUAAAUGUGCAAAAAAGCUGUUAUUUGGUCCACCCAUCGAUGCCACCGGCGAGACGAAGGGUGAUUGAACGUAUCACUAGGUUUGCCUGGCAGUCAUUUCCGAUACGUUAUUUGGGAUUCCCUCUUUAUUCUGGAAGAUGCAAAUCUUCAUAUUUUGGAGAAGUGUGUCAGUCUAUUCUAGGGAGGAUUUUGUCAUGGAAAUCAAGGCUGCUUUCCUUUGGAGGCAAAAUAGUUCUAAUCAAGCACGUGUUGGCUUCUAUGCCAAUGCAUCUAAUGUCAGCUGCUGUGAUCCCGGCCAAGGUGUUCAAAAUUAUAGAAAGUUCGUGCUCGUCCUGUGGAGAUCAUCAACCGACGACUCGAAAUUCCACUGGAUACGAUGGUCUCACUUGUGUUACCCGGUUGAGGAAGGGGGAGUCGGGUUCCGGAGACUACGAGACGUAUAUCAAGCUUUUUCAUGCAAGCUUUUGUGGAAUUUCCGAACAGGAUCAUCCUGUGGGCAUCGUUCAUGAAAGCAAAAUAUUGCGGAAGCCUUCAUCCUUGUCAGAUCGAACUCAGAACAACGGACUCGGCAAUCUGGAGAGGAUGAUCAACGUAAGUAGACAAGUGGAGCUCUCAAUGUUAUGGGAUGGAGCUUGUCAUUUUUGGUAUGACAACUGGUUGGGAAGUGGUGCGUUAUUUCUACAUGCAAAAGUUAUCCCAAAUUUGUCAUUCCAAAUUUUAUCACCAAUGGUCACUGGAAUAUAAAUCUCUUACAUUCGACGAUGCAAGCGAGAAACUUACUUCCAUUUUGGCACCCGGUACCAGAGGAAGGGAGGGAAUUGAAGUCUUUUGGAUGCCCACGAUAUCUGGUAAGUUUCUCUCUCCAAUCGGCUUUUGGGGACGUCAGGCAGCCGACACAAGUCAAUGGCUUUUACUUACAUUUGGCAUCUUCAGAUUCCUUGGAAAGUCUCAUUUUUCAUGUUAAGAUUGUUUCUGAGAAGACUACCAUUACCAGAUAGGUUAGGUAAGCUUGGCUUCCAACUUCCCUCAAAGUGUUUUUGCUGCUCCUCGCAUCUGUGGAGUCUAUUGGCACUAUUUGCCAACGGACAUAUUGCCUCGGUAGUUUGGAACUAUUUUGGAGGCCUAUGUGGAUUCAGGUGUCCAGGAUCUUUUUUGCGUCCUCGCAUCGUAGGAUGGUGGCUACGUUUACAUGACUCUGAGACACGACGACUUAUCGACCGCAUUCUACCUAGUGUACUUUGCUGGCAGAUUUGGAAAGCAAGAAAUAAAGCAAUGUUUGAGGGUGUCCAAAUGCAAUCGUCUGCUAUUUGUAAGAACAUUUUCUCAGAAAUACAGUCUAUGGUGGGGAUUCAUUUCAAACAAGAACUUCAAUUGCAGUCCUUUCAUCAUUUGUAUGAUCGAUCGCAUGUAUCUGUCGGUAGAAUUGCAUAUAAAUUGGUUCGCUGGGAAAUAAAGGAGACAGGGAGAUUGAUACUCAACACGGAUGGAUGCUCUAAAAGGUAAUCCAGGAUGGGUGGAGGUGGUGGAGUUCUCCGAGAUUCAUUUGGCGUACCAGUGAUUGCUUUCUCGGCUUAUCUUGGACAAACUACAUCUCUCCGUGCAGAGACUUGGGCCUCCUUAUUGGUCUUCAAACAUGUAAAAAUAGGGGCUUCGAAAAUAUAAGGGUUCAAUCAGAUUCAUUGCUUUUAGUUGAGAUCAUUCAGCAGCGUAUUCAAUGUCCAUGGGAGAUUCGAAGGGAAAUCAGACAGAUUUUGAAGCUCUUGGAAGAUCCUGCUCAUUUAUCACACUGUUAUCGAGAGGCUAACACAGUUGCUGACGCUUUAUCCAAUGUCGGAACAUCUCAUCCCCACCAACAAGUCAAGAUUUAUGACAGCUUCACUAUGCUCCCAAGGUAGCUCGUGGGCAAUUUUUCUAGACAAGUUGGGUUUGCCCUCAGUUCGGAAAAUUAGACGUCUGUAAGGAAAAAUAUUGUGUAUAUCUUUUCAUUAAUAAAAUAAAAAGUUCAAAUAAAAAAAAAAAAAAAACUUAACUUACGCUUUAACCGUUAGGAUUUUCUUACAUUCAUUCGACAACUCAGUAACCAUCCUAUUGUAUAAUAACUAUCCUACACCUCAUCAAAGCCUGAUAAGAUGAAGAAAAUUUCAUUUCUGGCAUCUUAAUGCCUUACAUCCAGUAUUGAGGGAAAAAAAUUAGUCGCAUUACAGUCUGAGAAUUUGAAUCCAGUAAUUUCAUGGUCUGACGUAGUCACCCAAGUAGGUUCUCCUUAAAACAGGGUCUUGAGGCAAAAUACACAUCAAAUAGGUCAUCUGUCGAUCUUUGAUUAUGUCUACACGUUCAAAAGAUAGGCUUAAUCAUAUUAGUGGAAAUAACUCAUAGUUCAUCAUAUAUUAAUUUGCUAUUCAAUUUAGUUUGAAUACAUGAUCAAUGUUAUCUAUGCCAAAAAAGAUUGAGGAUACUUUAGUUGGAAUUUGCCUUUGGAGUUAAAAGGGAUUUCCAUUUUUUCCUAGGUAUUCCACAGCUUGCAUACCAAAAGCACAGAGGCGGAAGAAAACCUAUGAUUAAAUCAUACAAUAGGUUUGUAAGAAAAUGCCCACUCUGAAAAAAUGAAAAGUUGAAUUUCCUAUUUUCAAAUUUACAUGCAAAAAAUGAAAAACGACAUGCAAGAAAUAGUCUACUAUUUCGCAAUGUUUCAUAGUUAUGAGAAAUAUAUUACAAAUAAAUCCACAUAAAUGGUGGGAAUAAUAACUCAAAUAUGGUGGGACAAAUAAACAUAGAGGGUGACCCCUGCGAGCUGAGAUAACUAGCUGGUUUAUUUAAUUUAAUAGUUUGAAUACAAUAGUAAAUCAAUGCCAUAGCUCAGAUACUGACUAAAUUUUCCCCCUGAAGAAUUCAACAGCAUCUUUCAGGCUGACCUCCAAAGGAGUGAAUUGAACUCCCAACCUUUUUGCCUUCUCAUUGGAGGCUCUGUAGUUUGGGCUGAUAAGGUUGGUAUUGUUUGACAUUCUGCUGUAUGCUGGACAAUACACAAUUAUGGCAAACAUAAAUAAAGCUUAGGUAAUGAAAAUGCAAAUGUAACUGGACAAUUGCCUCAUAUCUACUGUAAAUUGUGCCUUUUUAUGAAGUUUCAAAAGACCUUUUAAAAGAUAACUUUAGUUGUGAUAUGAAUGAAAUUAUUUUUUUCUAAAAAAAGCCUAAAACGAAAUUUCUAGUUUGGAUACAAAGCCAAUUUGGUGAUAUAUCCUAGUCCAAAGAAGACCAUCUUCUAGAAAUCAACCUGAGAAAGAGCUUAUUUUAUGGAACAUGAGACAAAAAGAAAAAAAAAGAAGGCAGAAAGUUUAGGAUUUAAUGUCCUUUGUUAAGCUUAAAAGAGAGUAUAAAAAUAUGUGAUACAUUUUGGACGUAUACAAGGCCAUCAGCAAAAGCCUGUAAAGACCUAAACAAGGAAAACAAGACUUAAUUAUCAGGAAAUUGGUGAUUUCGGUAAUGCUAAUGCAAAAUCUUGAUGAUCUGAGAGGCAUUUGCACAUCUUUCAACCAGGCAAUAUCUUCCACUUGCAGAAGGGGUUUCAAGGUCAAGAACAUGUGCAUAGGCAACAUCUCUAACAUCAACCCAGCUACAUGUUGCCUUAGGAAAUGGUUCAACCCCUGCAUUUGGCACCUAAGAUCUUUAAACACAUUUUUUUUGCAGGCUCUUCAGCGAAUAUAAGUGAAACUCUGCAUACAAUUAAAUACAAUGUUGUUUGCCAUGAAAAGAGUCAAAUUUAGAGGCCAUGGCCUGCCUUCCAAAAGAAAUGUUCUGUUUUAGUAUCAGCAAAACCACAGAGGGGAGGGAGAUGUGAGGAAUGAACUAGUUGAGACAAUUCAGAUAAUUGGUGAAUAAUAAGAAAGAUUAAUCCCAACAAUCUACUAGUUAAUCUGUCCCUGGAAUUUCUCAGAUUUAGAGUUAGGUUUCUCUUUCAAAGGAUAGUUUAUUUAUUUUCUUCCAAAAAGGAUCAAUUACAAGGCAAAAGAAUAAACUACAAGCAUGAUAAUACUAGUUGUCUCAUACUUAAGAGUUAAAUGGUGAGACUUGAAGAAACUUGUCCCUUCACUCUCAUCCAGAUAGAAAAACAGAAUUUAUUCCUGUUGUUUUGUUCCAGAGAGUGAAAUAGUAAUCAAUUCCUAAAAUUUGUUUCUUGCCAUUGUUGUACAAAGUGACUAUUUGGGUCGAAGGAGUCAUGGCAAAUUGAAAGAAUAAUAAACAAGCUUUAGCAAGUAAAGUUUGUACAACAUAAACAGUGACUACUCCUAACAAAUUUUUCCUCACAAUUACCACCCAAAAAUUUCUUUUCCUUCCUGUUAAUCACAUAGAACCUCAAUGUUGUUGAAAGGAAGAUGCACACAACGUGAAUUUCAGAUGAAAGAUUGUACUGCAAACCUUUAAAACAUCAUAAGCUGGUCAGAGUUUAUAGCUUGAUAUAUCAGUUCAUAUUCUGACCUAUGUCUGUCAAUCAUGUGAUUAGCCAGCAGUGCCUUGAAAUGUUAUUAGUCAUAAGUUUUUUGUUCUACUGUAACAAAGAAAGCUGUGGUGCAUAAUAAAGCUAUAACUAACAUAGAUGGAAGAGUCAGUUAGACAAUGAUUACUAAGGUGAUUCAAUAAAUUUUGAAACAAACCCUUUAAUAGGUUGAGGAACAAAACAACGCUCGAAUUAACAGAUGGCUGCAAGAGAGGACCAAUGACCAAUCCCGGAUGAAUUGUAAUCACGUCAAUGCCAUGCUCCUUUGCAAAUUUCCAUGCAGCAUUCUCGGCCAUGGUUUUGAAAGUUCAUACCAAGACAAUCAACACCGAAAAAUCACUAAAUGUUGGUAAGAUGCUAGCAGAAAGUAAUUAGAUUUGUAAACUUUAAGAAGUAACAUUAUAAAUUUCUACAAAUUUGACAAAACCAGCAACUUACAUCAGUUGAAACUAUUAUUGCUGUAGCUACAAAGCACAGAGUGAAAGUAUCCACAUUUCCCAGGACAAGCUAUGCUACAAGUGAAUAAGUAGAUUUCUCAAGGAUCCUAGGAAUGGUGUAAACUUUCUAUAUUCAAGGAAUGAUGCAAAGCACCAGCGUCGACAUAUCCCGAUCAUCUGAUCUCUUAAUCCACAAGUUAACAGCAAAACUACAAGGGACCUUGACACUUUAACACAUAUAGCCAUAUUCAUAAUAUUAUAGCAGAAGUUCCUUUCCAAUUGACCGACCAAAUAUUGCUCAUCUAGGUGUGUAUUCUCAGACAAUAGUAUAGAAUUUGAUCAUGCAAGAGAUGCAUAAUUAAGUAGGAAAACUUUCAUAUUGCUCUUUCCCCGACUAUUCCACACUACAUUAUUAAUUUUUCAUUAAAGUUAAGUUGUUACUUAGAUAGAAGGAAAGAAAUGGACUGACCAUUCUGGUUACAAAAAUAUCCUUCUUUUUGCCUAUUAAAGUACCACCAAGUCAUGAAGAUCCUAACUUAAUUAUCUCCACAGCUGGGCUAACUCCUCAUAUGUGUUCCAAUAACAAGUUAAAACUAAAGAAUUCUAGCAUUCCAUAUUAGAUUUUACUGGAAGAAGACAGAUAAUAUAUGUACCUUUUGCUCCUCACAGUAUGAUGGAUCGGAAAACCAACUUUCAUCAACUACCACAUCCUCCUUUAAUUCUCUAUUUUUUGAAACUGCAACCAUAGAGGAUGUUAUAACUACUCUAUUGGCAGAAGAAGAAUUUGCACAUGACCGCAGCACAUUCAGUGUUCCGCUUACUGCAGGUUCCAGUAGUUCUGCCUAUGAAAUCAAACCAAGUAAAAAAGGAAGUCAUUACCAGUCAUAGGUAAGACUAUGCUUUUAACCUGCAAAAAACUUAUCAUUCUGGUAUUAUGUUUGAGAAUUUCACCACAAAUGCUGUAAACCUACAGCUUUAGUUACUUAGCUAAAGGAUGCAUAUAGUUGUCUUAUCUCCUCUUGCUGCUAAAAUAAGUUCUCAGGUCCUUUAUUGUUGUUUUUCCCAUAUUUUUUGAGCUUUCACUGGGUGACAGGAACUUAAGACCAAUAGAGGAACAACUGAAAUAAGUCUUAGAUGUGGUCACCAAUUAAACCGUUUGGUACCUAAUAUCAACCGAUGAAAUUCUGUUCUGGCUUGAACAGGACAGACAGAAAAUAUAAAAGGUGUAGCUCCCAUGAAUCCUGCGAAUAGAUUUUAGCGUGAACACAUAAUGCAUGUUGCAAUUUCUUUUAGUGUCUGUGAGGCAACCUUGUUCAUUGAAAUUACUAAAAUCAAAGUUCUACAAAGUUACUGAUAUAAAAAUCCAUAAACAAACAGACAAGGAUAGGUGUACUGCAUAAAAUUUUAAGGCACAAUCAUUAAUAGAAGUUAAUCAACAUACAAAUGAAGAUACAUAUAAUUUGCAGAUGCUUGAACAUAUAUUGUAGUUUCUAUAAGCUUCUUAUUCAUGGUGAUAUCGGCACCCAAAAACUAUUGGCUCUGCACUGGCUGAAUAAUUAGUUGGUCAAAGCAGCGAUUCAUUUGCUCCAGGGCAAGCUUGUAGCUUGCUCUAUAACCUUGACAGGUGCCGAACCUGUGCAAUAAUAAUUACUAAAAAGUCCUAAUUACCACCUCAAUUAAUUAUAGAACAAAUCCAAAUACUGGAGCAGGGACCCUAGGUGUGCAAUGGGUUACUUGAUUCACCAUAUUCCCGAAGAGUUUGCUUGAUCCGAUAUACCAAAUUUGCCUAUAAAAAUAUUAAUUUUGCAUACAAUGACAAGUAGGGUCGAUUCCACAGGGAACAGGUAGGAAGUUGUUUCUUUCCAAGUCAAUAGAAUAAAAUUGGGGGAUGAUUAAUGGGAUGGAAAUGAAAAUAAAAUAAAUAAAAUUCAAAAGAUAACUCCACAAGUACAAUUUAUUAAAAAUAGGAAUUAAUAAAAUUCUACCCAAAGGGUCAACUUUUCAGGUACGGUCCAAUUAAAUGAUCAUCGAUGCAGAGAUAUUUCAUUCAUCCGUCACUAGAUUGAUUAUAACUAUCAACAACGUCUGACAGCCAGUUCUCCCUUACCUUUUUUAUAACCAAGGUAUGACCGUUGACUGCUUUUCUAACCAGAAAACAACCCUAGGUACGACCGUAGGAAUUUAAUUAUCCAGUUGCAUUAAAACUGGAAAAAUUCAACCCUAACCAAUAAACACGCUAAGAGGGUUUAUUUAAAUUAGAUCUUGCGUUCCCCCAACAUAAAGCCAAUUAUGGUGGUUGUCACUAGGUAUCAACUAAACGAACAAUUAUUGAUUCAAUUUAGUUAAUAUGACAGUAGGCUAUUAAAUUAAAUCAAAUACCCGGCAGUUGAUAUUCAAUUAAUAAAAUACCCAUAAACAAUUAAUUCAGGAAAUGCACGAAUAGUAAAGAAUUGGAAGAAAGAAUAAAAAUUCGAUUAGAUCUCAUAGAUGUUAUGGACCGCGCCCUUGCGUCAACCUUUAGGUAGAGAGGAAAACUAGCCGCUCCUCAUCAUAUCAAUCUCGCGUGGUUCAAUUGAUAUCAUUCAACUUAAUUAUCAAAAGGAUUGGGAAAAGUGAAAUAGCGAAGGAACGGCUAAAAAGCCUUGCUUCCCUUUGUAGGGUUUCGUGUUCGUACCACUGAGGCCAAAGUAAAAGCAAAAGUCUAAUAGGGAAGUCGUACAGAAGCCAAAAGCAAAGAGUAAAUCGUCUGUAAUGGCCGACAGAUGGGAGCCAAAGAAAAUUAAAGCUAAGCUAAUCUAUUAGACGUGAAUCUGGCUUUGACUAAAUGCUGUGAAAGACCGAAGGACCCCAGACGUCUGACUCCAAAUUGAAACUCAAGCUACUCUAAUUGAUCAGACGUGAUUUUGGCCCUUUUUCCUUUUUGACGCCGCCGCCCACAGAGACCAAGAAACGUCUGGGUUUUACUUGCUUUUGGAGCCUAGGCUUUGAUUCCAUGCGUCGAGUUCACGUGGGUUUGGUUUCCUAGUUAGCCCUGCUGCUAUCAAUCCUGCGAGUCCGACUUUAGGUAUAUCUCCUCAGUUUCUGGCGUGGGCACGCCAUAAAAUAAAGAGUCUUCUGAAAAUGUGCCUCACGCGAUCACUUUUAACACCAACCACCUACAAUUUACACAAAUAUCAAAUAUGAGCAAAUUCUCAAUUCUUAGCACCAUGAGUUGCCAAAAUUAGGACAGAAUAAUAGUGCAAAAUGUGCUAAAUAACCGUUCUAUCAAAUCCCCCCACACCUAGAUAAUGCUUGCCCUCAAACAUUUCAGAGCUCAGAAGCACAAUCAAGAUAGCAACGGUUUCCUAGUCAUCUAUACUAGCACAAACAUCCCGCAUUCCCGACAAUAUCGCCAAAAUUAAAACAUACCAAACAGGUAGUUAUCCAAAGAAUAUGAACAGUAUUAUACGUUACCUUCAAGAAAAUGUAUAAAUACUAGGAACGCUCAAAUCAACAUCACGGAAUGGAAUUACCAUAGGCUUGCACAUUUAUCACAUCUCCACCACCGAAAAACGAACUAAAUACACAAAUCAAAGGGACUUUCAUAGGGUUGUAAUGGGGUUUAAGUAAAAGGAGGGAUAAGAAGGUGAAAAUAAGGUGUAAUGUGUCAGGGGAAUGUCCGAUAUCCACCACAUAACCACAAUGCUUCACCGGAGAAAUUUCCACAAACAAGACAGUUUCACCUACUGUACACACUGUGCAAAUGCCACCAAUUUUCUCUCUCUCUUUUUUGACAGGCAGCUUGCAAGGCGUGGGCACGUCCUAUAAGUCAGAGUCGUCCGUUCACUUCCUUCACUUUGCUUUCUCUUUUUUUUUUGGAGGAUAACGUCUUGCAAGGCGUGGGCACGCCCUGUAAGACAGAGUCUUCUGAUCAGCAGCUUAUUGUUGAUUUAUCCCCUUUUUUGUUCCAGAUGCACAAAGAUAGCAUCAUACAGAUUCUACUCUGACAACACUUGCGAUUCCAGAUUUAUUUGCCUUGCACAAAUGAUGAAAUUCAGACAUCCCUUGACAACACAGGGGUGACCAAGAAAGUCUAAAGAGAUCUUGGAUUAUCAACAUGGCUAACAAACAAACUCGACGGAUAAAAGCUCAAAUUGGUUUACUAUUAGAAGACAAGAUGAAGGCAUGAUUUUUAGGAAGUUAUAGGAAGUUUAAUCCUAAAUGCCCUUAUCAUUUCAAAUGCAACCAAUUCAACAAAAUGUGGUCUCGACAUGUACAAAAUAGCAAGUUCUAGAAUGCCAAUACCAUGUGUGAUACCCACUCAAUCAAACAAAAAUAGAGCAAACAAGAAUAAUGUGCUCACGCAAGGCUCAAAAGCUUCCAAAAAUUACAAAAGUGGGUCAAGUCCAGCAUACUCAAUAUUCAACGAUAUUGCUAAGGAAAAACCAGAUGCACAGCCAGCAUAUAUGACCACAUAUACGUGCACCCAGAUUGUAUAUUCCAUCAUAGUAAAAUGCUCUAGCAAAAAUGAACUAACUAUAUACUUUUUCCUUUUUGUUUUUCAGGUUUUUUUUCAUGUUUUCCUCUUUUUUUUUUUGUUUUUCGAGCAAAAAGAAACAAUAGAGACAAAAAGAAAUAAUAGAAAUCACUCCCCACACCUAAAACCUACAUUGUCCUCAAUGUAGCCUAGACAAAUAAAGUGCAAGGACAAAGGGAGAGAAACUUCCCUGACUACUGAGAUGGUGCAGCGAGAUCCUAAGGAGGCGGAGGAUGCAGGGGGUGGAAUCCAAUAUGAGCAUAGAAAGCUGCCUGAUUCUCUGUCUGAAUACGGGCAAAAACCUGUAACGCCCUAAAACGGUCAUCCAACCCCUCAAUGCGCUCCUCCAGCGCAUGGAUAGAAUCCUGGAGGGAGCGAUAUUGGGACUCCCAAGCAGGGGGAGCAUGAUAGGAGGACGGACCUGCCUGAUCCGGAUGGGGUGGAGACUCAGUGGAGGGGGCAGUCGGAGGAACCCGGGGCUGUGGUCCGUCCUCGCCAGGAGGUGUAAACUGAUAGACAUUUCCUACUUUGAAAAUAACUCCCAUCCGCUCCAAGCUGUGCAAAUCCAGUGGCUCUAUCUCAUGAGCUAGAGCGAAGUUGUUCUCUUUGUCGAGGUCAAGCAAACCCAAUCGAAUGGCCAAGUGAGUAAUGAGUGAACCCAGAAUUACCGGUUUAUUGCACUUUUGAAUGACUGAUUGCAUUUGAGUGGCCACCCAACAUCCAAAGUUAACCUGAACUUUGUUACGCAUGCACCAAAGAAAAUAAAAUUCUGCCUUGGUGAGAGUGCCGGAGGAAUCCUUCCGGCCCGAGAAAUUGUGAGCCAAGAACCUAUGGAUGACCUUCAAGACCGGAUCCUUCAGAUGAGAGGCCUUGGACUGACUCGGAUUGUAAAGUUGAGGAUCUGUGGACCACUCCCUCCAAAUGUCAAUGUAAUCAGUAGAAAACGGUUUGGUGUAGUCACACACACUAUUUAUAUAUGCUCUGGAUGCAAUGGUAUUCUCACUAACAAACCCCAAAGUCAGAUUAAACUCAUUAAUGGGCAUACUAUACUGGGUAUCUCUUAAUCUAAAUUGAAUAAUCCUCUUCCCAUCCAAAGUGAUGAAUUCAUUUUUUAUGAACUCGGAGGUGGAGUAGAAUUCACAACACAGCUCCUCAAACGUAGGGUAAUCAAUGGUUAGGUACUUUUGCCAACCUAUUGCCGAGAACAACUGUUCAACAUGUCGUGCAAUUUGUAAAUGGUCCAAGGUUGGGGCAUGGAAGCACUUACAUGGGGCAAAAAGACAGUGCACCAAGCUAUUGAACCGGUCCUGUUGUGCCCUUGUAAGGUUAGUGACCGGUUCCCCCCAUUCCCCAAGAGACAUAGUGCUUUUAUUGAGGCCUAAACGAGAACGAAUAGGGGUUUGAAUUGGGGCUCGCCUUUUACGAGGUUGGGACCCAGAUGCCCCAGAAGUUGUUGCUUUUUUUGGAGGCAUUUGGAGACCACAGGCAAAGUGUAAAUAAGUAAAGAGACAGCCAGUCAAUCACCAAAAGAGGGCAGGAGACCACAGUCAACAAUUACUACUCAAAAAUCAACAGUCCAAUAGCAAAGAGAGAGUACAAUUGCCCCACCAAACAAAGACAGGCAGAUUGACACAAAAAUCCCUCAUUAGCGUCACUAGGCAACCAAUAAUUAAGACAAGAAGAAUCGAGACCCCAAACAAUGAAAUUAUCAGUCAAAUAUGUCCAACAGAGGGUGAAUCACUUGUCACGUGUACCAGAUAUCCGAUUCACCAGAAUCCACAGAUAUAUAAACUCGAAUCUGAGUCAAAUAUAGCAACUAGAUCCCAAAUUUGAAGACCAGUGACAAAAAUUUAGGGAAAAUAUGGGUACCACUUUUUUUAGGCUGGAGGAGGUCGUGGGAGAGUCACACGGCGAGAAGAAGAGGAGCCCAAGGGCGGCGGCGCGUGCUCGUACGGAUGGGGAAGGACGCGCUGCUGGAGGGCUGUUGGCGGAGUGGGGCACACGGGCUGGCUGACGCGUGCAGCAAGGGCCUGGCCGGCAGGGCAGGUCGCGCCAGGCGGGGCAAUACUGCUAGGUGUGCUGGGCGUGCGGGGUGCGUGAGGUCGCUCGCGUCUGGCAGGCUUGCAGAUGAAGACCGCGAGCUGCUGGGAAAGCGCAGACCUGCUGCUGGGUCGACUGCAGGCGCGCGAGUUGAAGGGAGAAGGAGCACGCGAGGGAAGAGCAGGCGCGCAUGCAGCGUGCGAGUAGGGGAUGUCACGUGCAAAGGCAACUCGCACGCUGGUGAGUUUGGUGGCGGAGUGCGACAGCUGACCACGGGCGACAGACAAUGGCGCAGCGGCAGGCGGCGGUGUGCGGCAAAGACGAUGGCAGGUGGAGGAGGCGUGCGAUGGAGAAUGGCGGCGGACCAAGAAAGCAAGGCAAAAGAAGAAAGUGAGACUUAGUCAAAAGAAAGAAACUGAAAAAGUAGAAGCUAGACUGACGGGUCUUGACAAACUAGACAAGACAAGGAAAAGAGUAAAGUAGAAAAGUGGGGUCAGAGAGGGUCCCGGUCAAUUUUGACUUUUGUUGUCCCACAGAUUGGAAGACGUGGGCAUGCCUUGGAGGCCAUAGUCUUCUGACCGUCGCAUCUUGACAAAGUCCAAAAGAGUUCCUUUCAAGGCAUGGGCACGCAUUGCAACUGUUAGUCUUCAAUUUGCACAGUUGACCUGGCGUACCCCUUCCAAGGCGUGGGCACGCCUUGGAACCCCUAGUCUUCUGUUCAUCACCACAAAAACAAUCAAAAUAUAAAAAUAGAACUGAAAAAUCGCAAGUAAAUGAAAAAUGAUCACAACUAAUUCUGUAUUCCUUGGGUUGCCUCCCCAGCAGUACCUUUCUUUAAUUUCUUUGGCUAAACAUGGCCAUCAGCUAUUUAGACCUCACGAUUUGGAUCAUUAAGAGAUAUAAUCUCCACUUGCUCACUGUUAAACCCUUCAUAAUAAGGCUUUAGACGGUGACUAUUGACUACGAACUUCUUCUCCGUUUUCAAGCUUUGGAUCUCCACUGCACCAUAAUGAAAAAUAUUAGAGAUAACAAAUGACCCAAUCCAACGCGAACGCAACUUACCUGGAAAAAACUUAAGUCUCGAGUGAUAAAGUAGGACUUUUUGCCCUAUUACAAAUGACUUCCUUGAGACUUGUUGGUCAUGAAAAAUUUUGCUCUUCUGCUUAUAAAUUGCGGCGUUCUCAUAGGCUUCAUUCUUUAGCUCCUCCAACUCUUGUAAUUGGAGCUUUCUAUGUCCUCCGGCCUCCAUAAGGUCCAUGUUACACCGCUUGAGCGCCAAAAAUGCUCUGUGUUCAAAUUUCAUCAGGAGGUGGCAAGGCUUCUCAAAAACUAACCUGUAUGGGGAUAUCCCAAUCGGUGUUUUGUAUGCGGUGCGGUAAGCGCAGAGAGCAUCUUCCAACUUCAAACUCCAGUCCUUUCUAUCAGACUGCACCAUUUUCUCUAGGAUUGACUUCACCUCUCUAUUCAACACUUCAGUCUGACCAUUCGUCUGUGGAUGAUAGGGAGUGGACACUUUGUGGAGCACGCCAUAUUUACGAAACAGAACAGUGAUCGUCUUAUUGCAAAAAUGGGUGCCCCUGUCACUGACUAUAGCUCUCGGCAUUCCGAAACGGACAAAAAUGUUAGAUUUAAUAAAUUCUGCAAUCACUCUAGAAUCAUUAGUUUGGGUGGCCUUUGCCUCCACCCAUUUGGAAACAUAAUCAACAGCAAGUAGAAUGUACAAGAAACCAAAGGACGAGGGAAAGGGACCCAUGAAAUCUAUACCCCAAACAUCAAAAAUUUCAACAAAUAAUAUGGGGGUUUGACUCAUUUGGUCUCUACGAGAAAUAUUCCUCACCUUUUGACACCUAUCACAAGAUUUACAGAACAAAUAUGCAUCCUUAAAAAGAGUCGGCCAAUAAAAAUCGCUCUCUAGCACCUUACGAGCUGUGCGUUUUGGCCCAAAGUGCCCCCCACAUGCAAAUAAAUGGCAAAAAAUCAAAAUAGAAUAGAACUCAUCGGCACUUACACACCUUCUUAUCACCUGGUUCGAGUAUUGCCUCCACAAGUAUGGGUCAUCCCAAAUAUAAUAUUUGGCGUCAUUUCUCAACUUAUCUCUCCUUGCCAUCGGUCAACCUGAAGGCAAUUGAUUCGUUACCAAAAAAUUUAUAAUGUUAGCAUACUAGGGUGCCGAUGAAUCAAUGGCUAGCAAUUGCUCCUCGGGAAAUGACUCUCUUAAUGGCAGAUCCUCCUAAUUCGUGAGCAGCCGACUCAAAUGAUUAGCCACCAAAUUCUCGGCUCCGCUCUUAUCCUUGAUCUCUAAGUCGAACUUCUGCAGGAACAAGAUCCACCUGAUCAGCCUCGAUUUUGCAUUUUUUUUCGCCAACAGGUACCUCAAGGCUGCAUGAUCAGAGAAAACAAUUAUUUUCGCACCCAAUAAAUAUGACCUAAAUUUUUCUAGUGCAAAAACAACAGCUAGUAAUUCUUUCUCCGUCGUGGAGUAAUUAAGUUGGGCUCCACUCAAUACUCUCGAUGCGUAGUAAAUCACGUGUGGCGUUUUUCCAAUUCUCUGUCCCAAUAUGGCUCCUACGGUAUAAUCGCUCGCGUCACAUAUUAUUUCAAACGGCAGGCUCCAAUCUGGGGGUUGAAUGAUGGACGGUGGCGUCAACGACUCUUUCAAUUUAUCAAAGGCCACUUUGUAUUUAUCGGUGAAGUCAAACGACACGUCCUUUUGCAGCAACUUAAACAAGGGAGCUCCGAUCUUUGAGAAAUCCUUGAUGAACCUCCUGUAAAAUCCUGUAUGGCCCAAAAAAGAACGUACCUCCCGUACAUACACGGGGUAAGGUAGAGCAGAAAUAAGAUCUAUCUUAACUUUAUCUACCUCUAUUCCCUUAGCCGACACAACGUGCCUUAAAACAAUAUCAUGUUCGACCAUAAAGUGACACUUCUCUCAGUUAAGAACCAAAUUCGUUUCUAUGCACCUUUUCAGAAUUAAAGCUAGAUUAUCAAGACAUUCAUCAAAACUAUCCCCGUAUACGCUAAAAUCAUCAAUGAACACCUCGAUUAUCUUUUCUACAUAUUCUGAGAAAAUACUUACCAUGCACCUUUGAAAAGUUGCUGGAGCAUUGCAAAAAUCGAAAGGCAUCCUACGGUAAGCAAACGUACCAAAUGUGCAGGUGAACGUGGUCUUUUCCUGGUCCUCUGGUGAUAUCACGAUCUGGAAGUACUCUAAAAAACCAUCCAAGAAACAGUAAUAAACACGACCAGCUAAUCUUUCCUCACAGAAUUUAGUCUCCGGUAGUCAAUGCACUGACGCCAGCUAGUAGCUUUCCUAACUGGAACCAUAUCACCCUCCUGGUUCUCCUCUACGAUCACUCCUAUUUUUUUUGGGAUCACUUGAACAGGACUCACCCAAGGACUGUCCGAGAUAGCAAAAAUAAUCCCCACCUCUUGGAGUUUAAGUAUCUCUUUCUUUACAACUUCCAUCAUCAGAGGAUUCAACCUCCGUUGUGCCUAUCUUAUCGGCUUCGCAUCCUCUUCGAGUCGAAUCCGGUGCAUGCAUAAGGAUAGACUUAUUCCAUUUAUAUCUGCUAUGCUCCACCCAAUUGCCUCAUUAUACUCCUUAAGAAUUCGCACCAGUUUAUCCUCUUGAUUUGGAAAUAAAUGUGCAGAAAUAAUUAUCGGAAGUGUCUCCCAAUCUCCCAGGAAUGCGUACUUUAGAUGCUUCGAGAGAGGCUUAACCUUUAAUUCCGGUGCCUGCACAACUGAAGGAAGCAGCUUUGUCUGAGUCUCUGGCACAAACAGAGAAGUAAACUCAUACCUUGGAGAAACAGUUGAUAGUGAGUAUAAGGCUUCAACUGCAUGGUGCAACUCAUCCCUCAUGUCCACAUCAAGAGUUACACCCAACUCAAGAUGCUUGAUUAGGGCCACUUCCAAUGCGUCCUCACCAUUCAGUUCGAAAGUUUCCUGUACAAUGAGCUCAAAAACAUUCAAAGCAAAGACUGAGUUAGAUUCUUCUGGGUAUUUCAUCGCCUCAAAAAUAUUAAAGUUUACAGUUUCGCCAUCAAAUUCUAUUGAUAAAGUAUCCUCAUUCACGUCUAUUUUCGUCCUAGCAGUGCUAAGAAAUGGUCUACCUAACAAAAUAGGUGACGGGUUUAACGACUUUUCAUCUCCCAUAUCCAAGAUAUAAAAAUCUGAUGGAAAAACUAACUCAUUUACUUGAACCAGGACAUCCUCAACUAACCCUUCUAGGUAGGCAUUGGUGCUGUCGACAAGUUGGAUUAUGAUGGCCGUCUCUUUUAAUGACUCAAGAUUCAGGGACGUAUAAAUGGUUUUUGGCAUCACAUUGAUUGACGCCCCUAAAUCCAAACGGCUCUCUUGAUCGGUGUAUUUUCUAUCUUACAAGGGAUCGUGAACAUACCUGGAUCCCCACAUUUGGGUGGGAGUUUUCUUUGGAGUAUAGUUGAUACGUUUUCUCCUACCACUACCCUUUCAUCCCCUCUCAACUUUCUCUUGUGAGUGCACAAGUUCUUGAGAAAUUUCGCGUACUUCGGUACUUGCUUGAUUGCAUCCAACAAAGGGAUGUUGAUCUCCACUUUUCUGAACACGUCCAGGAUCUCUUUCUCUUUCCCCGCCUUCUUCGUUUUCUCCAACCUGCAUGGAAAAGGAGGUAAAUUAGAUUUAAUAGGAAUUGAUGGAGUAAGAGUUACUUUAGGGUCUCCAUGAAUGUGUCUUUCUUCCUCAAUCUCCUUUUCUAUCUCCUCCUCACUCUUAUCUUUCAGGUUCGUAGUCUUUGGCCCCUCCACUUCUUUACCCUGUCAUGGUACUCACAUUUUUGGGAUUUGUCUCGGGUUGCGAUGGUAAUUUUCCAAAAACUUGGGACUCCAAGCUAUUAAUCGCGGUUGCCAUGUGACUUUUUUGAAUCUCUAGAUUUUUCAUGCCCGCUCUGGUUUUCUGUUGGAACUGAGCAGUACUCGUGGCCAGGCUCUUGACAAUAUCUUCCAAAGAACUUCCUGAGUUAGAUGACGAAGGUUGUGAUUUUGGUUGCAAUGGUUGCUGGAAUCCUGGUGGACGAUUGGAGAAUAAAUUCUGUGGCCUAUUCCCAUAGCUGAAAUUGGGGUGGUCUCUCCAACCCGGAUUAUACGUGUUGGAGUAUGGGUCAUACUGCCUACGAGACGCGGGCACGCCUCCAGCCAUAUUCACUUGUUCAGUCCCAUCCUCUUGCAACAUAGGGCAUGAGUCAGUGGGGUGGCCCACAUUUGUGCAGAUUCCACAGGCCUUUGCUUGAUGCACGUUUCCCACAACUAAUUGUCGAACAAAAGAUGUCAGCUCUGAUAUCUGCUGCUGAAUGGACGACGUCUCUACCUCGUUGACCCUGCGGGUAGGGUUACUCUCACGAAAGCCAAACUGUUGAGAAGUCUCUGCCAUCAAUUCAAUGAGUAGCCAUGCUUCCCUUGGUGUCUUGUUCACCAAUGCUCCCCCACUUGCAGCAUCAAUGAUACUCCUAUUAGACGACUGGAGGCCCUCAUAGAAAUAUUGGAUCAAUAGUUGUUCACUAAUUUGAUGUUGUGAGCACCUAGUGCACAACUUAUUGAACUUCUCCCAAUAGUUGUGUAGGGAUUCUCCAGGGUACUGCUUAAUGCCACAUAUCUCUUUUUUUAGACUUGCAACCCGGGACGCAGGGAAGAAUUUUUCCAAAAAUUUCUUCUUAAGUUGGGUCCAUGUGGUGAUACUACCUGCAGGUAGGUAGUACAACCAAUCAUUCGCUGCAUCCUUGAGAGAGAAGGAGAAGGCUUUAAGUUUAAUCUGCUCCUCAGUAAUUCCUGGAGGCUUCAUACUGGAACAUACCACAUCGAACUCUUGAAUGUAUUUAUGGGGUUCCUCACCCGAGAUGCCAUGGAACGUGGGUAGGAGGUGAAUUAAUCCUGACUUCAGUUCAAAAGAGGUAUUCUUAACUAGAGUUGGAAAUGUGAUGCACAACGGCUGUUGGGACAAUUCCGGAGCAGCCAGCUCCCUUAGUGUCCUUGCAUUCGCCAUAGAGAUGUCCUCUUGGCCUGGGUCACUUAAAUUUUAACAACUCAAAUUUGUUGACUCAACCUCAGGAUCCAGUCUCUGAGAUGCAAUGCUGGAUUGCUCCUCCCUUAGCUGUCUGGUCUCUUUCUUAGUUUGGCGCGCAAUCUUCACUACUUUUGGGUAAAAAAUCAAUUCACUUGUACGAGAAGAACGAGGUAUGAACUAGAAAAAUGUUAGACAAAUCCAAAGAGAACAACUUAGAAAGAAACAAAAUUAACCAAAACACCGUUCCCCGGCAAUGGCGCCAAAAAUUGACAGGUGCCGAAUCUGUGCAAUAAUAAUUACUAAAAAGUCCUAAUUACCACCUCAAUUAAUUAUAGAACAAAUCUAAGUACUAGAGCAGGGACCCUAGGUGUGCAAUAGGUUACUUGAUUCAUCCUGUUCUCGAAGAAUUUGCUUUAUCCGAUAUACCAGAUUUAUCUAUAAAAAUAUUAAUUUUGCGUAUAAUGGCAAGUAGGGUCGAUUCCACAGGGAGUGGGUAGGAAGUUGUUUCUUUCCAAGUCAAUAGAAUAAAAUUGGGGGAUGAUUAAUGGGAUGGAAAUGAAAAUAAAAUAAAUAAAAUUCGAAAGAUAACUCCACAAGUACAAUUUACUUAAAAUAGCAAUUAAUAAAAUUUUACCCAAAUGAUUAACUUUUCAAGCAUGGCCCAAUUAAAUGAUCAUCGAUGCAAAGAUAUUUCAUUCAUCCGUCAUUAAGUUGGUUAUAGCUAUCAACAAGCUCUGACAGCCAGUUCUUCCUUACCUUUUUGACAGCCAAGGUACGACCGUUGACUGCUUCUCUAACCAAAAAAUAACCCUAGGUACGACCGUAGGAAUUUAAUUAUCCAGUUGCAUUAAAACUGGAAAAACCUAACCCUAACCAAUAAACACGCUAAGAGGGUUUAUUUAAAUUAGAUCUUACAUUCCCCCAAUAUAAAAGUCAAUUAUGGUGGUUGUCAUUAGGUAUCAACUAAAUGAACAAUUACGGAUUCAAUUUAGUUAAUGUGACGGUAGGCUAUUAAAUUAAAUCAAAUACUUGGCCGUUGAUAUUCAAUUAAUAAAAUAUCCAUAAACAAUUAAUCCAGGAAACGCACGAAUAGUAAUGAAUUGGAAGAAAUAAUAAAAAUUUGAUUAGAUCUCACAGAUGUUAUGGACCGCGCCCUCGCGUCAACCUUUGGGUAGAGGAGAAAACUAACCGCUCCUCAUCGUAUCAAUCUCACGUGGUUCAAUUGAUAUCAUUCAACUUAAUUAUCAAAAGGAUUGGGAAAAGUGAAAUAGCGAAGGAACGGCUGAAAAGCCUUGCUUCCCUUUGUGGGGUUUCGUGUUCGUACCACUGAGACCAAAGUAAAAGCAAAAGUCUAAUAGGGAAGUCGUACAGAAGCCAAAAGCAAAGAGUAAAUCGUCUGUAAUGUCUGACAGAUAGGAGCCAAAGAAAACUAAAGCUAAGCUAAUCUAUUAGACGUGAAUCUGGCUUUGACUAAUUGCUGUGAAAGACCGAAGGACCCCAGACGUCUGACUCCAAAUUGAAACUCAAGCUACUCUAAUUGAUCAGACGUGAUUCUGGCUCUUUUUCCUUUUUGAAGCUGCCGCCCAUAGAGACCAAGAAACGUCUGGGUUUUACUUUCUUUUGGAGCCUGGGCUUUGAUUCCAUGCGUCGGGUUGGCUUGGUUUCCUAGUUAGCCCUGCUGCUACCAAUCCCGCGGGUCCGACUUUAGGUAUAUCUCCUCAGUUUCUGGCGUGAGCACGCCAUAAAAUAAAGAGUCUUCUGAAAAUAUGCCUCACGCGAUCACUUUUAACACCAACCACCUACAAUUUACACAAAUAUCAAAUAUGAGCAAAUUUCCAAUUCUUAGCACCAUGAGUAGCCAAAAUUAGGACAGAAUAAUAGUGCAAAAUGUGCUAAAUAACCGCUCUAUCAAACCUUACCCUGACUGACUGACCCCAAUGUUUCGAAAACUGGAUCGGAUCAGUUGGUUCGAUCGGUUGAAUCGCGAACCGAUCGUGCCUCCGAUCCGGUUCAAUUACAAAACUAAAGAAUUAAUUGAACUAGUCAAAACCGAUCAAGAACUUGAAAAAAUCGGAGGUUCAAUCGAUUUUUAUUAAGUAUUUAUUUUCUAAAAUAAAUAUUUUAGUUUUAUUCAAAAAUUUUAAUACUAAAAUGAAUAAAAAUUUAUUAAACUUUGAACCGGAGUUGAAUCAGUUGAAUCAAUUGAAUCGUAAAUCGAAAAAUUUUCCGGUCCACUCUCCGGUCCGGAUUUAAAAACAUUGACUUACCCAGGAAAAUAGUUAGUCAACCCAAUCUACGGCCCAAUUGUGGACCAUUUGCUAAGUUUAUGACUCUUAAUGUUUUUAUUCCAUAACGUUGCACCCUUUGAAUUGUUUCUCUGAAGUACCAACAGAGAAACAUCAUUUGAUCAUUUUAUAGAAACGUCAUGCAAACUGAUUAAAGAGAGACAAAAGCACAUAACAAACGGCAAUCUUUUUGUGAAUGACCUGCAGGAACAGAAUAGUUUUGUAUGUACCAAAUGUAAAGAAAUAUUCUUCAGGUGUUAGACCUGCGUGCUUCAUUAAUCUCUUCCAUUUGGUUAAUAUAAGAAAAAGUAGAGCCGUAGAAUUGGAAACAUUUGAUUCUAACUCUUUUUUAUUUUACAGUUGUAACAUUGUCAUAAAUCAUAUAUAGAGGAAUAGACUAUAACCCAAAAAAGCCAGUAAAAAUGCAACAGAGGAAGAUACUAAAAGAAGUCGUACAAUUAUAAAUCAGAAAAUAUGCUACGAUUUUCAAAGUUCACUUGAUAAAUAGCAGAUUUUGUAGACAGUAGAGAAUUUUCAAUUUUGUAAAGCAAAUGUACCUCUGGAUUGCUAAAUGAAAGUUUGAUUGGAGAUGCAGUAUGGAAAACCUAUUCACAUCCCUCGACUAUUGGAUCAAACGAUCCCUCUUCUAGUAAGUUUGCCGAGUACAACUGAAGCCUUUCUUUAGCUCCAUCAAGUGAUGUCAAAUGUUGUGUCCUUUCCUGAUCAUCUGUGUCAUGACUGCAUCAGUAGAAUGUUCGGAUAGCUAUAAUCAAAACCAUGCCGCCAACAGGAGACCGCCUUGGUUUUCACUAUGGUCAAAACUGAAGAAGAAAUGGACUUAAGAGUAAUAAUAAACGAAUCUCAAAGCAAUGAUAAAUUUGACUAGCUAAAGGCAAGCGGGGAAAAGCGAAAAGAAAUUGACGGGCAACAUAAUAUGACCACAAUAAUAUCAUAGCCCUAUGAUUUCUGGUUUUGAGAUGCGUACAUUUGUAACUUUCUUGAUAACAAUUAAUUCUUGAGAUAAUUAUCAGAGCGACAAUUGUAUGCCAUCUACCACUAUUUUUAUAACAAACUCAGUCCUUCAGAAGAAGGAUAUAGAUUCGAUAGGGUAAAGAUUUUUGAGUAUAACUUGAUCUUUGUAUCUGGAGCAUGAAACAUUACUGUUAAGGUGUACAUUAUAUAGUUUCAGCUACUCAAAUAUCAAUUAGGUUGGUCCACAUCAAUUUUUUUUUUUGCAAGUGAUUUUUUUUUUUUGAGCAAACAGAACAUGGGGAGCAUUUACUAGCAGCUGUUGCAAGAAUAUCAUCUGAAGCUACAAAACAAUUUCACACUGCAGAGUUGAAUAAAAAUGUUGGGCAAAUUACAUAUAAUGCUCCUGUGGCUUUGUUUGUUGCCACAUGACCCUUCUAACAUUUUAAAAUAUCCAAUUCACCCACUAUGAUUUAUGUAAAGCGGAAACUUGAUAGAGAAUAGCCUAUGUAAUGUCGUUAAUUGAAAUACCAUUAGUAUUUUUACUUUAAUGCUAAAUCAAUCGAUGAUUUAAUUACCUUAUAUAAAAGUAUAAGGGGAUUAUGUGGAUACAUAUAAAAAUCACAAGAGGGAUAAAGUAGGCAUUUAUACAAACUAUAAGGGAAUUACAUUGAAAUUAAGACUUUAUCACACAUGCUUUUAGAGCACGUUUGGUAUAAAUGUCGUAACUAAUUGUGCAUUCCAUCAUUUUCCGCUUUACAUAUAACUAUGGGGGGUUAUGUGACUAUUUGGAAAUCUUAGGGGGACCAUCUAGCAUUAUAUAAAAUCAACCUAAAAUAUAGUUAUAAGUAAUUUACCCUAAAAUGUUAGAUUCCAGGAGCAAUUAAACAACAAUCAGAACAGGGCAUCAAAAACUGCACAAGCCACUUGGAUAUUUGAUCAAGAAUAAAAACUGGACUAACUGGCAUCUCGAACAGAACCUUUAACAGUAUAACCGCGCUCGAGCAGCAGCUUCACCAGCCCUGAAGCUGUGUAACCCGAAGCUCCCGUCACACACACCAUUUUCCCUUCUCCUUCUCCACUCAUUUUGUUAUAAUAUUUUUGUGUGUGAAUCUGUCCCUGUUUUUAAUUUGUUCAGAGGGCUUCUCUAACUUGCUAAGAAGAGCUGAGGAAAGUAAAAGGAUUCAAGGCCUAAAAAUCAGCAGGCAUGGACCAGUUCUAACUCACCUUUUCUUUGCUGACGAUUCUAUCAUCUUUUGUAAAGCCAAUAAGGAAGAGGCAGUGGAAAUUAUGGAAGUUUUGAAAACAUAUGAAAACGCCUCAGGGCAAUUGGUCAAUCUGGACAAAUCUGCAGUUUUCUUUAGCAAAAACAUGGACAGUGAGCAAAAGAAAGAGGUCUGUCUUGCUCUUGGAGGAAUGGUAGAGGCAAAGCAAGGUAAAUAUUUGGGACUCCCUAUGGUAGUCUCAAGAACUAAAGACCAGAUUUUUGGAUUUGUGAGGGACAAUAUAAGAAAAAGAUUCCAGAAUUGGAAAAACAGAUUUUUGAGUCCAGCAGGUAAAGAAGUAAUGUUAAAGGCAGUUGCAAUGGCUAUGCCUACGUAUGUUAUGUCUUGCUUUAAGCUGCCAAGAAGAUUGUGUAAAGAUAUUUGUACAUUGAUGGCCAACUUUUGGUGGGGAGAAUCUAAUGGCAAGAACAAAAUGCACUGGAUUUCUUGGGAAAGAAUGGCAUUGAAAAAAAGUACAGGAGGUCUAGGCUUCAAGGAUCUUGAAGCUUUUAAUCAAGCUCUGUUAGGAAAGGAAGUUUGGCGUUUACUUACUAAACCAAAUCUGUUGGUUAGUAAGGUGUUGAAAGCCAGAUAUUAUCCUAAGGAGUCCAUCUUACAAUGCCGCUCUACCAAAAAUGCAUCCUGGAUCUGGCAAGGACUAAUGGGAGCAAGAAGCUUACUCAAUGAAGGACUGAUCAGGAGGAUAGGGAAUGGGCGUAGUACAAGCCUCUGGGAACACAAGUGGGUUCCAGAUACAGCUACAGGAAGGCCAACUACAUGCCGAUGGAGUAAUUGUGAGCUGGAAAGGGUGGAUGAGCUAAUAAGUCAUCAUAGAUGGAACAGGAAUAUCAUUUUUAGAAACUUCAAUAGAAAUGAUGCGCAAAAAUUUCUAGCUAUCCCUUUGAGCCUAUCCGAGAGGGAGGAUAGUUUUUAUUGGCAACCAAAGGCGGGAGGGCUAUACACUGUUAACUCAGGUUACAAACUCUUGAUGAAGCAAUACAGAAAAGGGACAAGGAGUAAUCCUGAGGGAGGUUGCUCUAGUUAUGUAGAAGGUAGUUCACAAGUAGUACAGAUGUGGAACACACUGUGGAGGUUAAACAUUAAAGACAAGAUCAAGUUUUUCAUCUGGAAAUGCAUUCAAGGAGCUCUGCCAGUGAAGGAAGCAGUGAGUAGACGAAUGGGGGGUGGAUGAUCCGAUAUGCACGACGUGUGGAACAACACAGGAAACAGUUGAACACCUCCUGCUGACUUGUCCUCACACGGUGAACAUAUGGAAGGCAGCUCUUAUUCAGUGGGAUGGAGCUAAGGAUCAGCAGGGAGAUUUCAAAUGUUGGUGGCUAAGAAUUUCAGAAGCAAGGCAUAGGCCAGAAGGGAUGGAACAUAUUGGUUUGACUGCAAAUAUCUUGUGGCAGGUGUGGAAAGAAAAAACAAAAGGGAAUUUGAGAAAUCAGAUAGAGUUCCACCAUUAAAAAUGAUAGGAAAAGCUCAUAAGGAAUGGUUGGAACAGCUGCAGUUAGAGCGCACGAAAGAAGGAGAGAGCACAGAAGAAACAAUCCCUAGGCAAGAAUUACCGGGCCAGGACAAUGCAAAUGAAGAAGCUAUGAUUAUGGAGAUGGCAACAACCAAGAAGAAAGGGCAGUUUUUUUUUGGGAUUGGAGUCACAGUCAAGGAAUAUGCAAGUAAUAGAAUGACAGGGUGGGUACUGAAAGAGAUAAGUCUGGGAAACAAACUCCUAGAUGAAGCACUAGCACUGAAGCUGGUCUUGUGCAAAGCUGUGCAACGUAAUUGGAGCAAGGUCAAGCUGAACUUUUGUAACAAGGAGCUGUGGAGACAAAUCACACAGCAGAGUCCUGUGGACAGCAAAAUGGCAACAGUACUAGUAGACAUCUCUAAUUCACAGAGAUUGUUUUGCAUGUGCUCUUUUGACUUGUGUAGGGAAGAAAAUAUGAUAGUUAGCAAAAAACUGAGUGAUGAUACCUUAGGCGUUAUUGUUGAUGAGGAACGACUGUUUCCUCAAUGUCUUUGAACACUUCUUGUAUAGUUUCUCUCGAGCCGUUGCUCGUACAUGUAAUCUUUUUCUUUAAAGCAAUGAAAUUCUCUUGUGGUUUCGAGAAAAAAAAAGAAUCUGUCACCUGUUUGCCUUACUUCUGGACUAAUAAUAAUGGAGGGAGGCCUAUAUGGUGUACAUAUAGCUAUGGUGAAGAAGACGAAAGAUUGGAUAUGAGAUUACUGGGAGACCGGAGAGAUCCAUAUCUAUUCUUGCAAUUUGCAUGGAUCAUCGCUGACAUACGUAUGGUAUAAUCGCGUCACAUCCCAUUUUAUCAAGGUCAAUUGAUCAGUGUAAAAUAGAAAUGAGCAAUAAAUACGAGGAUAAAUUACCUUUUACACCUUAUGCUUUGAUGUUUUAUCACAUAAUCCCCUAUGAUUUAAAAACCUAUAUAUGACUCUCUCAUAGUUUGGGUUAUUGUAUAAGUAAAAAGCCAAAUUCAAACUUAACAAAUUCACUGUUUCACUACUUUUUUUUUUGUUUUUUUUCUCUUAUUUUCCUUUUCUUUCUCUUUUUUUUUUUGGAAAGAGUACAGAUGAUUUUGAAAACCUAUAUUUUGGCUUACAAAACCUUAAUUUUUUCCAAAUACAAAAGAGACAGAAGGGAAAUAAAAAAUAAAAUCAAUAAGAAACGAAAAAUAUGGAAGGUAAAGGUAAAACAAAAAAAUAAGAAACAAAAAAAUACCAAAUCUUUUUUUACUAUAAAUAUCAUUAUAGGUUUUUAAACCAAAUCUUUUAUGGUAUUUUCUAGUUCUUAUUUAUCUAUAUUUUAUUCAAUUUCUUCCUUUUUAUGUUUGGAGGAAAAAAAGAAGUAAUGAAGGGAUAAAUUUGUCAAUUUAUCAUUUUGACAUUUUAAUAUGGACUAUUAGUUUUAACGAAAAAACUAAUAAUGACACAUUAACCCAAAUCAUGAGAGGGUUAGAUAUAUUUUUAAACCAUGGGGGUUUACGUGGUAAAACAUCAAACUAUAGAGGUUAAAAUGAAAUUUAGCCUAAAUCCAAAAUCAGGCGGUUGCAUAUGAACAAAUACCAAGGUUCUUGACUUUGUUCAAUACAAUCCCAAGGCUAGAGGCACAAAUUUUAAAUUCACUACCAAGAUAAACCAUUCUCUUUUUUAUUUUGCCAUUUUUUCGGGUCAAAAAGUACAAACUACUUGAACUAGAAACUAGUCCUGACAAAGUUUGUGGGUUUUUUUGCAAGAGUUUUAGUUAAAUAUUGGUUACUUCGCCUAAUUUGCACCUAUUUUAUCAUGUAAAUGCAUGCACACUUUUAAAAAAAUAAUGCAUGCACUUAUAUUAUUGCCUUUCUUACAUUUAAAUACUUUUUUCAAUUUAAUUUUACUUUUCUGGCAAAACUAAAUCUGAAGCCCAUUUCAAGAAAUAUCCACCGAAUACCAGGUAAACAAACCUCCUUCGUAAUAAAGAGGACAAAAAAAAUUUUUUGUCUUUAAGGAUUAAAUUUAUAACCAGUCCUAAGAUAACACGCAGCGGUCUUUUUGCAUCUAACAAUUGGGCCUGUUUGGAAGGUGAGUUUUUUGGGUGUUUGUAUAAAACUUUACUGUAGAUCACUGUAGAAGUUGUAGAAAAACUUUUGUAAAAAUUUGGGUAUUUGUAAGAUGAAAUUUUUUUUCCUUUUCAUUUUCUUUCUUUCAUUUUCUUUUUUCUUUUUUUUUUCUUUCUUUCUUUCUUUUUUCUUUUCCUUCCUCCCUUUCUUCCUCUUCUCCCUCCCCCUCCCCUCCCCUGAUCCCUCUCCCGGUACCUCCAUGGCAGCAACCAACAGGUGAGAAUCAAAUUUUUUUUUUUUUGCGUUUUUUCUCUUCCCCUCUCCCUCCCCCGCCAUCCCUCUUAUCCCUCCCCCUCUCCCCUUCCCCUCUCCCUUACCCCGCCACCCUCUUUUUUUUUUCGUCUUCUCCCCUCCCUCUCCCGCCACCCCUCCCUCUCCUUUCCCCGCCAUCCCUUCCUUCCCCCGCCAGCCCUUCCUUUCCCCUUCCUUCCCCAGCCACCCUCCCUCUCCCCCUCCGGCCUCCCCUAGCUGCGAUCCCCUCCCUCUCCCCCUUUGCAAUCUGGUCGCGCGACCAGAUCGGUCAAAAAGGGGAGGGGGAGGGUGGCGGGGAAGGCAGAGGGAAAGAAGGGAGGGGGAGGGAGAAAGAAAAAAAAGAAAAAGAAAAAGAGCUUCAGCGACCAGAUCGGGCAAAGGGGGAGGGGGAGAGUGGCGGGGGAGGGAGAAGGGAGAGAAAAAAUACAAAAAAAGAGGAUCGCCGGAACUGGUGGCCGGAAUAGUGAUCGGCGCCGGAAGUGGUAGUGGAGGUGGUCGCCGGCGCCGGAGGACGUGGUGGGUUGGGUGGGGGAGGAAAAAGAAGAAAAGUUGAAGGGAAAGUUUUUUGUGUAUUUUUGAAGUGUGUUAGGUUAAAAACUUUGAUAAGUUUUUUGGGGUUCCUGUAGCAAAAGUUGUUAAAAAACUAGUUUUAUACAAACUUGGUAAAAAACCAAGCUUCCAAACAGGGCCAAUCCUUCUCUGAUUGAGAAAAGGGAAUUGACUUGAUGAUAGCAACUCUACUUAGAAAACUGGUCCACACCCUUGAAUGUGAUUUAAAUUUAAUAACACCAUUUCAUCAUUUCUGACAACUGCAUUUUCCGCACCCUUGGGUGACGACUGCACAAGAAAAUUUUAACUUUACUUGAUAUGUUGAGUUUCUACAAGCAGGGCCAAAUAUCAUCCACAGAACCAUUGCUCCUAUUAGAAAAGCUCUUGAAGUAAAUCAUAUUUCCAUUUCCUGCUAUUUUCAUCAAUUAAACAAUCUAUAGUGGAGUCUUCCAGUAACACAUCAAAAUGAGAUAUAAUUUUGAAAGUAGAAGGACGUGGAAUCUAUCUAUCUUUCCAAAUUUUGAUAUGAUUUCCGUUUCCAACUCGCCAUCUACUACCAAAAACACCUUUGACUAAUAAUUAAAUAGUUAAAAAAAACUAUAUCUACCUAAUUUGUUUACUCAAUAUUUAUGUGCACUUAAACAUAAAAAGAAAAGGUCAAUCCAUAUAUUAGUGUUAUAUUUGUAAUAUUAGUUCCCUAUAUAGUAGGUUGCUGUGUUGGAUGUAUUUAUAUUCUACCGAGUAAAUGCCCAAUCUUUUCAAAACGUGGCAAAAAAAUUGUGUUUGUUUUUUUUUGGUAGAUUUCAUUCUUUUUAUUUUUUUUGGUAACAAUUAAUUUACUCUUCCUUUUCAAUUCAUUAUUUAUAGUAAAUUUCAAUCAAUCAUCAAUUACUUACCUUAUAUGCAUUUCUAUUAAUUAUACCUCUAUUUGUUUUCAAUCAACUCAUAGCUUUCCUUUUUAAUCAGGCACUCGUUAAUAUAUAUCUUAGGUGUUAAAUUAUUAGAAAUAGAAGAUUAAUUAGGGAAAGCGUAUAAAUGUAAGGGAAUUAAUUAGAAAAAUAUAUAAAUACAAGAGAAAGUAGUAAUUGUUGCAUAUAUACAUAGUAUAUUGGGUGAAAUGUAAGUGAGUUAACGAUUGCCCAUAGGGCACCCAUUAGAAAAACUCAUCAAAAUUUGGAUGAAUUUUAUUUUGCCUAUCAUUGCAAUCAUUACUACCAUUUUUCCUAUCAUUUAUUACUAUAACUUCAUGUUUUCUAAAUUCCAAUCAAUGUAUUACUCUCUUACUUUUUAUAUGAUUGUGCUAAUUACAGCUUUCCUUUUACUUAAUCAAUUAGUCAAUCAAUCAAUCAACCCAUGAUUUUAAUUUUCUUUUUCAAUUACAAGAUUCUUUCUUUUAUCCAUCAUUAGGGAGAUUUACAAUUAGUCACAUUUUUUCUAUUUUGUACUUCCAUUAUUUGACCUGAUUAUUAAUUCAAUCCACAUAUCUUGUAAUAUGUACAAGAAUAUGCAAUCAUAAGCACAAAUAAAUGCAAUUCUAAUAAUUUUGCAUAUAUGCUUUCAUAUUGUAUUGCAACACAUUUAAUAAUUCAUUAUAUGGUUACAAAAGAAAAAAAAUCUAGUAUUACCUAGACCUUAGAUAGUUCCCAAUGUAUACGCUGAUACUAUACGGAAAGAUUAAAAUCUGCUAAUGUAUAUACUGAUUGCUUAUGAAGAUUCAUCCCUAGUUUAGAUCUCUUAGAUAGUUUCCAAGCAUUAUAUUCCCUUUUUUUAAUUUCUUGUUUAGUUUAAUUCCUAAAGUUAAUGAAAUGGUUUUUAAAUCUCCCCUACAAAUGUACCUUAUUACCAUUUAUGAUUUUUUUUUAAAUUUAAGCAACAUCUUCCAAUAUUUUAUUACCAUUUUAAAUUAGUUCAUUUUAGGAGAUAGUAGUAUAAGUAUGGUAGUUUGUCCAAAUAACUUUGAAUAUGCAUAUACAACCCAAAAAUAAAAUGAUAGUUGUUUAUAUUCUUAUCACUCAAUGAUGAGAGUGGUCUAUAAUUUAAAUGAUUGAGAUAUAUCGCCAUCCAAAUAUAAAUUUAUUACGAGGGUAUGAUACCUUAAGUGACUAUAGAAUCUCCCUAAAUGAUAAAUAAUGUGAAUUAGAUAUUCCCUCAAAAACUUGUAAAGUGCUUAAUGUAUAUACGGGUAAAUUCUUGCAAUAGUGAAAGGAAAAUAUCGUACUAGCCUUGAUUUUUUGGCUAUGUAUUGACUUUUGUUAGCUAAAUUAAACUAUCCUGGAGUGAAGACAUAAAAUCUGCUACAAAUAUUGAGAGAAUUGUGAACAUAGCUAACUUAUCUAGCAUACAAAUUUUUUCUCGAGUUUGAGUUCUCUAACUUACACUAUAAAAACAAAAAAAACUAUCGUACAUUUAACUUCCAACUAACAACGAUGUAUAGAUAACAAAUUAUAUGCAUGGGAUAUUCCCAUAAAUAAAUGAAAUAUAUUUAAGUGAGAAAGAGUAAAUUCUUAAAUUAAGAAGAAAUAAUAUUAUAGUACCUGUCAAUUUGAUUAUAUGACUUUUUGGUUUGUCUUUACUCAUGAUAGCCAAUUAUAUAUGUUAUUUUGAUGUAAAAAUAUCCAAAAAUGGUUAAAUACAAUGAGGGACAUUAUUAUUAUUACUCGGAUUAAGCAUGUCAAUGGGUAGGGUUUGGUUUGGAUCCCUUUGAUCCAGAUCCAAUCCCAUUUAAUUUACCUCUUAUUCUUAUUUAAACUUCAAUAUUGGUAGAUGUCUCGCAAUCCAGCACUAAAAUAGUAAAUGAGAUAAAAGUCAUUUGACUAAGGACUUGACAAAUAAAUAAUAGAAUAAGAAGAUUUACAAAUACUUAUUAAUUUUUUGGGUAAAAUACCAAAAAACUCCUUGUGGUUUACUAAAUGUUUAAUUUAACUCCCUUUGAUUUGGAAACCUACACUAUAACUCCCAGUGAUUUUAACUAAUUUGAAAAUUGGACGGAAAACAUCCAAUCUAAUGGUUAUACGUGAAAUGUCAAUAUUGCCCCUAUACAAAUGAACUCCUUAUAGUUUGUCGAAUAUUCAAUUUAACUCCUUCUAGUUUGAAAAAUUACAUUAUAACUUCCUGUGGUUUCGACUAAAUUGAAAAUUGAAUGGAAGCAUCGUACAUAUAGUAGGGACAAUAUUGAUAUUUCACACACAACCGUUAGAUUGGAUGCUUUCUGUCCAAUUUUCAAUUUAGUCAACAUCACAAGGAGUUAUAGUGUAGGUUUCUAAACUAGAGAGAGUUAGAUUGAAUAUUUAUCAAAUCACAAGGAGUUUUUUUGGUAUUUUACUCUAAUUUUUUCUUUGAUUUAAUUCAAUCAUCACUAGUCACUAAUGUUUCAAUCAUAUCUAGAACCAGUUUGACAUGAGUCUCUUCAAUCACCAAACCAUCAACACUAAAUACAGAUUCUGAUACCAUAAAAUCUUACUAUAUUUGAUCCAAUAGCCAUAAAAUAUUAGAUUAUUUUAUAAAUUUACUAAUAUAUAUAUUAUUUAAUUAUAUAUAUAUAUAUAUGGAUUUGGGUAAAGUUUGGUAUGAGUUUGGAUUUGGAUAUGGAUUCUAUAAAACUAGACCCUACCUAGACCCACAACUCUCUCACAGGGUUUGGGUCUGGGUAUAGGUAGGGUCUAGAUUUGAGAAAUUAAAUCCAAACCCUACCCAAAUAUAGUGGGUCUGGGUUGGAUCUGGGUAAGAUUCGACCCAUUGACAUGUCUAACUCUAGAUACCUCAAUAAUUAUAAAAUUGGUUAAAUUGGAAUCCAUUUGGAUUUAAUAGUAUUUUGAAAAAUUAUUUUUGUUUUUUAGGUCUACAGUAAUAAAUUUUAAAAACAACCUUAAAAACAAUUCAAAAAAUGCAACAUAUCUCAAAUACAUUAAAAAAUAAUUAAAAAAUUCCCUCAUUCUUCUUCCCCACACCACCCACUACAGCGACCACCACCACCACCCAUUACUCUCCACUACCACAGCCACCCCCACACCCACGACCCUCCUUCCUCUCUCCCCUCUCCUCUCUCUCUCUCUCUCCCCCCUACUAAUUCUCCUUCUUUUUUCUCCUUCCUCCUCUCCCUUGUCCUUUCUCCCUUUCCUUUCCCCACCCCCCAAGCCCCUCUCCCCUCUACUAGCCGCAACCUUCCCGGUCGUGACUAGAAAGGUCACCAGAAGUCGUGACUGGUGGCUUCUCAGAUGGAGUCGUAACCACCACCCGCGAGGGAAGAGGGGUUUGGGAGCGGGAGAGGAGAAGGAAGGGGGGAGAAGGAGAGGAAAGAUGAGGGAAAAGGAGAGGAAAGAGGAGGGAGAAGGAAGAGGAGGGGGAGGAAAGAGAGGGAGGGAAAGAGGGAGAUAGAGGGGAGGAGGAGGGAGGGGGUGGCGGCGGCAGGUGGUGGUGAUGGGUGGUGUAAAAUUUUUAAAAAAUACCCCAUACAGUUGUUGCAAAAUACAUUUUAAAGAUAUCCCAAAAUAGAUUUUGAAAAGCCCUGAAAAUACUUCUAAAGACACCUCAAAAAAAUCUAUAGUAAAAGUUUUUUUAUAUAUAUAGUUGCAGUAAGGUUUUUGAAAGACACCCCAAAAAACAGCUAGUCCAAACGGAGUCUUGAGUUUUGAGGUUAAGGUGCAAUGAUUGACUACCUUUUAGGUCAAAAUAAAGCUUGGCCGAAAGUUUAGUAGGUUAAAAUAUAAUUUUAAAAAUUAAUCAUUUUCCCUGAUCCUCACAGCUGCAAUGACGGACACCAAUGUUUUCAGAACUGGACCGGACCAGCUGGUUCGACCGGUUGGACCGUGAACCGGACAUACCACCGGUCUGGUCUAGCAUCAAACCUGCCAAUUAAUGAAAAACCGCUAGAAACCGGUCAAACCAUAUGAACCGUGAAAAACCGUACUGCGGUUUUUAAAUUUUCAACAAAAUAUCCCAAACCUGGCGGUUUUUAAAUUUUCAACAAAAUGUCUCAAAUGAGGCUAAUCAGAAUCAAACCUGUGCCUUCCUGCUCACAUAAGAGUGUCUUACCACUAGACCACAAUCAUAGGGCAAGUUGGGUUUGUUGAGAAUUGUAUUUAACUUGACUAAAAGAUAGAUUAAAAGUUUGAAACCCUAACAUUAACAAAAGAAACAGCAGAGUGCAGCGCACUUCUCUUUUCAUCACUUUCUCGGCUUCAUCAGGCGGCCAACGGCUCUCCAUUCUCCUCUUGAAUUUUUUUUUUCAACAUUUUCUUCUUAACCCUUUCAAACCCAAAUAUCCACAACAAGAUUUUCUCAAGCCUUCACCAUUAUCAUCAACUAUCAUCUUUAGCAGAUUGUAGACGACUUGGAAAUUUCAACUUUUCCUGUUUUCCAUCAUCGUGGUUAGUUUAAUUUUUCCUUUUUCAAGGUUUUUUGUUUUCUAUAUUAUUAUCUUUAGCUGAUUUUUUUUGCAUUUUCUUCUUUUCCCCCUCAAUUUUUGUUUUAUUUUUAUUUUGAUUAAUUAAGGAUGAAAUUAUUGCAAAAGUAGCGCACCUCCGUGCUGGAAUUGGGUAGGAAUUACAAAUAAUAACAUUGGGCUGGUCAAAAAUAUGGUAGUUGGCACAUAAUCAAAGCUAUUGAUCAUUGAAUUUAAAAUAAUUAAUGGUAUAUGAUCAUGGAAUAAUGAAGAUCCAAACAGGAAUUAAAAUAUUCUUGAACCUUUCUGGCGACAAAUGAAACUGGUCAUCAUGCGAAAUCGGGAGUAUGUCCUCUGGCUAUAUAAAUGCUAAUGGUAAUAAUUUGCAUCCGUGUGAAGUCCAUUCUACAAUAAGGCAUGUUCCAAACUCCUUUAUAUAUAUUUUAGAUUUUGCAAUCAUAUUUGGACAAGCUAUUUUUUGGAUGAAGUAUCAAAUUAAUAAAAUUUGUAUCAAUGAUUGUCCUGUUUUUUCAAUGAUUGUAUAAUUUUUCUAUUCUGUAUUGAUUUGUGAAAGUUGUCAAACAAAAGCUUAAAAAAAAGUGCCAAGAAUUAUACAAUCAUUUAAAGCUAUUGUUUCAUUUAAAGCUGGUUAGAGUUAUUCUUACUCAAAAGUUUCAUUUAUUCUGUAUAUUAGAUUUCUUUUUUCUUUUUUAGCUCACAUAACAUGUUAAUUAGAGAUGUUUAGUAGCAAUUAAUUUUUUGUGUUUAGUUGUAUCUUUGUUUUUCAAAUUUUUUUUUUUUGAGUUUGAGCAAUUAGAUUUAUAUUUUUAUAAUAAAAUUUUAACUUUUUCAGGUUAAGUUGAUGAAAUUGUGAAAGUGGUGUUGUUGCUUAUCAUGCCACUGAUGGAAGUUUGUUAUUCAAAUGGUUUAUCUUGAAUAUGAGUUGGACUAUUUUAUGGACUUUUUAAGGAUUGUAAAAGAAUUUCAAUUUUUAUUUUAUUUAUUUUUGUGUUCUUAUUUGUGAUAAUUGGUGAACAUUUGGAUUGUAUCUUGGUGGGUUUUCACUUUAAGUGCAAGUUUAAUUCCGAAUUUACACCCGUUGGACUGCAAGUAUACAGGUCGCAAUUGUAGUACGAGAUGUGUAUCGGGUCGAUCCCACGAGGAGCAAUUUAAAACAAUUAUUAGAUACUAAUUUACUCUAUUAUUUAGACUUACAAUUAAUUUGAGCAGAAACUUCAGAUUUUAAUUCAACUACAAAAAUUCUUAAAUAGAUAAAUGCAAUUUCACAAUAGGAGUAGAAUUCACUAAAUAUUAAGAUCUAGGGAUGUAGAUUCCACAUAUAACACAAAAGAUCUAAAACGAAUGAAUUUAACACUUGUUACUGCUCUUGUUUAACCAAGGAUUCAUUUCCAACAAUACCAAAAUCACAUUUUCAUGAUAAUAAUGGGUUAAAACAGAUUAGUUUUUCCUAAUCUCUUGGAAAAUACUAAAUCUGUUUUGUGCAUACCUGAAAUAUAGAUUUUAUCCACUUGAAUGUAUUUCUAUUCUCAUGAAUAUACUACUCAAGCUCUACUUAUGUCAUUCCAUUAUUUUUACCAUUUCUCAAUGAGUAAAAACAACUAUAAACCUGCUAUUGGUGAUCAAGCAACAACAAGUAAUCCAACAUACACAAGUAGAUAAGUUAAUACAAGAUAUAACAAGCAUAAAUCACAAUCACUUCAUAUCAUUUGGCCAUAAGCUUCAUCUACUCCCUAGAUAAAGGAAAUUAGCUACUCAUGAAUGAUUUAACAAUCAAACUCACAAGUUUAUUAAUGCAAAACAUCAUGAAGUACAAGUAUAAGAAAGGUAAAAGAAAGCUUAGCCAAUUGAAGGUAAAGCUCUCCAAUUCCUGCUAUGUUCUUGUACAAGAUGGUUACAAGUGAAAAACCAAAUGCUUCUCUAAGAACUCUAGAGAGAAAACUUGUUGCAAGAAGGAAAACUAGCUACGUAUGGUGAUGCCAGGCUUCUCCCCUGUGUUUCUGCAUAAAAGGUGGUAGAAAUUCCAUUCCUCUCACUUCAUAAUUUCCUCCACUCAGAUUUUGUAAAAAGAAGUCAAAGAUAUGAUGUUUCCUUUUUGUCCACACUCAUUUGGUCUUCUCUUUUAUUGCAGAAGCAUGUGCACCGAAUUCCCUUGCAUCUUAUAGCUGGAAAGUGGUAUGAACACAAGAGAAUUGACUGAGUCAAAUUGCAGAAUUUCGGCUAUAAAACGCGCCUACACAAAACGCGGCAUAAACUCGCGUUUUGUCUACUCGCGUUUUCACUCUGGCCUUAUUUCAACUGCGAUUUUCUCCAUGAUAAAGGCCAAACUAGCUUUUGUGCAAAACACAAAAGUUGUAGCCCUUUGAGUUAGCUUUCCAAUGCUUCAAGAAUCAUCAAAUCGGAGCUUUGUAGCCUGAGAUAUGAUCGAAAUACUGUCACCUGUUCAAACCUCUGUUUUAACUUCCGACCACAGAAUGCAGCUUCUGUAUUCCAACGUUUUGCCCAUGAAGAUGGCAGAAAUGGAUUUCGAUGUCUUCAUACGAAUUGUAGGUCUCUUUCUUAGCUUUAAAAUGGUGUAAAGAUCACCUCAAUCCGAUAAGUGUAGCUCCAGAUAUGGUCAAAAUACUGAAGAGUGUCAAAACUGACUUGUAUUGCAUUUCCUCACUUGAACGUUUUUCACUUCAUUCUUCUUGUUGCCACUUGAAUUCAUCACCAAAUCUCUAUUUUUUAUCUCAUUUGACAUCCUUUGGUGAUUGAAUCAUCAUUCCUGCAUAAAAAUGAAGUUUUUACCAUUAAAAUCAAUAGAAAUGCAAUAUUAUCCACUUUUACCAAAAAUAUAUAAUUUUACCAAAAACCUCUUUAUUUUAUUUAUAAAACUAAAUAAUCAACUCAAAAUUAACUAAUAAAAUGCACUUAAAAAUACGUAAAAUAAACUCUUAUCAAAUACCCCCACACUUGAAUCAUUGCUUGUCCUCAAGCAAUAUAAAAUUCUAACCAUCAAUGAUCCAAAAAAAAUUGAAAAUAAACAUAUGUAGUAUUUCAACUCCAUUUCCUUGAAUCAAGGUAAAUAACCCUUAUGUGAUCUUUCCAUUAAGUUCAAGUACUCAUAAUAUCAAGCAAAGAAGAGCCAAGUAUACCAUAAUUUUACCAAUUCAACUCAACUUCUUAUUUUUAUCAAAUUUCGCAAGCAAGCAACUCCUAUAGUCAAUAAAGAUGCUAACUAAUCUCAUUAUCAACUUCUUAUUUUUCUUAAAGAGGGAUUUAAUUUACUUUUUAUUUAUUUAUUUUAUUAUUAUUUUUUUAAUAUAUUUUAAGGGAUAAAUAUUACUUAAGUUGUGAAAAAUGCCUUUUGACGCGAAGAUCAACAUUUUUAGAUGCAGAUCCCCGGUUACUCAACAUUUCACAUACUCAAGUUGCUUUGCAUACUCUUAAUUCAAGUACCUUUUUACGCGAAUGUCGACAUUUGUAGAUGCCAACCCCCGGUUACUCGGUAUGAGAAUCAUUGGAGUAGAAUAACCCUUUUUUUUUUUUUAAUAUAUAUAUAUAUAAUAAAAUUCCCUCUAAGAGUAAUCAUGAGAAGAGUAUGACACUUAUUAACCAUAUUAAUUUCUUAUCUUAUAAAAUUAGAUAAAAAGAAGAAUUUUCAUCAAAUAUACAAAAUGUAGGCAUAAUUUUCUCCACUUUACUAGAUAUACUUUCCUAUAGAUGUAAAAAUUAUAAUCACAUAAAAAUCAUUUCCAAAUUUUAUGAGAAAAGAAGUAUCAAAACCGCAUAUAUUUAUUUCAAAAGGAUAAGUGACAAAAUUUUAUUUAUUUAUUAUAGUUAAUAACAUAUAUAUGUAUAAGGUUUUGGAAAAAUUUUGACAGAGUCUCCCCUUAAAAGUGGACUAAAUCUCCCUGCCAGCAACCACAAGAAACACCAUUUAAGCACAAGAAUUAUAUCAAACACAACUAAAAUCACAAGUACCACACAUUUCUUCCCCCACACUUAGAAUACACAUUGUCCUCAAUGUGUAGGGAAAGAAAAGAAAAGAAACAAAAGAAAGGAACAAGUGACUCCCCAAGUGAGAUGACUGCAGUCCAGUGAAGCCUUGAAUCAUGAGUCAUCGACCGCUCAACCAUCCACAGUCAACGAUCUACUAGUUACUGCCACAAGUUCCAAUAUUCAAAAUAAGGAAUGUAAGUUAACAUUUUUCAAACAAAAGAUAAAAAUAACAAGCAAACAAAAGAAAAGCCAGCCAAAGGGCAGCCUCAAUCAUCCUCUUCAUCGUCAUCUUCAUCAUCAUCGAUGGGAGGUGGGCGUGUGCCUAAAUGAUCUUCAAUUCGGUCCAGGCGAGUAUCCAUUCUGGCUAAAUGAUGGUCGAUGUCGUCCAAGCGACCGAAAAGCCGCUGCCAGUUGGUCUGUGGCGGAGGAGGAGGUGGUGCUGCAGUAGAAGGUCCAGCUUCAUCCCGACCAUGUCUAGCCUUUUGUCUCCGCUCCUGAACAGGGCGUGGAAUGUCUCCCGUGCCAAUACCAAGGCGGCGAAGAGUAGUGAUAGUCAUCUCAGCACGUGGUGGAACAUACUCCCGCCGCAUGCCUUCCAAGGGAACCUCAAAACGGGGAAAGAUUAAAGUCAGUAGACGAGGAAAUGAUAGUUUGAAGGAAGUUGUCUUACGCCUCGCCGUAGACCUAAUAUGGCUGAUGAUGAUGUUAGGCAAUGAAAUCCGAGCAUAUGGAGAUGUCCGGUUAUGGAACAUGUAAUCCAAGAAGUAGAUAUCGCUCUUGCGGACCUCCGUGUGCCCCGUCUUCUUUGGGAUGACAUUGUGAGCCAUCAUGUAAAUGAUAAGACGAUGACGAGGUUCGAAUACAUUCGCCAAUAUGGUCUCCUUUCUGGUAGAGCGAAAAGGUUGGUACUCGAGACCAAACCUAGCCAUGGCCAAUGAGGGAUCCCACCUCCUAUUCGGGGGAACAAACUCCUUCUUCAAGUCUACUGGACGUCCGUCAUCCAUACACCCCAAAAUAGCAGCCAAAUCUUGCCGUGACAAGGUGAUUCGUCUUCCACGCACCCAGGACUCAACUAUUUCUCCACUAUGGCGCGCCUUACUUUCAAUGUUGGCGUAAAACUCGCGCACCAACUCUGGGUAGUAAUGGUUUGGAAGGGUGAGAAUCGGAGCCCAUCCUAGCUGAGCAAAAGCUUCUGAGAUGUUGUACAUCAUCUCAACUGGUGGACUGACGUGCAUCUCAAACAAAAACUCCAAAUUAGCACGCGCCUCAUGCCACUCCUGAUUCCUGCGAGUGUUGAACCUAGCACUGUCAAAUACUGAUUUUCCCGCUCCACGGGAGGUGCCCUCACCAGGUCGACGGUUAAUUGGUGGAGGAGAAGGUUUAUUCUCCUCUUCAGUCACCUCCAUCUCUUCAUUAACCUCCCUCUCCUCGCUACUAGAGGAUGAAAGUACCGCUCUUCUUCCCCUGGGCAUAGUACCUAAAAAAUAUUUCAAUUAUUCCACAUGUACUACAACUCAUUAUUUGGCAAUAAAAGUUCAGCAUUAAUCCAAAUAACCUCAAAUACAAUUGCUCAAGUUCUAAUCAUUCAAUGAUCGUACAAGACAUAUUUUCUGCCUAAAGUUGCCCAAAAUCACCAAAUUACACAAGAUAUGUAUCAAUUAUACUUUAAUUAGUGAAAAUAGGAACAAUUAUGAUUAUAACUAUUUAGAAUUAACAAUAAUAAUAUGCUUUUAGCUAUAAUCAUGUUUAGGCAAAAAUUAAACUAAUUAACUCACCAAAUCAACCAAAUUACUCACUAUACACAAUGCACAUGCUUAAACAUCAUCAACUAACCAUUUUUAACCAUAAUUUAACAUCACCAAUGACUCAAAAACAUCCUAGUUCCUUUUUCCAAUUUCAUCUAAAUAUAGCAAUUGUGAAUUUUAAAGUACUUGAAAACCAAUAAAUUGCUACAUUUAAACAUUUAAACAUGCUUAAACAAUCAUAAUAAUCAUGAAUAAAAUAAAAAAUAGCCAUGAACCUCAUCAAAUUUUCGAAAUUAAAAGAUGUCAGAUAGCUCAGGAUAAAAAAUAUGAACUUCUAAAAUCAAAAGAUUUGAUGAAGAAACUUACCUCAAUCACGUAGAAGGAUGUUUGGUGAUGCUAAAAAUGCAAAAAGCCCUAUGAAACAACCUCCAAUUGACCUCCAAUUGAAGAAAUUAGAGUUUAAGAACCCUAACCUUCAAUCCCUCAAAAACCUGAUUUUAGGUGUUUUUCUUGGAUUUUAAUCGGUUAAAAAGGGUAUAUGAACCUCAAAAGGUGUUGGGGUGAUGAUUUCUAGCAAGAUUAUGGAGUAAAAAUGAAGAUUUGUGAGUUGGGUAGAAGAGAAGAAGAAAAACGCGGCUGGAAAAAUUUGGAGAAGUGAAGAAAUGUUCUGGAAAUCGCGUUUUUGAAGCAGAAAAGUGAACCUAAAACGCGACUAAAAACGCGCCUUCAACACGCGUUUUUAAAGCCGCGUUUUCUGCACAAAUCUCGCAGAAUUGAAAACGCGGUUACAUAUGAAAACGCGACUUAAAGUCGUGUUUACAUGUGUCGCGUUUUCAAGUUUUGCUCAGGCGAUAAAACGCGACUUCCUCCAAAACGCGACUUCAAGUCGCGUUUUAAAGGCGCGUUUUCUGUUCUGCAGGCGCAGAAUUGAAAACGCGAUUCUUCGAAACGCGAUUUGUAGUCGCAUUUUCUUUGGAAAACGCGUUUUCUGCUUCGAUUUUUAGCAGAAUUUCAACUUUUGAAAAAUUACAAAAGGUACCCCAAUGACUCAAAAUGCAUCAUAGAUCAUUUGUUUGUCAAUUUUAAUGACUGGAACAAAUGUAAAACAUUAAAAACAUGCAUUUUACCCCUUUAUAAUGAAUCAAAAACACCUUUAACGCAAAUCGAGGGGUUGAGUUGUUUGAUCAAAGUUCGCCUUUUUUGUACUCAAUUGGUCCUUCUUGCCUUCAAUUGCCAACCCUACAUUACAAAAACAACAAUUUAGCUAAAACAUUGAUUCAAACCACAAAAUCACACCAAGUUAACAAAUAUAACCUAAAUAUUGGGUUGCCUCCCAAUUAGCGCUUUUGUUUAUAGUCGUUGGCUCGACUCACACAUUCAGUUUCUUAAAUUGAAGAAGAGUCGCCCAAAAGACAUAUGAGUCCUUUGGGUACGAUUUCACCUGCCAAGUAGGGUUUCAAUCGUUGUCCAUUGACCUUAAACCUUUCAUUUCUUGAAUUUGCCACUUCAACCGCUCCAUAGGGAAAUACUUGAGUGACUUCAAAUGGUCCAGACCACCUUGACUUCAAUUUUCCUGGAAAUAACCUCAGGCGUGAAUUGAAUAAAAGCACUUUUUGCCCUACCUGAAAUUGUUUAGGAAUAAUGUGCUUGUCAUGCCAAUAUUUGAUCUUUUCUUUGUAAAUUUUGGCAUUUUCAUAUGCAUGUAACCGGUGUUCCUCCAAUUCACUCAGCUCAAGUAAUCUCCUUCCACCUGCAAGAUUAAAAUCUAUAUUAAUUGCUUUAAUAGCCCAAUAAGCUUUAUGUUCAAUCUCUACAGGUAAGUGACAAGCUUUUCCAUAGACUAAACGAUACGGCGACAUCCCUAAGGGAGUCUUAAAUGCCGUUCGGUAAGCCCAUAGUGUGUCAUCUAACUUUGUAGCCCAAUCCUUGCGUGAUUUAUUCACAGUUUUCUCCAAAAUGAGCUUUAUCUCACGAUUAGCUAGCUCCGCUUGUCCAUUGGCUUGAGGAUGGUACGGGAGUGAUGUCUUGUGCCUACAACCAUAUUUAAACAAUAAGGAAUCCAGUUGUUUGUUACAAAAAUGUUUUCCUUCAUCACUUAUUAUGGCCUUAGGUAUACCAAAUCUACAAAAAAUAUUCUUUUUAAGGAAUCGGAGUACAACCUUAGAGUCAUUAGUAGGUGAAGCGAUUGCUUCUACCCAUUUAGAAACAUAAUCCACUGCUACUAAGAUGUACUUAUUAUUAAAAGAGCUUGGAAAUGGUCCCAUAAAGUCUAUACCCCAUAUAUCAAAUAAUUCAACUUCUAAGAAGGUAGUUAGGGGCAUUUCAUUCUUUCGAGAUAUAUUUCCAGUUCUUUGGCAUGCAUCACAACUUUUAACAUAUUCCCGAACAUCUCGAUACAUAGUUGGCCAAUAAAAUCCUGAUUGCCAUACCUUUGCCACAGUUUUUGAGGUGCUAAAAUGUCCACCUGUUUCAAGGUUAUGACAAUGAUAUAAAAUAUUAUGUACCUCGUUUUCGGGAAUACAUCUACGUACCAUACCAUCGGCACAAUGUUUAUACAGCAAUGGUUCCUCCCAAAAGUAACUUUUGACAUCAUGUAAGAAUUUCUUCUUUUGAUGGUAAUUAAAUCCCCUUGGAAUCUCUCCACUUAUCAAAAAAUUAGCAAUAUCAGCAUACCAUGGAGAAUUGAUAAUUGCUAGGACAAACUCAUCCGGGAAAUUCUCUUGAAUAGGAACUUGAUCCUUGACUGGAAUAUAUUCUAGGCGUGAUAGAUGAUCCGCUACUAGAUUCUCUGUUCCCUUUUUGUCUUUUAUUUUCACAUCAAAUUCCUGCAAUAAAAGAAUCCACCGAAUUAGUCUUGGUUUUGCAUCUUUUUUAUGUAACAAAUAUUUUAGAGCCGCAUGGUCCGUAUAUAUAAUAACUUUAGAUCCUACUAGAUAAGAUCUAAAUUUAUCCAAAGCAAAUAUCACUGCCAAUAGCUCUUUUUCUGUGGUUGCAUAAUUGAGUUUUGCUUCAUUUAGCAACUUGCUAGCAUAGUAAAUGACGUGCAACCGUCCUUCUUUCUUUUGUCCCAAAACUGCUCCAACCGCAUAAUCACUUGCAUCACACAUCAAUUCAAAUGGUAGUGACCAAUCAGGCGAAGUUAUAAUUGGGGCCGAAAUCAAUUCCUUCUUCAACCUUUCAAAUGCAACCAAACAAUUGUCAUCAAAUUGAAAAGGGGAAUCUUUACAUAAUAAAUCACAUAAUGGCUUUACUAUUUUAGAAAAAUCUUUAAUAAAACGUCUAUAAAAGCCAGCAUGUCCUAAAAAACUCCUUAUCCCCUUGACAUUGCUUGGGGGUGGCAAUUUUUCGAUGACUUCUAUUUUGGCUUGAUCCACCUCAAUUCCCUUGGAGGAAAUCUUGUGUCCUAAGACAAUUCCUUCUUUUACCAUAAAAUGACAUUUCUCCCAAUUCAGUAUAAGAUUUGUUUCCUCGCAUCUCUGCAAAAUUAAUUCCAAAUUAUGAAGACACUGAUCAAAAGAUGAACCAUACACAGAAAAAUCAUCCAUAAAUAUCUCCAUAAUUUUCUCAAUAUAAUCAGAAAAAAUAGCCAUCAUGCAUCGUUGAAAAGUUGCAGGAGCAUUGCAUAAACCAAAUGGCAUUCUUCUAAAGGCAAAAGUGCCAUAAGGACAUGUAAAUGUGGUCUUUUCUUGAUCCUCUGGAGCUAUAGCUAUUUGAUUAUAUCCUGAAAAACCAUCAAGAAAACAGUAAAAUUCAUAUCCAGCUAUUCGCUCCAAUAAUUGAUCAAGAAAUGGUAGGGGAAAAUGAUCUUUUCUUGUUACCGUAUUUAACUUACGAUAAUCAAUACACACUCUCCACCCUACCACAAGUCUAGAUGGAAUUAAUUCAUCAUUUUUACCCACGAUUGUAGUCAUUCCACCCUUCUUUGGUACCACAUGAAUUGGACUAAUCCAAACACUAUCGGAGAUAGGAAAAACUAUACCUGCGUCAAGCCAUUUAAGAAUUUCAUUUCUUACCACCUCUUUCAUGUUUGGAUUGAGUCUUCUUUGUGUUUCCACCACUGGUUUGCAAUUGUCCUUCAAUAAAAUUCGAUGCAUGCAUAUAGAAGGACUUAUACCUUUAAUGUCUGAAAUUGUCCAUCCAAUUGCCUUCUUACGCCUUCUUAGAACUCUUAACAACUUUGCACACUGUUCAUCAUCAAGGUCAGCACUAACAAUUACAGGUAAAGUUUUAUUUUCUCCAAGAAAUUCAUACCUUAGAUGAGUCGGAAGUGGCUUGAGCUCUAACUUUGGAGGUUCAAUUUCUGAAGGUUGUGAAAACCCUUUUCCUUGGCCAAGACUUUCAUACAAAUUACCCCUUUUAUAAGGUGCUUGAAAAUCCAAGUACUUGGCCAAUUCUUCAAUUUCUUCACAAACAUCUUCUUGCUUACCUAAACUCAUUAAACAAUACUCAAGAGGAUCUAAGUCAAAGUUGACUUGACUCAUCUCUUGGGUUAGUUUAUCAAUUGUGCCAAUAGAAUAAGCAUGAUCGGUAAAAGAAGGGUAUUUUUCCAUUUCAUUCAAAUUAAAUUCUACCUCUUCUUCACCUACUUGAAACUUAAGCUUGCCAUUUUUUACAUCAAUAAUAGUACCUGCAGUAGCUAGAAAUGGUCUACCUAGAAUAAUUGGCAUAGAUAUAUCUUCUUCCAUAUCUAAUACCACAAAAUCCACUGGAAUGAUAAAUUUUUGAACUUUUAUCAAUACAUUCUCCAACACUCCCAAUGGAUAUCUAAUAGACCGAUCCGCUAGUUGCAAAGUGAUAUUAGUGCGUUUAAGCUCAUGCAAACCCAAUUGUCUAGCCACCGUUAAAGGUAUUAAUGAUACACUAGCACCAAGAUCACACAAUGCCUUAGAAAAAUCAACGUUACCUAUGGUGCAAGGUAUAGAAAAACUCCCCGGAUCCUUCAACUUCGGUGGUAGCUUAUUUUGAAUAAUUGCACUACAUUCCUCCGUUAAUGCUAUUGUUUCGCAGUCUUCCAACUUUCUUUUUCUAGUCAUGAUUUCCUUGAGAAAUUUCGCAUAAGAUGGAAUCUGCAAAAUAGCAUCGGCAAAAGGAAUGUUAAUGUGCAAUUGUUUGAAAAGUUUAACAAAUUUUUCAAAAUCUUUAUCAAACUUAUUUUGCUUUAAUCUUUGUGGAAAUGGAACCGCAGGGGGUAUUGGAAUGGUAGUGGAAGAUGAUGGUUGCUUUUCUCUUGGAUUCUCCCGACUAUUUUCCUCCACAAUCGCCUCUUGGUUCCUCUGCUUUUCUUCUUGUUUUUCAUUCUCAUCUUUCUCAACUUCCUUCACUGGAGGAUCUUCUAAUUGUCUACCACUACGAAGAGUAAUGGCUUUCACAUGCUCCUUAGGAUUGACCUCUGUUUUGCUAGGUAAUUCUCCUUGAUUUCGAUUAUUCAAAGAACUAGCAAUUUGACCAAUUUGGACCUCUACAUUCCUGUACAUUGUAGUGAGUUGGUCCAACCUUCCUUCUACUCGCUCAAAUCUGUCCGAGGUAACUUUUGCAAGCUUUUCCACUGCCAUCUCCCAACCAGGUUUAGUUUCAGCUUGUUGUUGCCUUGAUUGAAAUCCCGGUGGAUUGGUUGGCCUUGGUUGAUUUCCUUGAUCCUUCCAUCCAAAGUUUGGAUGAUUUCUCCACCCCGGAUUGUAAGUAUUCGAGUAGGGGUUAUUUUGAGCAUUACGAUUGUAAUUAUUGACGAAUUGUACCUGUUCAGAAUCAACACACUCAUUACUAUCAUGUUCACCUCCACAUAUAGAACAACAUGCUACAUGUGCAUUAGAUGAACUUGGACCAACUCCACCUUGUCUACUUAGCAAUUUCAUCACAUUAUUCAUUUGAGCACUCAACAUAUUGAGAGUGUCCAUUUCGAUCAUACCUGCGUGACGUCUUGUAUUACCUCUCUCAUUGGCCCAUUGGUAGUUAUUUGCUGCCAUUUCUUCUAUCAAAUUAUGAGCCUCUUGGGGUGAUUUACCCAUUAAAGCUCCACCUGCAGCUGCAUCGAUCAUAGUUUUAGUAGAAAAAACUAAACCAUUAUAGAAGGUUUGUAUGAUUAACCAUUCCGGCAGUCCAUGAUGUGGACAUUUCCGAAGCAAAUCUCUAAACCUUUCCCAUGCCUCAUAUAAUGAUUCUCCUUCCAAUUGGCUAAAACUAGUGAUAUCCAUUCUAAACUUAGCAGUCUUACCUGGUGGAAAAUACUUAUUUAAGAAUGCUCUUGAUAGUUCAUCCCAUCCAGUGAAAGUAUUAGGAGCAUGAGAGUGUAGCCAAAGUUUGGCCUUAUCUCUCAAUGAAAAUGGGAACAACCUUAGUCUUAUAGCAUCAUCACUAACUCCAUUCAUUUUAAUUGUAUCACAAAUUUCCAAGAAUGUAGCUAAGUGUGUAUUAGGAUCUUCUACUGCAUUACCUCCAAAUUGAGAUUGUUGAACCAUUUGGAUAAGUGAUGGUUUAAUCUCAAAAUUGUUAGCAUUUACCGUAGGCCUUACUAUGCUUGUUUGAGAUCCUUGUGUUCCCGGUAGAGUAUAAUCUCGUAGAACUCGCCUAUUUGGGUCAUUUUCCGCCAUUUCUUCUUCAAAUGGUAGUUCUAUCAAAAUGUCCUCUAUCGGUUGCCAAAUCUCUUGUUCCUCUUGCUGUUGUGUGUGCCUCCUUUGUCUACGUAGUGUCCUCUCAAUUUCUGGAUCGAAAGGUGUAACUUCCCGAGACGCCCGGUGCAUACACUACAAACAGAAAUAAGAGAUAUUAUGCAAUUUCAAUUGUCAAAAACUGAUUACAAUAUAAGAUUAAAUAUAAUCUAACUAAAAAAAUAAAUCUGUCUAAAUUAAUAAAGAUGAUUAGGCUCUAAUAUUGCCGCUCCCCGGCAACGGCGCCAAAAACUUGACGGGAUUUUUUUUAUCAAUGCAAGUUUAAUUCCGAAUUUACACCCGUUGGACUGCAAGUAUACAGGUCGCAAUUGUAGUACGAGAUGUGUAUCGGGUCGAUCCCACGAGGAGCAAUUUAAAACAAUUAUUAGAUACUAAUUUACUCUAUUAUUUAGACUCACAAUUAAUUUGAGCAGAAACUUCAGAUUUUAAUUCAACUACAAAAAUUCUUAAAUAGAUAAAUGCAAUUUCACAAUAGGAGUAGAAUUCACUAAAUAUUAAGAUCUAGGGAUGUAGAUUCCACUUAUGACACAAAAGAUCUAAAAUGAAUUAAUUCAACACUUGUUACUGCUCUUGUUUAACCAAGGAUUCAUUUCCAGAAAUACCAAAAUCACAUUCUCAUGAUAAUAAUGGGUUAAAACAGAUUAGUUUUUCCUAAUCUCUUGGUAAAUACUAAAUCUGUUCUUAUUCACACAUGAAAUGCAGAUUUCAUCCACUUGAAUGUAUUUCUAUUCUCAUGAAUAUACUACUCAAGCUCUACUUAUGUCAUUCCAUUAUUUUUACCAUUUCUCAAUGAGUAAAAACAACUAUAAACCUGCUAUUGGUGAUCAAGCAACAACAAGUAAUCCAACAUACACAAGUAGAUAAGUUAAUACAAGACAUAACAAGCAUAAAUCACAAUCACUUCAUAUCAUUUGGCCAUAAGCUUCAUCUACUCCCUAGAUAAAGGAAAUUAGCUACUCAUGAAUGAUUUAACAAUCAAACUCACAAGUUUAUUAAUGCAAAACAUCAUUAAGUACAAGUAUAAGAAAGGUAAAAGAAAGUUUAGCCAAUUGAAGGUAAAGCUCUCCAAUUCCUGCAAUGUUCUUGUACAAGAUGGUUACAAGUGAAAAACCAAAUGCUUCUCUAAGAACUCUUAACUAGAGAGAGAACUUGUUGCAAGAAGGAAAACUAGCUACGUAUGGUGAUGCUAGGCUUCUCCCCUGUGUUUCUGCAUAAAAGGUGGUAGAAAUUCCAUUCCUCUCACUUCAUAAUUUCCUCCACUCAGAUUUUGUAAAAAGAAGUCAAAGAUAUGAUGUUUCCUUUUUGUCCACACUCAUUUGGUCUUCUCUUUUAUUGCAGAAGCAUGUGCACCGAAUUCCCUUGCAUCUUAUAGCUGGAAAGUGGUAUGAACACAAGAGAAUUGACUGAGUCAAAUUACAGAAUUUCGGCUAUAAAACGCGCCUACACAAAACGCGGCAUAAACUCGCGUUUUGUCUACUCGCGUUUUCACUCUGGCCUUAUUUCAACUGCGAUUUUCUCCAUGAUAAAGGCCAAACUAGCUUUUGUCCAAAACACAAAAGUUGUAACCCUUUGAGUUAGCUUUCCAAUGCUUCAAUAAUCAUCCAAAUCGGAGCUUUGUAGCCUGAGAUAUGAUCGAAAUACUGUCACCUGUUCAAACCUCUAUUUUAACUUCCGACCACAGAAUGUAGCUUCUGUAUUCCAACGUUUUGCCCAUGAAGAUGGCAGAAAUGGAUUUCGAUGUCUUCAUACGAAUUGUAGGUCUCUUUCUUAGCUUUAAAAUGGUAUAAAUAUCACCUCAAUCCGAUAAGUGUAGCUCCAGAUAUGGUCAAAAUACUGAAGAGUGUCAAAACUGACUUGUAUUGCAUUUCCUCACUUGAACGUUUUUCACUUCAUUCUUCUUGUUGCCACUUGAAUUCAUCACCAAAUCUCUAUUUUUUUACCUCAUUUGACAUUCUUUGGUGAUUGAAUCAUCAUUCCUGCAUAAAAAUGAAGUUUUUACCAUUAAAAUCAAUAGAAAUGCAAUAUUAUCCAAUUUUACCAAAAAUAUAUAAUUUUACAAAAAACCUCUUUAUUUUAUUUAUAAAACUAAAUAAUCAACUCAAAAUUAACUAAUAAAAUGCACUUAAAAAUACGUAAAAUAAACUCUUAUCAUAUCUAUUUAUGUUUUUAAUGAAUUUAUGAAAACUUGUGGUGAAUUAUGAUAUUUUAAUUAUGUUUAUCAUUCCAGGUUUUAUGUAUAACUUUUAAGAAAUUUGUUAUUAUGUCAACUUAAAUUUAGUUAUGUUGGUGGAUGCAUUUUAGGAACUUAAGUUAUCAAUAACCAUGUUACAUUGUACACUAGCCAUCAAGUUCAAGUGUAGAAUGUGUAAGUCCCAAAGACAACCAAGAGGGGGGGGUGAAUUGGGUUGUUCAAAAUCUUAAUCAGAUUUAGGCAAUUUUUGCUAAAUUAAAAUUUCCUUCUUUUCUAGUAAUGAUCAACCAAGUGAAUUAGAAGACAAGAGCAAUAUUGAUCAGAAAUACAAGUAUAAACAAGCAAUGAGAAUUUUAUUAAACAGAAAAGUAAAUUGGGGAAUCAAACCAAGUGUCUACCAAGCUAUCCUCAAACUUGAAGACCACACACUAGGAAGAGCAACUUCUCUUUGAUGGAAGACGAUCAACUAGAUGUACAAUGGAGGGAGCACUUCCUCCUUGCCCUAAGCCUCACUUAGUCAAGCUAAGAAGUUUUACAAUCACUCUGAAAACCCUCAACAAAGCUACACUAAAGAUCCUUUCAAUCACAAAAGAAAUGCUCACCAGAAAUUCACACCACUUUAAAACAAAUCUAGCUUUGGAGACUAUUUUCUAACUAAAAUAUCUCUUGAGAUCUUGUAAACAAAGUGUGCAAAAGUCCUUACUUCGUUCAGACCAGUUUGAUUUUAAAGGGAACCAGAAAUGGGCUUCAUCAAUGCUUCCAACGGAUAGAAGGCAGCUGAAGAGUCAACUAGCCGUUGGGGCUGUCGGACGUCCGACGAUCAAAUCAUCGUCCGAACCAAUCGUCCGAUGGCAUCCAAGUUGACGUUCGGACGUCCGAUGCGUCUUGAUCGUCCGACACCGCACCGUCCGAUCGUAGGCAGAGAGUUGGCAAGUCAGCUUGGAAUUUUUCGGACGUCCGAUGCGGUUGAUGAGCGUCCGAUGGCAAGCGUCUGAUCCUUCCGGACGUCCGAUGCUUCCUCACGAGCAUCCGACAGAGCUUCCUUCUUGAUGCUCUUUAUCCUUUCGGACGUCCGACAGAUUCCUUUCGGCCGUCCGACGUGAGUAUCCUGUUUUUGCUUCUUCUUUUGGUUGAAAUGCAUUUCAUGACCUAUUCAUACCUGAUUCUUUGAUAUGUAAAGACACUUAUAAUCGAAGAAGGUUAGAUACAUUUCAAAAUACCAAGAAUAGCAAAAUUGUCAUACUUAAAGGACAGUAUCUUUGAUUGGAACAAAACAAUGACUAAAUUCAUUCAUUUUAUUCCAAUCAUGUUUGCCACAUCCAAAGCAACGUAGUCAGGAGAUAAACGAACAUAUGCUUUCUUUGUUCCAUCAGACCUGAUCAAAGUGUUCACUUUCUUGGUUAGUAUAAACAUUUCAAAUUACUUUGUGAUCAUCAAAACCAAGAAUAACAUUCUCCCCCUUUUUGAUGAUGACAAAACAAAGGUUUGAAAUGAGAUUUGAUGAUUUGAAUAAAAUCUCCCCCUUUCACAAUAGACAAGAACUCCCCCUUUCUUAGUGAAUCAUAAACAAUUUUGAAAAACUCCCCCUCACUUGGCUGCCCAACCGAAUUACACAAUUAUCCAAUUAUACAAGCCAAUCCAAUCAAUCCAAUAUCAAUCCAACAUCAUCAAAUUCAAUCCAAUAUCAAUCUAUAGAUCCGGCCAUCUCCCCCUUUUUGUCAUCACAAAAGGGUAAUCAAUUACAUCCAUAAAUGCAAACCACAGUCAUUCACAAACACAUUCAUUACACCAAUGCAAACCAAAUUCAUUAUAUUCACACAAUCAGAAUAGACAAACAAACAUCCAUCAAAAUACUUAGACAUCCAUCAACACAGUACUUAAACAUCCAUCAAAACACACCAAAAGAAACUUAGAAUAUCCAUUACAUUUCAUAUUCAUUGUUAAAUACCACAAACACAUAAAUAAGAUAAACAAAAUGCAAAUGUCCUAAAUGAUGAACUAAGUGGAUCCAGGUGUCCUCCGAGAGAGCUGAUAUUGGUCAAGAUCCUCCUCUUCAGUUUCUUCAUCAUCUUCAGCAGCCUCUUCAACUGGUGCCUUGCCUUUAUCUGAUGUAGAGAUGCCAUGAGGAGUCACAGGGGUUGAAGAACCAGGAUCCGGAAUUGAUGAACUUGGAUCAGUGGGGUGUGACUCUUUGUCAUGGGAAACUUCCUCAACCACAGGUGGAGGAAAAAGAAGAUUCUUUUUGUCAAGAAAGGCAGUUUGUUGCUCAGAAGACAUGGUGAGCAUGAGACCAUGUUCUAGAAGAAGAACAUGCUGUUUGAGUUCUUGAAGAAGCUCAAUUACUUCAUUACUGGAAGAGGAAGAUGCUUUAGUGGCAGAUUUCCUAGGGUGAAUGGGAGUGAGUGAAAUGGGUGAAGGAUCAUGUGCAGUCUUGGACCUAAGUUCACUAGAAGAUGCACCCUUAUAAGCCCACAGAUUAUCUUUGAAAACAAGAUUUUUCCUUUCAAAAUACCCUUUUGUAAAGGCAUAAGAAGAUGCUUCUUUAGGACAAACACCUAGAAUAGGGACUUUGUUAAACUCAAAAAUCUUUUGAAAAAACUUUCCAUAAGAUAAUUUUCUGCGAGAAUCAGUGGCAUAGCGAAGUAAGAACUUGCACAUGACAAAACCAAAAUCAAUACGAAUUUUUUCUUGAAAACAAUAAAAGAGGUACAACUCCAUUUUGUUUGCAUCAGUUCUAUGGCCAUCAGUAGGCACAAGCAGGUUUGAAAUGAUAGAAAAAGCAAUUAAAUUCACAGGGGCCAGAUCAUUCAAUUUAGCAUCAGCAGGUGAGGAAAAACUUCUUUUGAAAUAGGUUAACAUUUUUGUCCCAUCAAAAUGAUUUGCCACAGUCGGGAGCUCUUCAUAGGAAAAGAAAUUAGCAAUCUUAUCUUUGCAUAAACGUUCAAUGGUAGUAUUUAAAAUGGAGUUCACAAUUUCAGAGUCAAUGAUUAAGUCUACCCCAUUAACCCUGGAAAAUAUUUCAGUUGGGUCGGAACCUUUCCUUAGAUUGGCAAAAAAUUGAUGCAACAUAUCAGGAUAGUAGACAUUUGGCAUAGAAAUAAGAUGUGACCAUUUCUGGAAAGCAAAUAGACUCAGAAUGGAUUCUAAACCUAUGGAGCGAAAUUCAGAGGGGUUUACAGUUCUUUGAGGGAUGACACCCUUCUGGGAUAUCCAGGAGUAUUUGUCUUUCGCAGCAUCAUCAAAGAAUGUAGGAGGAGGGACUGAUUUAGGAGGCGGUUGAGAAGAGGUCCCCUGUCCAGAUUCUGGUUGAGAAGUGAGUUGUGGAGUAGGUCGUGACAUUUGACCCUUGAUAGCUCCCCUUUUGAAGCGUUUGGAUGUCCGUUUGACAGUGGGAAGAUCCUCAUCCACAUCCCUGAGUGGAUGCUUGCGUCCGGCAGUAACUUUUCCUCCCCUUAGAUUCACCAUUGCGCGAAAUGUGUGGAAUGAAGAAUGCAAAUGAUGCACACAGCAGUAGGGAAGUGAAUCGAACAAAAAUUUGGAACAAAAGACCUUGUACAAGAUUUGACAGAGCGGUUAUGAGAAGGUAGGGUUUUGAGGAAAAUUUGGGAAUGUGCGAAGUGAUAGAUGAUUCUGUGAAAUGAUCAGGAAAAAUGACUCGCAAUUGACCAGGAACUGUUUUGGUUGAGUCAAUUUGGGAAUGGGGGCUUCAGAAUAAUAUGAAUUUGGGAGUGAGAGACAAGAGGGUUUUCGUCCGAGAGAAAAUGAAAUGGGAAGAGUCUGAGGCAAUUGAGGAAGAAAGUUGUGUUAAAAAAUGAGCCGUUGCACUGUCGGACGGCCGAACGAAGUUGUGCGUCCGACAGCUGCGUCCGAACAAGCGCAAUCUGGAAAAUGGCUGAAGAACAUCAUCGGACGUCCGUUCAUCUUCUUUCGGACGCCCGAAGACCCAAAGAAAAUUAAGAUGAUUUUUCGAUUAUUCCUAAUUUUGAUCUUAGAUGAAUGAACUGUUCUAAUGGCAAAGCUUUUGUAAAAAUAUCAGCAAAUUGAUCUUUAGAACAAACAUAAUUUACACAUAUUUCACCUUUUUGAACAAGAUCACGAAUAAAGUGAUGCUUUAUAUCUAUGUGCUUUGUCCUAGAAUGAUGAAUAGGAUUUUUGGUCAAAUUUAUAGCACUAGUAUUAUCACAGAAUACAGGCAUGCAGUCAUACAACAAUCCAAAAUCAUUCAAAGUGUGCUUCAUCCAUAAAAGUUGAGCACAACAUGCACUAGCGGCAAUAUAUUCCGCUUCGGUUGUAGACAAAGAUAUUGCAUUUUGCUUUUUGCUAAACCAAGAGACUAAACAAUUUCCAAGAAAAUGACAAGUUCCACUAGUACUCUUUCUAUCCACACGACAACCUCCAAAAUCAGCAUCCGAAUAACCGUAUAGUGCAAACUCAUUAGAUCUAGCAUACCAAAGACCAUAGUCUAAUGUACCUUUCAAAUACCUAAAAAUUCUUUUUACAGCAUUCAAAUGUGAUUCUUUUGGACAAGAUUGAAAUCUAGCACACAAGCAAACAGCAAACAUAAUAUCAGGUCUACUUGCGGUUAAAUAGAGUAGGCUUCCGAUCAUACCUCUAUAUUGCUUUUCAUCCACAUGAUUACCUUCUUCAUCUUUGUCAAGCUUUGUAGAAGUGCACAUUGGAGUUCCAACUUGCUUUGAGUCCUCCAUGCCAAACCUUUUCAGCAACUCCUUGGUAUAUUUUGCUUGAUUUAUAAAAAUUCCCUCAAGAGCUUGAUGUAUUUGAAGUCCAAGGAAGAAAUUUAAUUCUCCCAUCAUACUCAUUUCAAAUUCACUUUGCAUAGUGGUGGAAAAAUCCUUCUCGGAUGGAUCACCAAUUAUAAGCUCUUUUGGAUGAUUUUGGCUGAAUUUCCAAGCCUUGGGAAGAUCUUUGAGUGAAUCAUCAUUUUUGUCUUCAUCUUCCUCUUCUUGAUCAUUAUGAACUUCAUUUUCCAUUUCAGUUGCUGCUGGUUUAGAACUUCCUUCAUUUCCAAUUGACAGCUUUUCCAUUCCAACAUCACCUAUUCCAAUUGUUUUAGCUUUCACAUCAUCACCAAAUGUCACUUUUCCACUUGAUCUUGAUUUCAGCUUUAUGAACAAAGAGGGAUCACCGGUCAUAUGCCUUGAACAACCGCUAUCAAUGAACCAUUUGGACUUGUGUGAGCAUUUUUCCUCAUUAUCUCCAAUAGCCAUGAAGGCCAUUUGAGCUGAUUCUUCCUCUUCUUCAACUUCCCUUUCAGAGUUGCAUUCAUUCCAAGUAAUCUGGAAGUUGUUGAAUCUUGGCUUUCGAUCAGCUUUUCCAUCUUUCAUUUUCUUCAUGGGGCAUUCGUUUGCAUAGUGUCCAGGCUGUCCACAUUCAUAGCAUUUGUCCACUUGCUUCUUGUUGAAUUCUUGUUUUCCUUUGUUCCUUGCAUUUGAUGAAUAAUUUUGGAAUUGAUUGCUAGGUCCUCCCUUUCUGAACUUCCUUUAUUCAAGAUUCUUUUGAAACCUCUUGUGAUGAGAGCAAGAUCAUUAUCAUCACCAUCCGAAUCUUCAUCAUCCAAGUGAGCUGGAUCAUCUUCACUUUGAGUAGUCUUUAGAGCAAUAUUUCUUUUUGCUCUAGCAUCCUCUUCCUCCUGCACUUUAGAUUUCAGUUUCAACUCAUAAGAGGUUAGUGAGUUAAUGAUAGAUUCAAUAGGCACAGAACUUAAAUCCUUAGCCUCCUCUAUUGCAGUCACUUUAUUUUCCCAUUCUUUGCCCAAUGCAUUGAGAAUUUUUCUGUUCUUCUCUCCCAAGGUGUACUCUUUGCCCAACACCUCGAGAUCUUUGAUCAAGUCAGUGAACCUGCAAAACAUUUUGUCAAUAUCCUCAAGAGGUUCAAUCUUAAAAGAUUCAUACUUUGUGACCAAGAUGGCCUUUCUCUGUUCUCUCACAUUGUCACCACCCUCAUGGAUUUCUCUUAACUUAUCCCACAUUUCUUUGGCUGAUUUACAGCCUUUCACUCUAAUUGAUUCAUUUGAAUCUAAGGCACUAUAAAGAACAUUCAUGGCCUUGGCAUUCAAUGUGAGGUUAGUCCUGUCUUGAGCAUUCAUUUCAGCUCUCAUUUUUGGCCGAAGCAGCCCUGUAUCUGCAUCAAGAAAGUUAGCUUCAUGCGGUCCUUCACUCACAAUAAACCACAGUUCAAUAUCAAUAGAUUGCAAAAAAAUAAUCAUCCGUUCUUUCCAGCUAACAUAGUUGGAGCCACUGAACAUGGGAGGCCUAGUAACAGAUUGCCCCUCAACAAACAUAGCAUGACUGGUUGUCAUCUUUACUCCAAGCCGUUAGAGCUUAAUCUCAAGGAGACCAAGCUCUGAUACCAAUUGUAAGUCCCAAAGACAACAAGAGGGGGGGUGAAUUGGGUUAUUCAAAAUCUUAAUCAGAUUUAGGCAAUUUUUGCUAAAUGAAAAUUUACCUUCUUUUCUAGUAAUGAUCAACCAAGUAGAUUAGAAGACAAGAGCAAUAUUGAUCAGAAACACAAGUAUAGACAAGCAAUGAGAAUUUUAUUAAACAGAAAAGUAAAUUGGGGAAUCAAACCAAGUGUCUACCAAGCUAUCCUCAAACUUGAAGACCACACACUAGGAAGAGCAACUUCUCUUUGAUGGAAGACGAUCAACUAGAUGUACAAUGGAGGGAGCACUUCCUCCUUGCCCUAAGCCUCACUUAGUCAAGCUAAGAAGUUUUACAAUCACUCUGAAAACCCUCAACAAAGCUACACUAAAGAUCCUUUCAAUCACAAAAGAAAUGCUCACCAGAAAUUCACACCACUUUAAAACAAAUCUAGCUUUGGAGACUAUUUUCUAACUAAAAUAUCUCUUGAGAUCUUGUAAACAAAGUGUGCAAAAGUCCUUACUUCGUUCAGACCAGUUUGAUUUUAAAGGGAACCAGAAAUGGGCUUCAUCAAUGCUUCCAACGGAUAGAAGGCAGCUGAAGAGUCAACUAGCCGUUGGGGCUGUCGGACGUCCGACGAUCAAAUCAUCGUCCGAACCAAUCGUCCGAUGGCAUCCAAGUUGACGUUCGGACGUCCGAUGCGUCUUGAUCGUCCGACACCGCAGCGUCCGAUCGUAGGCAGAGAGUUGGCAAGUCAGCUUGGAAUUUUUCGGACGUCCGAUGCGGUUGAUGAGCGUCCGAUGGCAAGCGUCUGAUCCUUCCGGACGUCCGAUGCUUCCUCACGAGCGUCCGACAGAGCUUCUUCUUGAUGCUCUUUAUCCUUUCGGACGUCCGACAGAUUCCUUUCGGCCGUCCGACGUGAGUAUCCUGUUUUUGCUUCUUCUUUUGGUUGAAAUGCAUUUCAUGACCUAUUCAUACCUGAUUCUUUGAUAUGUAAAGACACUUAUAAUCGAAGAAGGUUAGAUACAUUUCAAAAUACCAAGAAUAGCAAAAUUGUCAUACUUAAAGGACAGUAUCUUUGAUUGGAACAAAACAAUGACUAAAUUCAUUCAUUUUAUUCCAAUCUUGUUUGCCACAUCCAAAGCAACGUAGUCAGGAGAUAAACGAACAUAUGCUUUCUUUGUUCCUUCAGACCUGAUCAAAGUGUUCACUUUCUUGGUUAGUAUAAACAUUUCAAAUUACUUUGUGAUCAUCAAAACCAAGAAUAACAGAAUGAAAACUUGUGAAGUACUUAACACUAAAGUUGCAAAAAAAAAAAAAAAAAAAAACCGGUGAACUGGUUGGACUGUUCGGACCGCGAACCUGCCGCCUCUCCGGUUCGCUAGCCGGUCCGAGUUUAAAAACAUUGGCCGACACUGGUUGCCCAUCUUCAACCACCACCAACACUGCUUUUCAAGAUCAAUUCUUGCCCAACACUCAUUUUAUUCGCUUGAGUCAUGAUUAUGGCAUCAUUUUUCAUCAGUUUAAACCCUUUGACGAUACAAAAACAAGGUCACAAUUGAAAUUUUGAUUUGAAAAUUUGAAACUUUCGGGAUUGCCUCCUACUAUGGGCUUGUCUCAUACUCGGGCAUAUGCCUAAACAAAUUCAUCAACCAACACUCACUCUGCCAUUGGGGCACCCAAUCAACCCCUUUAUAACAAUUUUGAAGACACACAAUACUAGGGUUGGACAAAAAUACCCGUUAACUCAAAAAUCCAUCAUAUUCGAUUCGAUUCGAUUCAACAAAUAGGGUAUCCGAUGUGCAUUAUUUGAUUAGGUCAAAAGAGGGUUAGGUAAUUACUUAUAUGCGAUGCAAGGUAGGGUAUUAAGAAUCCAUGGGUAUCCAACGCAUCACACAAAUAUAUUUUUUAUUUUUUAUUUUUAUACACAUACUACAAAAUAAUACUUUUGGGGCUAAAUAAGUAAUUUUAUUGAAGAAGCUAUAUUAUAAAUAUGAAAAUUAUAGUUUGUUUAUAAGAUUCAUUUAUAGAGGUCGUGAUCUUUUUUUCUUUUAGGAAAGAGUUUAAUUAAUGUAGAAUAUAUACUUUUAAAAAGGUACUAUUUAGUUGAAAUUUUCAUUGAUUUUGAAUUAUUUUAAUUAUUUUCUUUUUCUUGUAUUCUCUUCGCAUAUUUGUUUUUUGGUAGGAGACUUUUUUUGAGAAAAAAAUCUUUAUUAAGUCUUAGAUAAAUAUUCAUAAUACAAAAUUAAAUUACUAUAAAUUAUUUUUUUUUAAAAUUAAAUGAUAACCAAGGCGACACAGGUACCUGUUGAGCCAACCCUACCUUAACGAAUACCCGUUCAUAUGUGGGAUGGAUAAGGGUCAAAAAAUAACUGACCUGCAAGGUGCAGGUCUAGUUAGCCAAAUAAUGCAUAGAACAUGUACUACUCAACCCAUACUCACCCCUACCCAAAACAAAUCUUAAUAAUCAUAAAAUAGCAACCAGAACAUGCAAAAUCCAAUUUUCAAAUUUCUCCUCAAGAUUUAGCAUCAAAUUUUACAAAAAUUACACAAAAACAAUCCAAUCAACAAAUAAAUACUCAAGCACUGAAUUGACAUUAUACUGUAUUUGUGCAGCACCGAAUUGACAUUAUCUGACUUGUAUGUAUGGCGAAAUAGAGGAACUAUGGAGAGGAGGGGGAGGAGGGAGAAGGAUGCUGAGAGUAAGGGAGGAGAUGAAUCGGAAAAUUUAGAUAUUUUUUCUUUUUAUUUUUCUAUAUUUUCUUUUAACCGUAUUUGUAGGUAACUUGCACCAAAACAGCCUUAUUCUCUUAGUACUUUUUUGCCUUUUUAUAUAACACAGGUGCAUUAACGCACAACAGAAGCACCCUAUCAAUCUAAGAUCCCAGCCUGCUUGUAGCUUUCG